rnacentral:lncRNA from 1 species
ACAAAAGAAAAUCAGGUUGUUUUUUUUUGUCGCAUUUCUGAUAGACGCCUUACACGCAGGGAAGGGCAGUGUGUGAGGGAGGGCUGAGGGAGAUCGGGUCAUAGGCACGUUAUUUAUUUUAUUCCUAGUCCUAGAAUGGCUAAGUAUGGAGAUAAUGUAAACCAAGGUUCAGGGGCCAUUAUGGCAUAUCAGGAAUAGUAUAUAACUGGGUGAUCCUCUCUGACUUGGGGGGAGGAGGGAGAGGUUGGUUGGGCUACUAUUAUGCAGCAAUGAUAACUGCAUUGGUUCUUGUGCUACCUUGAAUUGGAAAUAACCUGAUUUUUUUUUUUUAUCCUAAUAGGGAUCAGUUUGAGUUCCUGUGUGAUUGGAGGCCAGGCCAAUUUUGUGAAUAUUGCCAUCUCUAACUUUCAGUCAUAUUAUGACAAAAACAGUAUCUUACCUUAAAGGACCACUAUAGUGCCAUGAAAACAUACUCGUUUUCCUGGCACUUUAGUGCCCUGAGGGUGCCCCCACCCUCAGAGAUCCCCUCCUGCCAGGCACUAGGGGGUGGAAGGGGUUAAACUUACCUCUUUCUGCAGCUCCGGGUGGGGGACUCUCCUCCUCCUCGGCUGCAUGUGCGGCAGGAGCCGCGUGCGCAUUCAGCCAGUCCAUAGGAAAGCAUUCACAAUGCUUUCCUAUGGACGCUGGCGUCUUCUCACUGUGAAAAUUACAGUGAGAAGCGCCUCUAGCGGCUGUCAAUGAGACAGCCACUAGAGGCUGGAUUGACCCUGUUAUAAAAAUAGCAGUUUCUUUGGGUGCCAGGUCCCUCUAGGGUUAACCCUGCCUGCUGUAAAAUAGCAUUUUCAGAGAAACUGCUAUGUUUACCUAUGGGUUAAUCCAGCCUUUUGUGGCUGUCUCAUUCACAGCCACUAGAGGCACUUCUCACUGUGAAAAAUCACAGUGAGAAGACGCCAGCAUCCAUAGGAAAGCAUUGAGAAUGCUCUCCUAUGGACUGACUGAAUGCACGCGCGGCUCUUGCUGCGCAUUCAGCCGAUGAAGGAGGAGGAGAGUCCCCGGCUCUGGAGAAAGGUAAGUUCUUUAACCCCUUCCUCCCACUUCAGCCCGGCGGGAGGGAUCUCCACGCAUGCUUAAACUCCUUAACUAUGUUAACCUCUACCACUUCAGCUAGAAGGCUAUUCCAUGCAUCCACUACCCUCUCAUUAAAGUAAUACUUCCUGAUAUUAUUUUUAAACCUUUGCCCCUCUAAUUUAAGACUGUCCUUUUGUUGUGGUAGUUUUUCUUCUUCUAAAUAUGGUCUCCUCCUUUACUGUGUUGAUUCCCUUUAUGUAUUUAAAUGUUUCUAUCAUAUCCCCCCUGUCUCGUCUUUCCUCAAAGCUAUACAUGUUAAGAUCCUUUAACCUUUCCUGGUAAGUUUUAUCCUGCAAUCCAUGAACCAGUUUAGUAGCCCUUCUCUGAACUCUCUCUAAAGUAUCAACAUCCUUCUGGAGAUAAGGUCUCCAGUACUGUGUACAAUACUCCAAGUGAGGUCUCACCAGUGUUCUGUACAAUGGCAUGAGCACUUCUCUCUUGCUACUGCUAAUACCUCUCCAUAUACAAGCAAUCUGCUAGCAUCAGUGGCGUACACAUGACCCAUGGGGCCCAGGUGCGAAAACUGAUGCGCUGGCCGGGCCGCAACACAUGGCGGUGGGCACCUGGUCGCAGGGGUUACAGGACUGCGACCGCAGUGGGUACGCCAGUGCAUGCAGAUGCACGCACACUUAAAGGACCACUACAGACACCCAGAUCACAUCAGCUCAAUGAAGUUGUCUGGGUGUCAGGUCACUCUAGUUUUAACCCUGGAGCUGAAAACAUAGUUUCGGAGAAACUGUUUCACUGAGGGUUAAUCCAGCCUGUAGUGGCUGUCUCACUGACAGCCGCUAGAGGAGCACACUGAAGGUCCAUAGGAAAGAAUUGAGUAAUGCUUUCCUAUGGGCGGUUUGAAUGCGUGCGCGGUCACAUUCGGAGCAGAGAGGGUGAGGGAUCCCCAACGCCAAGGGAGUCCGGCGUUGGAGAAAGGUAAGUGCUGAAGACACACACACUCUCACAGACGCAUACACAUUAGCUAACAGACACACACAUUUACUGACAGAGACACACUCAGCGACAGACAUACAUACAUACAUACACACACACUCACUUACAAAACAUACUCUCAUUGACAAACACACCCUCACUAACAGACAUCAAACAGACUCACUAAGACACACACAGUAACACACUCACUAGCAGACACACACACUCUCACACUCACUCUAACACUCACACACGUUUUUUUUUUAAAUGUAAUCCUCCCAGCCUCCUUAAGUUUUGGAGUGCUGGGGGGAUUCCCUGGGGUCCAGUGGUGCUGCUGGGCUCCUGGGCGGGUGGCCGGUCGGGCGCGCGAGGGAGCACUGAGUGCUUCCUCUUCAGCUCCCUCGCGCACUGAGUGCUCCCUCGCGCGCCCGCCUGCCCGCCCGACCGGCCACCCGCCUGCCGGGUGACAGCAGGGCCAGCCUCAUGGGGCCCUAAGGUGGCCGCCUCCUGGGCCCCCCAUGGGAAGAGGCUGGCCCAGUGGGUACACACCGGGUCGCAGGGGCGGCCGGGCCCAGUCACAGCUGCGACCCUGGUAUGUACGCCACUGGCUAGCAUUUCCUGCUGCUCUAUUGCAUUGUCUGUCUAACUUUAAGUCAUCAGAAAUAAUCACCCCUAAAUCCCUUUCUUCAGAAGUUGAGGUUAGGACUCUAUCAAAUAUUCUGUACUCUGCCCUUGGGUUUUUUUACAUCCAAAAUGCAGUAUCUUGCACUUAUCCACAUUAAAUGUCAGUUGCCACAAUUUUUCUAGUUUACCUAAAUCAUUUGCCAUUUGGCUUAUCUCUCCUGGAACAUCAACCCUGUUACAUAUCUUAGUAUCAUCAGCAAAACGACACCCUUUACCAUCAAGACCUUCUGCAAUAUCACUAAUAAAAAUAUGAAAGAGAAUGGGUCCAAGUACAGAUCCCUGAGGUACUCUACUGGUGACAAACCCAUGCUACGAAUAUGCUCCAUUGACUACAACCCUCUGUUGCCUGUCACUCAGCCACUGCCUUACCCAUUCAACAAUAUUGGAAUCCAAACUUAAAGAUUGCAGUUUAUUGAUAAGCCUUCUAUGUGCAACAGUGUCAAAAGCCGUACUGAAAUCUAGGUAAGCAAUGUCUACUGCACCACCCUGAUCUAUUAUUUUAGUUACCCAAUCAAAAAAAUCAAUAAGAUUAGUUUGGCAUGAUCUUCUUGAAGUAAACACAUGCUUCUCUGAUCUUGAAAUCCAUGUGAUUUUAGAUGUUCAACAAUCCUAUCCUUUAAAAUGAUUUCCAUUACUUUCCCCACUACGGCAGUAAGGCUUACUGGCCUAUAGUUGCCUGACUCCUCCCUACUACCUUUCUUGUGAAUGGGCACAACAUUCGCUAAAUUCCAAUCUUCUGGGACUACUGUUAAAAGGCCAUUAUAGUGCCAGGAAAAAUAUAGGUCCCCCCUACCCUCAUGGCCCCCCUCCCGCCGGGCUGAAGGGGUUAAACUCUUACCUUUCUCCAGCGCCGGGCUCCCUCGGAACUGGGGAACUCUACUCCCUCUCCCGACGUCAGCUGUGAAUGCACAUGCGCGGCAAGAGCUUAAGUUACAUCUGAUUAAAAAUGAAACCAUUUUGUUUUCCUGACGGUGAAUUGAGCAGUGAAACUUCAGAGGCAUGGUCUAUACACAAAAUCCUUUAUUGACCCUGUAACUUUCCAAAACACCAUAAAACCUGUACAUGGGGGGUAUUGUUAUACUUGGGAGACUUCGCUGUCCACAAAUAUGAGUUUUUCAAACAGUAAAACCUAUAAAUCACCAGUAAAAGUGCAGUUUUUGUGUAAAAAAAAAAUGAAAAAACUAAUAUGAACGCUAACUUUGGCAAGCGUUUGUGACUAAGUGGCUACUACAAAAGACUGGACAUACCCCAUUUUGAACACCGUGGGUUGUCUACUUUUACAAAUGGUAUGUCAUUAUGGGGUUAAUUUUCAUUCCAAUCUAGCAAAUUUCAAUGUGCGAAAAGGGAAAAGCCUUACAUUUGACCCCUGUAAGUUUGAAGAAACUCAUAAAACCUGUACAGUGAGGGCACUGUUGUACUUUGGAGAUGUUGCUGAACACAUAUUGGGGUGUUCUUUGUCAGUUGCCCCACUUCAAAAAUGUCCCAAAUAGGACAUGGGUGCAUGAUGACCAGCUGUGAAAAUUCCAAGUUGGAAAACUGGAAUGAGCACCCUCCAAAUAAGGUCUUUUAGCCCCCAAAGAACCCAGCACACCUGCACAUGGGUGGUAUCACUGUACUCAGGAGAUAUUGCUGAACACAUAUUGAGGUGUUCUUUGGCAGCAAUACAUAACAGGAACUGAGAAUCCAUGCCUAAAAUACGUGUGUGAAAAAAAAAUGACUACCCAAAAGUUUGACAAAGACUGUUGGUGGAAUUAGUGCAUGGAAAGUGUUAAAAUACCACCAGUUGAAAUACCCUAAGGUGUGUACUUUUCAAAAAUAUAUGGUUUGAUGGGGGUAAAUUACACUGACCGGCUUAAAAAAUGUCCCAAAUAGGACAUGGGUGCAUGAUGACCAUCUGUGAAAAUUCCAAGUUGGAAAACUGGAAUGCGCACCCUCCAAAUAAUGUUUUUUAGCCCCCAGAGACCCCGACACACCUAUUCAUGGAGGUAUCAGUGUACUCAAGAGAUGUUUCUGAACACCUAAUGGGAUGUUCUUGGGCAGUAACCCUUAAAGUUCUCCGUACAUGUAUUCUUUAAAUGCUAUGUGUGUCAAAAAAAUCACCAAUUAUUUUUUUUGUUUUCAAUUUGGCAUAGAUUGGUGGUAAAAUGGUUGCAUGAAAAGAGUCAAAAUACCCUGAGUUUAAUACCUUAGGUUGUCUUCUUUAAAAAAAAUAUAUACAUGUGAAGGGUUAUUCAGGGAUUCCUGACAGAUAUCAGUCUUACAACAUGACUUGCGUUAAUUUUGAAAAAAAUGGUUUGGAAAUAGCAAAGUGCUAUUUAUACUUAUUGCCCUAUAACUUGCAAAAAAAGCUAAGAACAUGUUAACACUGGGUAUUUCUAAAAUCAGGACAACAUUUAGAAACUAUUUAGCACGGGCAUUUUUUGGCGGUUGUAGAUGCGCAACAGAUUUUGGGGGUCAAAGUUAGAAAAGGUGUGGGUUUUUUUUAAUUUUUCAUCGUAUUUUAUAAUUUAUUUUAUAAUAAAUUAUAUGAUAUGAUGAAAAUAAUGGUAUCUUUAGAACGGUAUAUAAUAUGUGUGGGUACAGUAAAUGAGUAAAAGGAAAAUUACAGCUAAACACAAACACCGCAGAAAUGUAAAAGAGCCCUGGUGCUUAACGGUACGAAAAUUGAAAAAUGGUCUGGUCACAUUUGCAGAAAUAAAAUGGGUGGUUGGCUCUAAACUUUAUAUUGUGUGUCUGAACUGUCACAGCUUCUAUCACUAAGGGAUUAAUUGGGGGGGAGGAGGGAGGAAUAAGAGAUGGGUUACUAAUUUUUGACAGGCUACUGUACCUGCAGAUUUGUCAGAGUGGAGAUAUCUAUAUAAUUAGUUACAUGGCUAUCUGCAUUAGGCCACUGUAAGCAUAUGUUGCGUUCCACGGCAUAAUGCGGAAGUAAAUUGGCCUGAUUGCACUGAUUAAGACUGUGGAACGCAUGUGCGUUCCAAUGAAGAAAAAGGAAGUGGAAUAGUAUAACUGUAUGAUGGAAGCACGCGCGCACGCACGUAAUUGACGCACGCACGCACGCAUGUACGUGCGUUCCAACCAGUGCGGCGUGCGUUCCACGGAGCCAACUUCCGGUCCGACAGAUGCCGGCAAUUUCAUCAUUUGGACUUGUAUAAAAGAACAAGAGGAUAUACUACAGACAUACCAACUGAGGAAGCCAGUUUAACUGGCGAAACGCGUUUUGGGAGUACUUUGGAAUCAUUCCAAGUAUUUUGAUUCAUUUUUAUUCUAUUUUAUAAUAUAUUUUAAAGUUUAAGCUUUUAUACAAUAAAUUUUGUUUACACCGUCCUGUGGAGUCUGCAAUUCCAUUCCUACUCAUAUGUAAGGAGGAAGACAUCAGGAGGAACAUAAAGAGGGUGGUGGAUCUCCCCUAGAAGAUCCUAAGGCGCUUACCACUAGAGCCAAGUGUUCUUUUGGCUCCACCUUUGUGAGUUACCCAUUUCAUAGUUAUUACUUAUCCUAUUCAUUUGUAAUUAUUGUCUACACUUAGAUCUGUUACCAUUUAUUCACAGAUUUUUUGACAAUAUUUGUCUCCCACAUCUUUAUAUUACUGUUCAUACAGGUAAUCCAGAGCUCCACUUAUAUUUUGUUUUAUUCACUGUAAGCAAGAGACAGGGAGUUAUAUCACUGUGGCAGUGAUCACUCAGAUCACACUGCUGCUAUUCUCUGCAGCCCGCAGCAGCUCUCACACAGCUGAGCAUUACCGUGGCAACCAAUGACGCUCCAAUUGUAACCCGAGCUGUUGCGUCCUGGAGAGAUGAAGGGGGGCAAGCUUUACAUGAGUAAGGGUCCAAUUUAGAGCUAGUUUCAGCUUUAAUUAUGCAUAGUUAAAGGAACCUAACUCUAAGUACUAGUGGAGCUUGGUCUAAGAAUCUGCCAGCUGACUUGUAGCUAGCCGAUCUAAUGUAAAUAGCUCAGUAACUUAUUAAGCUACAGUGCUAUUUGCACUCUGAUAGUUCUGUUUAUUAAAACAGAUUGUCAGGGUAAAACUAUUUUCACCUGAUCCUUUCUAAAGCUGCAGGAGGGGGAGGAAAGCCCUGCAAGAAAAAAACAAAACGUGCACACUCUCUCUCUCCAACGCAGUCAAAAUAUAUACUAAGACAAAGUGUGGACUGCUUAGUCUUUUUUUAAAGUUUGUUAAAAAGGCAGAGCUACCUUUUGUCAAGCCCCAAGCCAUCACUAUUGAUGGCUGAGGGGGAAAAAAAAGCUCUCUCUAUGGAGGAUUCUGCAACCUUGUGGGAUCCUCCAUAGGCCUUAGUUUUGUCAUUUUACACAUGCGUGAGAGUACAACGCUUACGAGGGCUUCUAGCAGCUGAAGUGCCAGGAGCUGAAGAGGACCAGCAGAAAGAAUAUUACCUUAUUUUCAUAAAUCAUAACAUUCAGUCAAUGAGCAGUGUGCUCAAAGUGAGGUGGCCAGCACAUCUGCCAGCCUGAGAAGCAUGCAUUCAUGCCAGACUGGUAUGUCUGUUUUAGGCAGGUGCAGGUUCUUUGGCAUCAUCAGUGAUACAAUCCAUGUCAUUGGCAUGCCUCCUCUAGGCCCACUUCAACCUGUACCGGGUUCCAUACCUUCCAAUGCUGGAAGGUAUGUGUGCAACAACAGGGGAUCUACCUUUUGGCCACCCUUAUUUAACUCUUGACAUUUUACUUUCAGAAUCACUGCUACAAUAGGUAGGUCUGAGUUUUCCCAAAUUGGCCUAUUUAGCUUAAAUGUCACAAGUAGGUAGUUAAUUGUAAAUAUUUUGUUAAUAAACCAAUUUAUUUUACAGUAGGCUGCUGCUUUGUGUUGAUUUGGACAACUGCCUGAUGAUGUCAAACUCCUAACUCCCAAAGUUCUGCUAGCAUCAAGUGAGCUGUUUUUAUCCGAGACUGACUUGGCAGCUUUAACGUUUCCAUUAAUGUAUUGCUUUAGUAAUAGCAUUUUAAAAAUGGCCCGUUGCCAGCCUUCCAGGAACAUUAAGUUUAGUUCUUCAUAGUUAAGGUGGCUAGAUAUGCAUAUUAAUCUGGGAUCUAUACAGAAAAAGCACACAGUGGGUCAGUAUCCACUUUAGGGCUUGUCUGCAUUAGGUAUUUUCUAGAGAUUUCACAAAUGAAAAUGCAGCAUAGCAUAUUUCUUUUGGGAAAUGUAACUGCCAGAUGGCCUAGUCCUCUAUGCCGUCAAGGUCAAAAAGAGCUGGUGGGAAAUCAAUAAGGAUAUUAUUAUAUUGUAGAAUAUAUGGUCUAUUUUGUAGAAUUGGACAAUCAGAGGAUAAUACUGACACAACCUGCAUGAAAACAAAAUGGUUUAAAUUCAAUGAGAUGUUAACUUACUUUAGUAAGUAUUUAUUUUAUGUCUGUAAAUUGAAAUUUAAGCACAUACAGGAGACUUAAGGUCUAGCAAACUAUUAACAGUGCAGGAGAUAAGAAAUUCUAAAUGAAACAGUUUGUGCAAUAAAGGAAAUGCAAACAUUAAAUCUUACAUUACAGGAAGUGUUUUGGAAGGUUGUGCAAAUUGCAUGCAGGAAGGUGUAACAAAGGCUGGAUAAACUAAGUAAUUUAACUUAUAAAUGGCAGAGAAUUAAGCAACUAGACUGCAGGGGCAUGAUCUAUACACCAAAACUGCUUCAUUAAGCAAACGUUGUGUUGGUGACUAUAGUAUCCCUUUAAGAGUUGAAUUAUACCCCAGUAUGUUGUGACUCUGGAGUGUACUUGCAUUAUUAAAUUGGGAAAUACAUUUAUGUGUGCUCAGAGAGCUCUUUUAAUUGCUCAAAUAUUCUUUGGCAAUCUCAGGUCAAUGGCUUAAAUACAUGUCCAACAUUAUUACAGACAGUUAUUCAGUAAACACAUUUUUGUUAUCUGGAUUUACAAUAUCCUGUAAAAAUGCCUGAAUUCCAACUGCAAUGGCUAUUCUCAUUUUUACUAGAGCUAAUUCUAGUCGGAAUUCGGUCAAAGUUGGCUUUUCAGUAACUGGUUUAAAAUCGAUGCUUUUCACAUCUAAAUUUUGUACAAAUGAUAGGAUUCUAAAUAUGUACGAGCACCAAUUUUCAGCACAAUGGAGACAGAAUGCAUCCAGCAGAAUGCACAUUCACAAAUUAUAGUUCGCUUGCUUUUAGCACUAGCAACCAGCAGGUAAAUAGUUAGAAAUCCUACAGCAGUUCAAGGGAUCACCAUGCGGUGGCUGGUCAGGGUUUGCAUUAAAAAAAGGUUAAUGAUCCCCCUCAUAGUAUAAGGCAGGUGGGGGCACGUUUACUAAACACUGAGCAGCCAGCUGCUGCUCAGCAUACAGAAUGUGAGAGCACUACUUCAUUACAAUCACUCAGUUGCUGCCCAGAAGCUAAAAGGCACCAUCUCAUGGAAAUGGCUCCUUUAAAAUAAUGGGGCGGGACCUGUUCCAUGAGUCUGUGCCCCUAAUAAUGUGUCCACCCACAUGCCUCCACACUGACAGAGUUUUUCAUGUUCAGAUUGUUAACAAUUCAAGGUGAUUUUAACAUUUUGGGCCAGGAUAGCAAGAGAAAAUUGUAAGAAAAAAAAUAAUACUUCUGUCAUCUGUGGUUUUGUUUUGGCUUUUUCAGCUUAAAUCUUCAAAUUCUCAAAUCAUUAUAGAUUUUUCACACUUUAGUGAAGGACAUUGUCAACAACUUAAAGUCCAAAUGGCAACAUUGAAGCUAAAAUGAUAAAGCUGUGACCAUUGCUGAAUUGGGAAUGUGCCCAGAUCAGCUAUUUUUUCUAAACUGUGCCAUGAGGAUUUUCCUACAAAUAGGAGUUUGGUGAAUAAACCCCUAUAAGUUUAAAGCAGAGGAUGUGGGUUUUUAUACCCAAGCUAAAAGAAAAAGUAGCAUCACAUUCAAGUCUCAUUAAAAGUAAAUUUACAUUAUGUCAUCUAGAAAAGAGGCAUUAUCUAGAUUGCACGAAUCACUUAAAACCCUAUUCCUCUUUGUCUUGUUUGUAGUUACAGGGCCAUUUUAAGCACCAUAACCACUACCGGCUCAUUGUUUAGCGUUAAACACAUUUUUAAUAGUUUGACAUUUAUCUGGGUACUUGAGAUGCAGGAAUUUUUUUCAAGAUAUUACUGUGGAAUUUCCUACUUUGGCAAUUAUUGGUAGUUAAUCCUCAUCCAAUGAAUUCUUUCCAGUUAGGACAACACUGAUAUUUCUAAAGUGAAAUAAGAACUUCUAUUCUAGUGAUGUCUGAAGACAGGUUGGACCAUGGGUGUCGGGACCCUGGAAAGUGUCAUUCCGUUUGAAAACAUUUUGACUCUUAACAGUGUUAAGAAACCAGAGAGCUAAAUUGGUUGUGGUACUUGAAGUGCUCCUUUAAAACCUGUUUCUGAUUUUUGUAUGCUAGUCUGCUGUUUGCAUAGUAUUCAGAAUAAUGCAAGAAUAUCAUAAAUGAAAGAUUACAGUGGGCAUCUAAAAAAUUCACACUCUGCAAAAAAAAAUAUACCAUCUAUAAAAAUAGCUGUAUUGAGUCCUAUAACAUUAUAGCACAAAUAAUAGUUUGCAGUGUGCAUGAAUCUCCUGUCUAGAUCACAUUACGUGUUCUCCACAUUUCUCUCUUCUUUUUUUUCUGGUUUGUUUUGAGCAGAAGAAUGGUGUUUCUAAAUUGGGCCAAUGAAAGCACAGAGGUGUUUCAUAUAGAGCCAAUCUGGUUAAGAGAAGCCUCUGCAGCAGUUCCCUGUCACACAGAGGGAGUGGUGGAUAGGCAGAGAAAAGAGGUAGGAAGAUGCUGCAGGUUUCAGCUUUUUGUAAAUGUUGUGAAUACGUUUGCCAUGCAUGACUUUUCAGGCCGCUCCUUUAUGCAAACUAGAACUGAAAAGUCUUUGUUGUCCUGCUAUGUUUCAGGAGAGGAUCCAAUAAAUGAUUAUUUCUUUCACUGUAGAAGCUGAUGAACUGAGCCUGCAUUAAACAUACUGCGACACUGAAGAAAGGAGAAGACUCACUCACAUCAUCUUUUACCGCAGGCAAGUAAAUGCUUAAAUAUUUUAAGCGUCAAAUCUAGAGCAUUAUUGCACCCAUGUAAGAGGAAUUGUAUAUAGUUAUGUGGUGCGGAAGCUUUCCAAAAAAUAUGCUAAUAGCCUAAGCCCUUAGCUACGCUUGCAGAUACAUUUUUGCAUUGGAAAAUACUGCGUAUUGGGCAGGCAUAAACCAUGUAGUUUAUGGGGAGAUUUGGGAGGCGUAGCUGUUGAGUCAUAGAGUUGGUAGCUCAACUGUGCUGAAAUUAGGAGGCUGUCAAGGAUUGAUGCCUGCAAGAUGUUCCUGGAAAGCACAGUUGCCUGCCCCCCAUCUUUUUCAAACAAUAAUCACUGUUUUAUCCUUUCUAUGAAUAAAAAAAAAAAACAACAUAUAUAAUACAAGCUAAAAAAUACGAGUGCUUCUUGGCAAAUCAGUGUCAGAUAUAAUUCUUAUCACCUUUUCAUUUUUGUAACAAAAGAACUGCGUGCAACAUUAAAUCCUCAUGUGGAAGGGGUGGAGCUAAACUAUUGGGUUAUGGGAAAUAUUUUUUUAAGGUAUUGCGCAGAGGAUGUUAACAUUACUAAUAUAGUCCUUAGGCACGACUGAAUGUUAAUUCUUCAUUUUUGUGAUUUCAUAGUGUGGGUAUUAUAUUAUGACACCUUUAAGCAGUUCUGCAUACACCCCCAAUCACUGUGCAGAAUUACAGCAACACACUCUUAGCAAAGUACAUUAGCUAACCGAAACUGUAGUGCUUUUCCUCUGGAUGUAAAAAGGAGGCGACAUAGGGGAAAUAAAGUAGGGCCUUUUUUUUUUUUUUUAUAAGAGGCAGGUGCAAAGUGAGCAUUGAUUCAAGUAAAAUCCUAUGCAGGAAGUUAACACUGAUUCUGCCAACCAUCUGCAGGCUGGCAUAGAAAGGGUUGCACUGAAUAUGAGAAACAUAUCAGGUGUGUGCUCUGCAGUACAAAAGCACCUAACUCGGUCGCCAUGUUGGGUUUACGCCUCGACUAUAAAAAUAUCUGCAAACAAAACAUAUAAUACAAUGUUUGCAAAAGUAAUACAUUAUACGAAUAAAGCAGUAUAGUAUUAUAUGUCAUUCACACCUUGAAAUUCCAUUACAUUCUUUGAUAUUUGGUUAGUGUUUGCUUUCAUUGUACCGAUUCUUUGUCCUUUGUGAUGUAGCAGAGAGAGAUAAUCUUAUUUCAUUCCAUGUGUGAUUGGAUAAUGUGAUCACUAGUACUUGCACUGACUGUAGAGGAAAUCUAUAAGGCUUAUUGUACCACUGUCCAUUUGCUCGGUGUUCCUUUAGUGUUCUACAAAUAAAAUUAGACCCUUGACUACUUUCAAGGCGUAGCAGCAAUAAACAAUAUGUUUUGUGUUUGCAUGUACAUUCUAUGAAUUAGAUUUUUAUUUAUUAGUUUUUUUUUUACCAAUAAAAUAUUUUUUUGACUUUGUUUUCUCUUAUUUCUAGGGAAUUGGUAUGACAAUGUUUAAAUUUCAAAUGGAUCACAGCCUGUGCAUCCAAGGAUCUUAACAUUUCCCAGCUGCUCCACACCCACUCUCAAAAUACUACUGUCGAUUCACUAUUGAUAUCAAAGCUGGAGAUAGUAUUAAACAUUACAUUGUUCUUGGCUACCAGCAGCCGAUGCAGGAUGUUCUCAAUGAAAAAAAACACGAAAUUGCUUUGGCUUUGUAAAUUAUAAUGUCUGGUUCAGUACUCUACAAGCCAAAAGUCAAAUGUUGCUUUAACAUUUUAACACUCAAUGUAGAUUAAUUUUAAGCAAGUCCAUAAGAGCAACAUGGGUGGUUAAGAUUCUUUUCUUAUGACAUAUAAUGUGACACAUUAAUUUAUUAUCUACUUCCUUGUAUUUGUGGCAAUGCAAAGCAAAGUCCUGGUAAUUCUUACCAAUCUAUAUACUGCCUCGUUGCUCUGGAACAUUACAAGCCAAUGGAUUUCCAAGAAUGUUCUUGUGUUUUGUGGGAACACAGAAACUUGCAGACAGACAAUUUGCAGACAUUUCUGACUUGUUAUAGAAAUAAAUCCCCAGUAUGGAAAUGUGGAAUGCCUUAUGUAUCAGUGCUUUUACAGACAGUUUUGAUAAAUAGCUGGACAUGGUUUCAUUAAAGUAGUGCAGAUUUUUUUUUUAAAGGUGGUAUAGAUGUCGAUAAUAAAAGUGUGUUGGUCCAGGGACAAAUCUUGUCUUUUAGGAAGAAUGAUUAGAAGGUUGAUUUUUUUUUUUCCCCUUCACUAUAGCAGUAUAACCCUUGAGCAUGUGUUUUUGCUUCUUUUGGAUUAACAGCCUCAGCAAGAAUAUGUGAAAGGUUGACUUAUUUUUUAAGUGUUUUAAAUGUUAUGAUCGCAUUCCUGCUCAGAUUGUGCUGGACAUUUAUAUGCGUCUUGUAGAUAGUUUAUGCUUUAAUAAAAAAGUUUCGUUUUUUUCUUGCCUAGGCUCAAAUCUGACUUUUAUGACGCUGAUAGCAAUCAGAAAGUGGCUGGAUAGUCCCAGCCAAUCUCUAAGCUCCUGCUGGUACCAACGAUAGAAGAACUGCAAGAAUGAGAUAAUGCCAUGCAUAUAUUAUGUAACUCAAAAGAAGCCACUCAUAAAUGCACAGUACACCUGUGAUGGCUUUCAAUGACGUUAACGGAAUGCAUGUAAUUACUUUUGAUUUAGGUUCGGAAGGCUGAGAGUGCAGUGACUUUAUUAUAUAUUUUGUUAAUUGGACAAGCACAUGCCUAGAUACAGUUUAAUGUUAUGUUUAGGAUUGUGAUAUACAAAUCAUACAGGUGUAGUUGGUGCUUGUACAUUCUUCUGCUACUAGAAUAUUUUGUGCAUGGCGUCUUGCGAGAUUCUGAACUUGGCAUUGUGUGUAUGGAUUGUUGUGCAGUCCACAUCCGUUUAUAAAAUUAAAACAUGAGGUAAAUAUGUAACAUAUGAAACAGAAAACAACGUUACUUUUCACUAUGCUCUGAAUGGUAGCGAAUGAAAUCCUGACUGACAAAAUAUAGGCUGAAAUAUCCAUUUUGGAAAAAUUAUCCAGCUGAGCUAUAGUUUACCGCUUUGAUUAAUUAAUCCUUUAAGGGAAACAUGGGCCCAAAAGUUGUUAUGAUGCCAAGAGAUCCCUGGCGCUGGCUUCUCUUUAGAGGUUAAACUAUUCAUGAGCAAUUUAACUCCAGAUUCCAGUAUCCAGCUUCCAAUCACUCUUCCCUCUGUUCUACCGCCGCUCAGAUUAUUGAAACAGACCACACUUAGGAGUGAGAGUGUCAGCUGACUCUCUGAGCCAGUUAGUAGCUCCCCAUUCAUAACAACAGUUUGAGAAAAAUACAUCUCUCAGUUUAUUUUGUGGCUGAAGCUCAUUCAUGUCCGCAACUUCCUCUUUCAAGAGUUUGAGCAGACGAAGGACAGGGGACAGAGCGAUCCGGUGCUGAUUAGUAUACUCUGGGGUUUGUGAAUGUGAAUGGUUUAAUCCCGAAUAGUAAGCUGGUGCCUGGAGUGUUCCUUUAAAUUUUUAAAUAUGGAUUUUUAGUUUCUACAGUUUGAAAUUUAGAGAAUAACCCAGUGGAUUCCAAACAUGUGAGGUUUCCACUGUCUUAUAGAUUGUUAGCACUUGCCUUAAGAAAAUCUUGUGAAUCAUGCAAUUUUUAUGACACGUUCUCAUUGAUAUAUUGACUAGUGACAUUACUAAUAAUAUGCAAAGUAAGAAAUAUCUAUAAGCCUGCCUAUAGGAAUAUCUUUCUACGAGAAAGACAUUCCUAUAGGCAGGCUUAUAGUUGGGUAAAUAAAGUGAAUGAUAAAAGAAAGUCAGACUAGGCACUAGUCAAAACACUGUAAAAUUAAUGGAAUUAUAUUUUCAAAAAGUGCAACUGUAUACAUGUUAUAGGUCAAAAGUGUACUUUGACAAAUACUAAUUGUUACAGAAAAUCAUGUUGAAGAAUCAAAAUCCAGAAAUAUUUCUAAUGGAUAAAAGGACACAAAUGGUAACCAUUAUUUCAAAGUGUGUUAAUACCUUUUUAGAGUGAUACUAACCCAUUGUUAGUCUUAUACCCUUAGUUCUUCUAUAGAUUGCCCUCUCUUGGUGAUAGAGGGUGCUAGCACGGUUAGAAAAUAAACAUUUGAAUAAAAUAUUGAAUCAAAUCAUAUACAACUUGCGUUAACCUUUUUUGAUGUGAUGCUUUGUUUUCUUUUAAAUGCACGUUAAAGGAAUAGCUUAGUUUUAAUGCAUUUUACAGAUAACAUGUUAAAAUAUUUAGAUGAAUAAAAUAAGAUGCUACUGCACAUGCACAUUAACAGGGUUAUUCACUGAAGUGAGAUUUGUCAGGGAGAAUUUUUCCUUGUCAGCUAAAUUUGUCUUUGAAUUCUUGAUUAUUGUCACAUUAGUAAAUAACGCUGUGUGCGUCAGUAGCAGGCUGACCCCUCUCUCCACACGAAGAGGCUCUACCAGUUUGGAGGUUCUCAUUCUGGUUUAUGGAGUCUGAUUUUAUAACCCUGUCCAGAGAGGUCUAUGUGAUAAGAAGCUUCUCCCAGGAUCAAUUUCACUUUUAAAAAAUGCAGUAGCGUGACUGUUUUAAAAAAUUUAUAGCUGUACAGUGUUAACAUAUAGCUCAAUUCCCAGUUUAGUAAAACAGGCUGUGUGUAGGAGAGAUAGUGUGUGCUGUGUUCACAUUGUACAGAAUUGACACAGGUAGGCCUGAAACUAAGAGUUAUAAAAGAAAGGAAAAAUGGAUCAGAGCUCCCUCACAAACCCUACAAAUAGAUAAGUAAUAUAUGAAAAAGGAAGAAAGGUAGCACCAAUAAUGUUAUGCUAUUAAAAUUUAUAAAAAAUAGUUACAGAUAAUAAAAAUAGUUACAGGUUGAGUCAGAAGUGGUUUACAAUUCGUGCAGACAUAUAAAACAGAAAAAUCCAAUGGUGGAGUAUAUCCUAAUCAACUGAGUAAUUAAUUAAAAAUAAAUGGACUCACAUGUACCAGAUGUACUCUAGUAUGAGGGGUGUAGAGUGGUAUGAUCCCCACUUCUAAGAUAUAUGAGUUGAUGUGAUAGUCAGGUUUUCUUAGCAGUAUGGAUAUUAUAGGACUCAAAAGAAAAACAGAACCAACAAAAAUAGUGCUCUCCAUAUGUAUUAAAGCAGGAGUAAAAAGAAAGUAAAUCUUACUCACAUUUUAUUGAGCAAGCUAACCGCUUAAUGUAUACCAUAGCGCACAGAUGGUAUGAUCCUCACCUUGGAUAAGAGUACGAGCUACCUGAUUGAUAGCUCUGGUAAGAGGAUCUGUCUUAAAAAUGUAUUUAUUUUAAUUCUUUAUUUUUCGUGCAUUGAUGAUACAGAUAACAUUUAGGCUAGCAAUGCCACACCAGCUGUUGCCAUAGUUUUGAGAGACAAAUAAUUACAAUUGCAUGGCUUGAAUAACUGUGCACAUUUUUUAAGUAAAAGACGAGAAACCAUAUUAUGUUGUAAGUCAUUGCGUGUGCUUGAGCAGUUAUAAGGCUUAACAACUGAAUGUGCUAUGGAAGGUGUAGAACGAUUAACUGCCACUUCCUAAUUCUAGCCUAGGGUGUAGCUGGAAAUGUUAUUUAUAUUAUAUUAGAAUCAGGCUUAUCAGAGAGAAGAACAUACUAAACAUACAUGUCUGAGCUGACUGGCUACGGCAUUCAAAUUCACUGAACAUUGUUAUACUGUAGUAGGUUUGUGGGUUACGGUUGUGUUACUUGAGAACAAUUCAGUGUGGUUCUGGCUAGGUACAGGAUUAUAAAUAGUGACAUACAUGGCUAUCUUUUGGUGUAGGCAAGAAUAAAACACGGAGUUUAUAGUGAGUAAUGUCGAGUGCAAUGUCUAGGUCCUUAUGUGAGUUGAAAAAUUUAGUUAUUUUUACUAAACACAAGUCAAGUUAAAGGGACUCUCCAGGCAAAAAUUUUACUCACCUGGUUCCAGCGCCGGGAGCCUCGUGAAGCCGCGCCCCCUAUUUCGUCAAAAUGAUGAAAUAGGCGGGCGCGAGCAGGGAGCAAUCAGACGCUUCCAUUUGGAAGCGUCAUUGCUCCCUUGUGCGCAUGCGCAGCAUUCAUGUCGCCCUCUGAAGUCCUGAGCGCACUACCACGCAUGCGCGCGUGUCCAGAAAGUAAUUUAAAGAAUAAUAAUCCACAGAACACUACUAAAAUUGCACAUUCUGCAUGUUCAAAUGUAAGUACAGAUACUAAAAUCCUGCGGUGAAGGAAAAGGAGAAAAAGGGGGUUUAUGAUAGGGACAAUCUUCAAGAAAGAAACUUUUUUUAUGGAAUCAGAGCAGUUAAAGUGAAUGUUAGCAACAAGGAACACAAUGAUGUGGGUUUAAUAUGAAGGUCUCAAACCUUUUGAGAAUUAUAUUUGUCCACAUGGAACAAUGGGUUUUCAGCAAGUUUGCACACUGCGUCCAGCCUGUCAUUUUUAAAACUAAAUCUUGCAUAUGACUAUCUAUGUAGCUUAGGUUUACUCUGUUUAAAUGAAAAUACAACUUCUUGAACACAGGUCUUUACUACACAAAGACACAAUCUGCAUCUAAUACACACAAACACUACAUACAUGACUGCCGACCAAUCCUCUUUCCUCCAAUGCCGCCAACAAAAAUAGAUGAGACCAGAAAUAUGAGUAACGGCAACGACCACAGCUUUAUUAAGUUUACAACUUUUAAUGGACCAGCAUUCCAUCCAACUGUCAGCUGUUGGGUAACUUCCCCUAACAGACAGAUCCCACUUCCUUGUCCAGAGUUUGUAUUAGCCUGCCUACUGCCAUCAGCCCUCGGCAGGCUGCAACUCCCCAAGCAGACUCAUCAUUCUACUUCACUUUUUUUUGUAAAAAUUUAUGUUUUCUGUGCCUGGAGAUAAUUGAGUUUAAUACAGUGCUGACUUAAUUAUCUCCCAGGCAUAGGGAGAUUUACCUAUUUUGUAUAGGAGUGUCCUGGACCUGAGAGCCAAUGUAAUCAUGUAUAGUAGCCUACUCUCAGGUCCAGGGGGGAGUGCACCUUGCAUGGGGACCUGCAUAUAAGGCGAGCUGUGGCUGCCAUUAAACAGAUUCGUUUUACUCUUCAUUAAGUCUAGGCUCAUGUUUGGGGGAUUGGAGAGCUAUAGUCACUCUUGGGAUUGCUAAAAUCACUAUACUCCCUUGAAUUACAACACUUGCUCUUGUAAGAGCAGUCUGCUUUGCUCUCUGGGCUACCCACUGGAAACUGGAUCCUGGUCUUGGCUCCAGUGUGGGUGGAGGACAGUGAUACCCCAACCAAGCUGCGUUGAUUUACGGUGGUUAUGGUUUCCAGUGCGGUGCUAAUGGUACUCAAGGUUUACUAGUAAGCAGCGAUUGAUGGAGGUACCCGGUCGCGCUGCCAGGCGGUCCGUCACACUCGCCACUGAACCCUGUCCACUUCAUCCAGAAAGCCCAAGUUCCUGCCGUAGGACCUCACCUACCCAGUAAACAUAAGAGUGGCCCUGAUCCACACAUAAUGAGGGGGACCUAUAAGAGAGGAAAGCAUUACAACAAAUGCGGCUGAAGAUACAGCCGAAAACUACCUGAGUCCCAUCUGCCCAAACUCUUAAUAGCAGUUGCUGAAUAAUCUAAGACGUCCGUUUGCAUGGCAGCCCCAAUUCGAAAGGUAUGAGCUGAAUAUCCAGCGGCGUCCACUCCGCAAGCUCGCAAUGCCAACCGGAGCAAUGAAAUGAAAACUGGUAUGACAUUAACGGCGACCCAUCCCGAUGUACCAACAGGAACCCUGCCGCCCCCGGCCUCACUUUCAAGUAGGCCCUGACCAACUAAACUGGACAAAAGGGGCCCCCACCGGCCCCAGUCCGCACCCACGCUCCACGACCCAAUCGGUCGGUCUCGGAUCAACGAAUCCGAAGAUCCAACAAAGAAUCGGACCUCCGAACAUCUGACAGCAACAUGGGACACCGACCGCAAGUUGGGCACCACCAACUCAUCUACUCGGAACGCGCCAAAAAAACUAAGGGAUAACGCAACCCGAAACAACAAAAGCUCAAACUCCGGAGCACACAUCUCCGGAAGGAUCGUUAAGAGCUGCCCCCGUAAGUCCACCGAAAUUGGUCUCUGAUGAUCCUUACCUUUCCUAUGCCUCCAACCUUUUAACACACUCUGAACACUAAACUCUUUCAUGAGAUCCCUCCACCCUAAAAAGCAAAGCAAAGACAAGGCUGACAUCGCUCGUUCCACAGAUGCACACGACUUACCCUGAGACUAUAACGCAGACAGGAACAGCAACAUAAUUUCAAACCUCCCUGACUCCGUAGCGAUCAUCGACAAAGGACAGCCACUACGACCACAUCGACCGAUAUGCCUGCCACGACGCUGGAAACAAAGACUCGGCCACCAGAUCCCUCAGUCCUCCAAAGCGAGGUCCCAUAAAGAUGCAGGACAAAUCCUUCCCACUCAAUCUGCUUCUCGUGCUGCCUCUCAAAAACGGUCCCACUGAAACCGAGAAAGAGUCAGCCACCACAUUUAACACACCUGGAACAUGAGCUGUCUUCACCCAAACAUUGAACUGCAAGCUCAGCAACACCAAGCACCGAAGCAACGCCAACAUGGGGGUGGAGGCCGACGAUGACCGAUUUUUCAUGGAUGGACCAUGCUCAUGUUGUCCAUGUGAAAAAUCACGACGCGCCCCCACAGGUCGUCUCCCCACAGCUCUAAGGACACUACAGUCAGAAAAAGCUCUAAAAAGGUAAUGUUACGAAUUAGCUCCAACUCCUUCCAACUCAAUGACCAAGGCUCCGUGCACCAGUGACCCCGAAAAAACGCACCGAAUCUGAAGCGUCCGUAAAAAGAUCCAGAGCUGCAUUGGAUGUGGCUUCCUUCAGCCAGCACAAAUGCCCAUUGUAGGUUCCUAGGAAAGAACUCCAUACCUGUAAAUCCUCCCGGAGACAUCUGUUGACCCGUAUAAAGUAAUGUGGUUCCAGAAUGUCCACCGUCGCUAACGACAAACGGACAACAAAAAACCCGACCCAUUGGAAGGACGCAAAUGCCAAGUGCCCCAAAAGAACCUGCAUUCAACGUAAUUGGACCUUCCUCGCACCCUUCACCUGGUUCACCAAAUCCAAGAGAACCGACAAUUUGUCAUCCGGCAGCCGAAAAAUCAUUGGCACCAUAUCAACCUCGAUCCCAAGAAACGACAACGUUGUGACUGGCCAAAACAUUUUCUGCUCUUACACAAACACAUAUUUUGGUAAAACAGCCCACCAAAGUGACAACCCAACAAAUGGAAGCACUCUGGGUGAACCGGCAACAAGCGGAAGGCUGACUCUAUAUCCGACUUAGCUAACAACGCCCCUGCUUCCCGCACCAAUUCCAACCCCCUUGCAAAGGAAGCGUAUCUCACCGGCAGACCUCCUUCCCAGGUCAUCGUCAUUCACCGAUCCCCCAACAGGGAAACUCACAAGUUGGGAAAGAGGGGUGAAGUCUAAAGGUCCUGCCAUCUGCCCCAACCGGCCCUCCUUGUUCAGCUUGUCUUGCAAAAUCGCCUCUUUCCCCGUUUACCGACUUCAAAUUAUCCGCGAACGAAAAAACUUCAGAAAAAACAAACGGUAUCCAAAAUCCCUCAGAAAAAAUCCCUCCUUUCACCAAAAUGUCCACGGUGCGCUUAUUGGGGUACCAGCCGAGCCACUGCCGCAUCAUUACUGCGCUCACCGGCAUCCUCACCUCUGGUAACAUCGUCCCUACCUGUGCAUUUUGCCAGGAACUGCUUACCCUUCUAAAGCAGCGCAUAGCAGGAUGCGCUCCUCCACAAUGGGCGCAUUCAUGACGGAACCAACGGGAGCUAAACCACGUACAGUGACUCUCGUUAAAGAGCCAGCAUACUCCUUUUUUCUGCCCUGCCGGUGCACUAGCGUGUGCGCUAGCUACUCCAGGAAAGGGCGAAGGCCUACACAGCGUUAUCAGGAGCAGCCGUAGUUUGCCUGCAUGCUAAAGUCCAUCCCCGGACAUGCCGUCAUCUUCACACAGUAACUUGUGUAGGUGUGAUUUAUAGGCCCCCAGGACAAAUUGAAGAGUUAGAUAAUCUACUAGUUGAGGAAAUAGCUAAAAUGACAAUGAAGGGGGAAGUUAUCAUCAUGGGUGACUUUAAUCUUCCUGAUGUAAAUUGGAAAACAAAAUUAGCUACUUGUGCCAGGAGCACACAUAUUCUAAACUCCCUACUGGGAUUGUCUCUAAAACAAGUUGUUGAGGAGCCAACUCGUAAAGAGGCCAUACUAGAUUUAGUGUUAACAAAUGGAGAUUUGGUAUCAGAUGUUACUGUAGGUGAAAGUUUAGGAUCCAGUGAUCAUCAGUCAGUGUGGUUUAAUAUAAGAACAGUGACUGAGUCACACCACACAAAAACAAAAGUUUUAGACUUUAGAAAAACAGACUUUUCUAAAAUUAGAAUAUGUGUAGAGGAGUCAUUAUCAGACUGGAGCAAUUUAAAUGGAGUCCAAGAGAAAUGGGAUUAUUUAAAAGUUGCACUACUGAAGGCAACAGAAAAUUGCAUUAGGCUUGUCAGUAAAAGCAAAAAAUUCAAGAAACCACUGUGGUACUCCGCAGAUGUGGCCAAAAUAGUUAAAAACAAAAAGUUAGCAUUUAGGAAUUAUAAAAAAACCCAGAGUGAGGAAGACAAAAUGAUCUAUAAGAUUAGGCAGAAAGAGGCUAAGCAAGUUAUAAGAGCUUCCAAAUCACACACAGAAGAGAAAAUAGCACAGUCAGUAAAAAAGGGGGAUAAAACAUUUUUAGAUACAUAAAUGAGAAAAGAAAAGUAAAACAAGGAUUAGUUAGAUUAAAAACAAAAGAAGGAAGGUAUGUAGAAGAGGAUAAAGGUCAGGCUGACUGCCUCAAUGAAUAUUUUUGUUCUGUAUUUACAGAAGAAAAUGAAGGAAAGGGACCUCAGUUGAGAAAAAGGAUAAAUGAGUCAUUUAUUACACGUGAGUUUACAGAGGAAGAGGUUCUAUUUCAACUGUCAAAAGUAAAGACAAAUAAGUCAAUGGGACCUGAUGGAAUACACCCAAAGCUAUUAAAAGAGCUUAGUGGUGUACUAGCAAAACCAUUAACAGAUUUAUUUAACCAAUCAUUGUUAACAGGAGUAGUCCCAGAAGAUUGGAAGUUAGCAAAUGUUGUGCCCAUUUACAAGAAAGGUAAUAGGGAGGAGUCGGGCAACUAUAGGCCAGUAAGCCUUACUUCAGUAGUGGGGAAAGUGAUGGAAACCAUGUUAAAGGAUAGGAUUGAUGAACAUCUAAAAACACAUGGAUUUCAAGAUCAGAGACAACAUGGGUUUACUUCAGGGAGAUCAUGCCAAACUAAUCUUAUUGAUUUUUUUGAUUGGGUAACUAAAAUUAUAGAUCAGGGUGGUGCAGUAGACAUUGCUUACCUAGAUUUCAGUAAGGCUUUUGACACUGUUGCACAUAGAAGGCUUAUCAAUAAACUGCAAUCUUUAAGUUUGGAUUCAAAUAUUGUUGAAUGGGUAAGGCAGUGGCUGAGUGACAGGCAACAGAGGGUUGUAGUUAAUGGAAUAUAUUCAAAGCUUGGACUUGUCACCAGUGGGGUACCUCAGGGAUCUGUACUUGGACCCAUUCUCUUUAAUAUUUUUAUUAGUGAUAUUGCAGAAGGUCUUGAUGGUAAGGUAUGUCUUUUUGCUGAUGAUACUAAGAUAUGUAACAGGGUUGAUGUUCCAGGAGGGAUAAGCCAAAUGACAAAUGAUUUAGGUAAACUAGAAAAAUGGUCAGAAUUGUGGCAACUGAUAUUUAAUGUGGAUAAGUGCAAGAUAAUGCAUCUUGGACGUAAAAACCCAAGGGCAGAGUACAGAAUAUUUGAUAGAGUCCUAACCUCAACAUAUGAGGAAAGUGAUUUAGGGGUGAUUAUUUCUGAUGACUUAAAGGUAGGCAGACAAUGUAAUAGAGCAGCAGGAAAUGCUAGCAGAAUGCUUGGUUGUAUAGGGAGAGGUAUUAGCAGUAGAAAGAGGGAAGUGCUCAUGCCAUUGUACAGAACACUGGUGAGACCUCACUUGGAGUAUUGUACACAGUACUGGAGACCGUAUCUUCAGAAGGAUAUUGAUACCUUAGAGAGGGUUCAGAGAAGGGCUACUAAACUGGUUCAUGGAUUGCGGGAUAAAACUUACCAGGAAAGGUUAAAGGAUCUUAACAUGUAUAGCUUGGAGGAAAGACGAGACAGGGGGGAUAUGAUAGAAACAUUUAAAUAUAUAAAGGGAAUCAACACAGUAAAGGAGGAGACUAUAUUUAAAAGAAGAAAAACUACCACAACAAGAGGACAUAGUCUUAAAUUAGAGGGACAAAGGUUUAAAAAUAAUAUCAGGAAGUAUUACUUUACUGAGAGGGUAGUGGAUGCAUGGAAUAGCCUUCCAGCUGAAGUGGUAGAGGUUAACACAGUAAAGGAGUUUAAGCAUGCAUGGGAUAGGCAUAAGGCUAUCCUAACUAUAAGAUAAGACUAGGGACUAAUGAAAGUAUUUAGAAAAUUGGGCAGACUAGAUGGGCCGAAUGGUUCUUAUCUGCCAUCACAUUCUAUGUUUCUAUGUCUGAACCAUAGAUUUUGUAUGCCCCUCAAAUUAAAUCAAGAUAACAAACAGAGAGGGGGCCUUUUCUGGUAACCACCGCACCAAGAUGCUUGCAAGAAUGUAACCCCCUACACUAACAGCCGGAGCUAAAGCUAAGUUUUCUCUAAAACUGCACGCAGAAAUCCCAGUACUUCACUAGACUGCAUAUCACCCCAAACGCUAGCGCGGGUUAACUCACCCCUGGGGAGAUGGACAGCUAACUCCAGAGCAGCAGGCUGGGCUGCUUCUUCCUCUCCCUCUGCUCCUAAGGUAGAAUCCAAAUCUUUCUGGAAAGCUGCACUCUCACCAAAUCUCCUGCCCACAUCUGGCAGAGUUCCGACCGCUUUCUGGACUCCUCUGCUGUGUCCGACUCGUCGGAGAGGUAAAGAUGGUGUGGCCUGUGACGUGGCAGCGUCCCUCCAUUGACGUCAUCCGUCUGCUACCUUGCGUCCGACGUUGUGACAUUAUAUCCGCCUGUCCCAGAACAGAAGGCAGACUUUGUGAGCAUCCCACCAUUCCGACGCCAUCUUGGGCCCUCACCUCAACGUCCUCACUGGGCCAACUGCUCCGCCUGGGCACACGGGGAACCUCCGCCGCCAUCCACCUUCCAUUGGGGGGAAAAAAAAGGAGAAAGUAUAAAUUAAAAAGUGAAGGAAAACAUAUAGUUUUAUAAGAGAAUCUAGGAGAAUAAGCAAGCCUGUGAAAUGCAAGGCUAAUUAACAGAGAGUAUUGAGUCAGAAAGGGUGAGUAACGUCAGAGGUUCUAAGAGGCAAAAUUUUUUCAAGGCAAGCAGUAUUCCUGAAUUGGGUGGAGAAAAAUGAAAAGUAAGAAAAAUAAAAAAGUAACCUAAUACUAGCUGUCUCUCUGAGAAAAAGUAAAUGCAUCAAUAAAAUUAUUGACCAAAUGUAAUUAAUCAUUGGAUUCAAUUAAAGAGCACACAAAUUAUAUUAUAUUGUAUUCUGUAUAUCACUUACUUGUCAAAUAUCCCCAUUCUAUAAUCUUAAAGCACUGUGGAAUAUGUUAGUGCUAUAAAAAAUGCUAAUAUAAUUAGUUAAACAACAUUGAAACAUGCUUAUUGUGUUGUAAUGGUGUGGGGGUGCUUUCCUGCUCCAGAACCUUCAAAAGUUGCCAUCAUUGAAGGUACCAUGCAUGAAUUCUAAUACCAGAACUUUCCAAAGGAUAAUUUCUAGCCAUAAGUCAGUUAUGUGAAGCAUAAUUGGGUUAUACAGCAGGGCAAUGCACAAAACUAAAAAAAAGUAAGUGCACUGUAGCUUAAACUUAAAAGGACACCAGGCACCAUAACAACUCCAUCUCAAUUAUUGUUGCUAGAAAAUCCCGGGUGCCUUCUUACUUUCACACAAUUAAAUGUUUCUGAAUAGUUUAACCCCAAACAUUUGAAUACAUAGCAUGUUCACCCAGUUCACCCAUCCAUCUGGAAACCUCAGACUUGAUGCUUUUGAUAAACUGAGAGUGUCAGCUGAUCACAAGCUCCUCAUUCAUAAAACUGAGUGAACCCCAUUGAUAUGUAGUACUUUAAAUGAAUAGUUUAUGCUUGAAAGCUUUCCAGUUGCUUAAUUAAAAUAACUCUGCAAAGAAAAGUGGGCCAAAAUUUCACCACAUGAUGUGAAAGAAAAUGAUCUCCAAUUAAAGAAACUGCUUGGUUGCAGUUGUUGCAAAAGUUGACUCAGUUAUUAAACAAUUAUUUUUCACACAAGGCCAGUUCGCGUUAAAUAACCUUUUUUACUAAACACAAUUAUCAUGUAAAUAUUGAAUUUAAUGUUGGGUCUACCUUGUCUUAAAAUUAACCUGUCUUUCUAGGUUGACUAUUAGUAUGUAACAGCACCACAUGCAGUAAUUAUAUCAUUUUUUAUACAAUAAUAUAUAUUAAUUUGCUUUAGGAGUGUUUAUAACAUUAUUUACAUGCUACCCUCACUCCAAAGCUGCCAUUCUCGGCAGAUCUAUGGGUUUUACAACAAUGCAACACUCAUAAACCUCCAAAAAUGGCAGUGCUGAGAUGAUGGGCACUCUACUGCCACACCCCAUCUAUAGCAAUUGACCCUCCUGGGGACACUUCGAGCAGAGCAAUCUUCACUAAUGAUGCAGACAUGCUUGCUUCAGCAUGCCAUCCUGUCUGGGCUGUGUGGGGUGUGCCACACAUACUGGAUCGGUGCAAGCAUUUUUGACUGCUAGCUUUAAUUACACAUCUGUCACUUCUUUAGCCUAGGGCAGUGUUUUUCCAACCUUUUUUCACGUGUGUACCCCAAGGCAGCCCUUUUCCAUGAAUUGUACCUCACAUAUUAACAAAAUAUUUCUUGCAGCUAUUUCAAAUGUAUAUGUUUUUCUGUGUCCAAUCUCCCAUUUUUAUCUGCACUAUUCUCUCUGCUUCUUCUCUGCCCCAUGCUCUCCCUGCUCCUCCCCUGCUUAAGUCUCUCCCUGCUUGUCCUCUGUCCUAGGCUCCCUCUUCUUCUCCUGGCCUCCUGCUUCUCCUCUGCCCCAGAAAUAUAAGUAUCUACAGUGCAGAUACACUGACACACAUGCAGGUACACAAAUACACACACUGACACACAUGCUAAUCAUGGAUACAAACACUGACACACAUAAAAACCCACUGACAUAUAGAUACAAAUACACACACUGAUACACCUGCAGACACAUGGAUAUAAAAACACAGACACAAUGACACAGAUUCACAGACAUACAAAUACAGGUACAAACACUGACACACAUACAGACUCACAUGCAGACACAGAUACAAACACUGACACAUGCAGUUACACAGACACACAGAUACAAAAACCGACACACAUGCAGAUGCACAGAAGCAAACACUGACACACAUCUAUAUUCACCGAUACACAACAUGCAGAUACACAGAAGCAAACACUGACACACAUCUAGAUACAAAGAUACACACACUAACACACAUGCAGAUAAACUGCCACACCUGCAAAUACACAGACAGAUACAGUGAUUUUAAAUGUGUUUUGUGCUUAUUUUUUUUACAUGCAUGGCAAUUUUCUUCAAUAAUUUUUGACAACUCAGGUGAAGAUACCUUUUGCCAACCCACCUCCCAAAAAGAAGUAAUGUCUUAUUCCUUUUUGUUUACCUUACCACCCCUUUAGUGUAUGUUAUCUCCCAUUUUUCCCCUUUGUACCUCUUACUUUUCCUCUUUGUGUGUCAUACGUUCCCCAGCCCCUUUGUGUGUCACUUUCUUACCUCAGUCCAUCUGUGUUAUUACCCCAUUCCCCAAUGUGUCACUGUCCCCAUCUCUAGCCUCUCUGUGUGUUACUGUUCCCUUCUCAGCCCCUCAGUGUGUGUCACUGUCCCCUUCCCAAGUCCCUCUGUGUCACUGUCUCCUUCUCAGUCCCUCAGUGUGUGUCAUUGUCCCCUGACCGUGAAGGUGUGCUGGCCCACCGGAAAAUUUCCCCCUAUCCCGUUGGGCCGGGCCAAGCCAGUCCUGCACACCAAUUGAACAGAUGGCCCUGUGUCUAACCACUUAUUAAAGGACAAAUAAAUAUAAUUGGGUGGGAGGGACAAAUAAAUAUAAUGAGGGGAGGGACAAAUAAAUAUAAUUUGGGAGAGUGACACAAAUGCUUGUCCCAUUCCUGCAUUAUUUUUCUAGUACCCUGCUUUUCUAGAAUAUUGUGAAAACAAUUAUGAAACCUCUUUAACUUGACAUUUUUCUGAAAUGAUAUGCAUUUGGGACAGAGGUCUUUUUGACACUUUUGCUACAUGUUCCUUCUAUUUUGAGGACAGAUAGGGUAUUCUUAUGGUAUCCUAUACAUAUACAUAAGCAGGGCUCCUCUUCCUAGUUUGGAGUCCCAUCUUCCCAAUUUGGUUCACUGGUGUCCUGUAUCCAGGAACAACAGGGCGCUGUCCUUAGGAAGCACAGUAAGAGCUCAAACUGUGCAGUGACUGCUAGGACCAUGCAGAGAAUUCUUCAGUAGUGCUCUAUGCAAGAUCCUGUAUGUUGAAGGCAAGCCAGGAGGCUAUCUGUCAGUCAUCAAUGCUUGAUGCAGGCUGACAUGAAUCUUCAAUGCGAUGGGUAGGGUUGCCACCUGGCCAGUAUUUUACUGGCACAGCCGGUAUUUCAGGCUGCCUGGCCGGUGGCGGUAUUGCAAUUAUACCGGCUAUACAAAUGCCGGUAUUUUUUUACUGAUUGAAAUUAGACGCAAUACCACCGCUGGCUGUGUGGAGAGAGGCAGAGACAGGAACUUGAUUGAAAUUAGACGCAAUACCACCGCUGGCUGUGUGGAGAGAGGCAGAGACAGGAACUUCAUCUCUCCACCUCUCUCUACACUCUGGGGGGACCCCACAGCACAGAGCAAGCAGAGCCAGCAACUCCCAGCCUGCAAUCAGCCUACUGAUCAGGUAAGUGAGUGGGGGGCAGUAACGUACUACGGGGGGGCGGAGGGGGCAGUCCGCCCCGGACGCCGUUCACUAGGGGGCUGCCCUUGGCACAUUUUCAUGCCACUUGCAGGAAUCUCCUCAUCCAGCAGCAGCAUGUCCUCUGUUCUCACGAUCCACAAGAGCGUUGCUAUGGCAACCCUCGGCAACGCUCUUGCAGAUCGUGAGAACAGAGGACAUGCUGCUGCUGGAUGUGGAGACUCCUGGGCCCCUCUUCACUGGGCAACCAUACUGGAAAUGUAGUGUGUCCCCCAGUGGUGUAUCCUGGUUUUGUACUGCCCUACGCAGGACAAAACUCAGGCUCCCUCCUUCCCCCCACCACUCCCACCCAACCCUUCCCCCGCCCCGCCUUCUAAAUACACACACAAUCACUGACAGAUACACAUACACUAGCUAACAGAAACACACUCACAAACACUAACAGACAAACACACACUCACUAACAGACAAAUACACACUCACACACAGACACACACACACUCACUAACAGACACACACACUCAUAGGCAAACACACUCACACUAACAGACACACACACACUAACAGACACACACUCACUCACUGACACACACUCACUAAUAGACACACACUCACUCACUAACAGACACAUUCACACUCACUAACAGAUACACACACACACACUAACAGACAGACACUAACAGACAGACAGUAACAGACACACAGUAACAGACACACACACACUAACAGACACACUCAAACUCACUAACAGACACACACUCACUAACAGACACACACUAACAGACAUACACACACACUCACUCACAUUAACACAUUUUUUUAUUUAACCCCCCUCCCCCAGCCUCCUUCCUUUGGGAAUGCUGGGGGGAUUCCCUCUCUUCCUGGGGGUGCAGUGGCUGCUGGGCGGGCGGCUGGCGAGGGAGCACUUCCUCUGAGCUGUCUGCUCAGCUCCCUCGCGUGCAACAGAGUGAUGCCGGGAACCGGAAUAUGACGUCAUAUUCCGGCUCCCAGCCUCACUCUGCGGCACGCGAGGGAGCUGAGCAGACAGAGCGUUGCUAUGGCAACCCCCGGCAACGCUCUUGCAGAUCGUGAGAACAGAGGACAUGCUGCUGCUGGAUGUGGAGACUCCUGGGCCCACUGGCGAGGGAAGUGCUCCCUCACCAGUGACGCCCGCCCGACUGGCAUGUCAGUUAGCCGCAAGGCUAACAAGACAUUUGCCCUGGGCAUUUGGGGUGGCUUUUUUUGCCGCCCCCUGGAAAAUGCCGCCCAAGGCAAAUGCCUUGUUUGCCUCGCGGCUAAAACGUCCCUGGUGUCCCCCCUCCCUGAACACAGGUAAGGGAGGGGAUACACAUACACACACAAACAAUACACACUGCUCACUAUACACACACACACAUCAUACACACUAUACACACAUCAUACACACUAUACACAGACACAGCAUACACACACCACACACACACAGCAUAUACACAAACAGCAAAACAAAUAACAGUUAAAUGGCUACUCUGAGCUAGAGGCUGAGCAAAAACUCUAUUACUGCAGGUUUUGGCUAAAUGACCUUUAUCUUCUGUUUAUUGGUUGUUAUUUUUUUUCUGUUAUGACACUUUGCAGCUUUUGUAGGCUGAGUAAAGAAAGUGCAAAAUAUGAGCCUCCUGUCUUGUCUUACAAUUAGCAGCACUAAACACUUGGUGGGAAGUAUGGUUUAUAUAUAUAUAUAUUGUAAUGAAUUGUCAAUAUAAUGCAUGAUAAACUGGGCCUUUAGAGCAACUUUAACUACUGCCCUAGUAACAGAGUUUCUUCAUUUAUUAAGGAUUGACGCACCCAUUACCAUGGGAACUGCAUUAUCGUGCUGGUUAGAAGGAACAGAUCUACCACAUUAAUGUAAUUUAAAAUAUUACUGUAGUCUUACAUAAAUCCCUCUUAGGCUUUUGAUAUAGACUCCCAUCUGGGAACUGUUUAUACUGCUUACAAAAUAGGCCAAGCAUGGCCUUCAGUUUAAUUAAAGCCGAUCAUGUUUAUCAGCAGUAUAUCGGCUCAUUGUAAGCCAUUUAUCAGUUCAGAUCAAUUAAAUUACUGCUGUUAAAUGCUUAUCGAAAAAUGAUAAAUAUUGUUUUAAGUCAAAAGCCUAUAUUUAACAUUGAAAAUUGACAUGGUUAUUUACUAAAGUAAGAAUUAAAGGUGAAUUCAAAGUGAAUUUCAAAGCUAAGGUCAAAAUAGAAAAUUGUAAAUAACCUUGAUAGACUUCAAUGACUUAGUUCCUUUUUCAGAUGCAUAGCGAGCAGAUGCCUACACACUGUUUAGCAGAUAUGCCUCCACCCAUAACAUGGUGAAUGGGGGCAUCAGGUACGUAAAAACCUCCCUUGUACUAAUGUGGUGGUCCAGAGGCGUAACUAGAAAUCACUGGGCCCAGGUGCAAAAAUUGCCCUGGGCCCCCUCCCCCCAGUGGUCUAAGUGUGUGUAUAGGGAACCAGUGUGUGUGUGUGUGUGUAGGGAAGCAGUGUGCGUGUGUGUGAGAGUGUGUUUGCUGGGUAGGAUAGGGGCUGUGGGGGCUAAAAGGGAGCAUCUUUUUUUAAAAAUAUAUUUAUUUUGUAAUGUAAUAAUAAAAAAUAAAAAAAUGUAAAUAUGAGAUAGGAGUAGUGAUGUUGGACUAGCCAACAUCAGAACCCCCAAGUAGGUUACAAGAGGUAACACACAACAAGUAAAUAACUACCAACUGAAAGAGUGGGAUAGAAAAACCACUCACUCAAAAGUGAAUGGGAUUCAAUCUCACUCUAGAAGAUUACCUCCUAAAGUAAACGUAACAAAGAAAAUGGUAAUAACCUUUAUUAAACUAAAAUUAAGCAAAUAAAAUAUAUAUAAUAGGUAUAAAGCUUACCCUGGAUAGAAACACCAUAGAAAGUUGUGUUAGUGAAAAUCACAUAAAGGUGAGGAAUUAGAAAUCUCUUAAUCUCCUAAAAAAUGAUAUAUAUAUAUUGUAUGUGCACAUACGUAUAGAGUCCGCUAAAAUAAAUAGUAGUAAGGCCUCUAAAGAGGACCAAGUAAGAUUAUAGAGACAUCCGAUAUGUGGACCAAUAUAUAAGAGAAACGGAACAUAAGUACAGACUUCUCCGUACAAAAGAUGAAAAUUAAAUGAACCAAGUAGCGCAAAAACGGUAAAAUACGUAAGUGAUAUAUAUAGCUGGGAUCGUGGUACCUAGCAAUAGUAAAAAUGCCGAUAUGGUACUGGAGUUAAACUGUGGUCAAUAGUAAUAUAUCCCCUAGUGUGAGUCUAAAAGAUACAUAAAAUCCACAGCGGUAUAUAACAGCAGUACCUUCAAUCAAAAAAGCCCCCUCCGAAAUUAGUAACUUUAGAGAAAAGGAGACAGUAUCCUAGAAAACCCUGGGCUUACUAUCUAGCCCACAGGCAGGCCAUAGAUACUAAACUGCUGCUUCAAGGCAGCCUAGCAAAUCCCUAUUAGCACAAACAGGUGUGGAGCUAUGUAGCCGACCCUGCUGUACAGACUCUCUGGGAGGCUAUAUGUCUCGUUUGGCAAUAUAAACUAUAGGGGAAAUCCAAUAGUGAUAUAUCCCCUAGUAAAAAAAAAAUGUAUUUAAUAUAUCUCCCCCUCCCUGUGCCCUACCAGUAUCCAGCAUAUUCCCUGGUUGUUUGGUUGUGCUGCAGAGGCUCUCUGCCUUCACCUCUGCUGGGUGAAGGCUCUUUCCGCAAGUCCUGGCACCAUGUGUAAUCGAGGGUUGCUGUGGUUACCGCAGCAACGCUUGGAAAGCCGGAACUCAGCGCAGAGGUGAAGGCAGAGAGCCUCCUCCCCUUCCUGCUGUGCAAACCCUGCAAAGACUCGGGAAGGGGCUGUGUGCAUGUAAGGGGCCCGGGCUUGCAGGGCCCUCAGAUGGCCUGGACCCCUAACAAGUGAAGAGGCUGUACCCCCCCAACUGGUGAUGGGCCCGGUUGCAGCUGCGACCGUAGUAGGUAUGCCACUGUGGUGGUUAUAUUGUCCCCAUAGGCAUUUAUAACAGGGUAAGUCUUCAAAAAAGAUUGCUAAAAGUGCUUCUGAUACACAUUCAUCUGAUACGCAUAUUUUCCUCAAGCAUCCAACCCAUUUAUAGAAUUCUGAUGUUUUUGGUUUGCAUUAAAUCCAGCAGAAAUAAUAAAAAAUACGAUCUGAAAAUAGUUAAUAUUUAUUUACCAUUUUCAGUCAUUACAAUUAAAUUGAGGCCAUGGAUCUUGAUGCCUACUAGCUUAGAGGCUUUUCAAAUUCUGCAGCUUUUUAGGAUAAGAACAUACUGUAUAUACUCGAGUAUAAGACGAGUUAUUCGGCAUGUUUUUUGUGCUGAAAAACCCCCACUGGUCUUAUACUCGAGUGAAUGUCUGUAUUAUGGCAACUUACUUUCCUGCAGCUCCUGUCAGCUCCCUUCUCUCUCCUCCGGUCCGGUCAGCUCCCCUGCAAGUCUCGCGAGAGCCGCGGGGUCAGAGCGUUGCCACAGGUUACCGUGGCAAUGCUCCGCGCGGCACUCACACCGCGAGAUUGCAGGGGAGCUGACCGGACCGGAGGAGAGAGAAGGGAGCUGACAGGAGCUGCAGGAAAGGUAAGUAAAAACUUCCUGCCAGCCCCCUCCUACACAGCCCAUCCACUGGACCACCAGGGAAUGAGAGCCCCCCUCCCUGGCCAGCUAACAAGCAGGGAGGGGGGACGAAGAAAAAUAACAUAAAACUUUAAAUAAAAUAACAUAAAAAUAAUAAUAUUAAAAAAAAUAUUAAAAUAAUAAUAAUAAUAAUAUAAAAAAAAUAAUAAAAAUGCCCACCCCCCACCAAGGCUCUGCAUCACAUACACAUACACACACUGCACUCAUACACACACACACUGCAUUCAUGCACACUCACUGCACUCAUACAUACACACUGUAUUCAUACACACACACUGCAUUCAUACACACACACACUGCACUCAUAUACACACACUGCAUUCAUACACACACACACUGCACUCAUACACACACACUGCAUUCAUACACACACACUGCACUCAUACACACACACACUGCAUUCAUACAGACACACUGUAUUCAUGCACACACACUGCAUUCAUACACACACACACUGCAUUCAUUAUAUACACACACUGUAAAUAAAUAUUCAAUUAAUAUAAUUUUUGGGGGAUCUAAUUUUAUUUAGAAAUUUACCAGUAGCUGCUGCAUUUCCCACCCUAGUCUUAUACUCGAGUCAAUAAGUUUUCCCAGUUUUUGGGGGUAAAAUUAGGGGUCUCGACUUAUAUUCGGGUCGACUUAUACUUCAGUAUAUACGGUAAUAGGAUUGCUACAUCAUAACUAAAAUUCAUAUUUUAUUAAGUUUGGUCACUAAACCAGCAAUUGUUUGGUGAUAGACAAUACAUUUGCACAUUUUAGGCCAAAAGAGUUAUCUUGUCAAUUCUCCAAAAGUCCUGAUUAUUAAAAAAAAGCUUAUUUUUCUACAAUAUUAAAUUCACUAAAAUUAAGCAAAUAGUAUAAAAUUUGAACAUUAAAGGAUACUCCAAACACUUUAGCUUGCUAGAAAUUGGCACUUUUCAGACAGCCGGUUUCUUCUAACUAAGCUGAGCACCCAGGGGCUAAGCUCAAGUGGCAGGAGCUUGCCCAGGGCACCUGCUUUUUAAAGACUGUGCCAGGAAGAAGGAAAGGAGUUGCAGCAGCUGCAAAUACUAGAUCUGCAGUUAUAGCAAGCUACGAUUUAAUAUAUUCCCAAAUAAACCACGCAAAAAGAAUUACAUAUAUGUUAAUGUCUAAUAUCUACUGUUAAAAAAAAAGUGUUCCUUUAAUGUAGGUUUCUAGUAGCUGUUGAGACAUAUUGAAAUAAUUCCUAAAGAAAACAUCAUUGCAUGCGGACUUGCAAUUAAAAUGUCUUAAUGCAAUAUUUUGCCUUUCUAAAAGGUUACCAUUAUUUCAGCUACACAUUCUAUGAGCCACCCACUGUUUAAUGUAGUGCAUCGUCAGCACAAAAUGUCACUGUAUACCAAUAUUAAGAAACACAGCAUGAAAUUUAUGCUAUUAGCGUCAAUGUAUCAGUUAGUAAUGCUUGUCACAUACAGCAGCUCUUUAUAAUUCUUGCUGGUGGUAAGAUUAAUGAUCUUGUCAUGAUUUUCGUCUUAUCAUAAUUAUCUAGCAAUUCAGCAUUCUCUCAGGGAAAAUAUAUUCUGAAAAAAAUAUAUACAAAAUUAGAAAACAUAUCCACCAAUGUUUUUUUAAAUAACUGUAUUAAUAUUAUAUUUUACUAUUUACUUUUGAUUAACAUAGACCUUUCUUGUAUAUUCUGAAAGGUGCACAAAUUACAGUGACCACCAUUAUGUCACGUUUUAAUUAUUUUUUUUAUUAUAUCACCUGCAAGCUCUACCACUUACGUAUAUAUGUUGCAAUUCUUUCUUUUCUUUUUUUUUCUAUAUCCUAGGUGUGCAUGUUUGCUCAAGCACACCUUCUGCAAGUGAAAGAAACCGACUUGGAUAGCGUAAGCAGGCAGUACAUGCCCAUGCCAUAAAUAUACUUGAAUGGUUCAAUGAGAAAACCUAACUUGGCAUUGUUUUUCUAUUAGCUUUAAAGUAUUAAACAGAGAGUUUAAAGGCCCACCAGGUACCCUUUACAUUUGGUUUUCUCCUACAUACAAAGCCAGAUAUCCCUAUAAAAUAAAGCAGACUCAUUUGCUGAAAUAACUCAGCUGACGCCCUCAACCAACCAGUACAGUACUGCAAGGCCAUGCUUUGAUCUAUAGAGCAAUACAGAUUCUCCUGCAGGGGAAAACCAGAUACAGCCGCAAGCAUCUGGUAGGACCAAGGUAAAUUGUCAAGAUACCAAAACCAGUACAGUGUGCUGCAGUUAUUACAAUGCCUGGAGUAUUGUCAAGCUACCAAAACCAUGAUAGGCGCACAGUCGGAUUUGCCGGCCUAUGCGCUAACCUUACCCAAACCCCCAUUAAAACACGGACACAGGUUAUACUGUUGGAAAUAAUUAGUCCACAGCUUUAUUAAAUUAUUAAUAAAAUAAUUAAGGAAUAACAAAUGGGGUCAUUGCCAACAAAUCCUAUUAAAGUUAACAUCCCCCCAUAUACAUAACAUACCUCUAGCAAUGACCCCACAAUAAUAACAAUAGAUAACAAUUUAACCCCUUAAGGACGGAGCCAAAUGUACACCUUGUGAACUAAACAAAAUGUAAACAAAACCUGGCAUUUGCGCUACGUCUGUCCAACCGUAAUUCACCUCUUUCAUAUUAAAUGCACCCACCCUUAUUAUAUAUCAUUUUAUUCAGGGGAAACAGGGCUUUCAUUUAAUAUCAAAUAUUUAGCUAUGAAACAUAAUUUAAUAUGAAAAAAAAUGGGAGAAAAUAAGAAAUUUUAUUUUUUUAGUUCUACAUGACAUUUUAACUGUCAAUGUCAUAAUACUGUUUGCUUUUACUGCAAUAAAAUACACAUAUUUGUAUUCAGCAAAGUCUCAAGUGUAAAACAGUACCCCCUAUGUACAGGUUUUAUGGCGUUUUGGGAAGUUACAGGGUCAAAUAUAGCACGUUACAUUUGAAAUUGAAAUUCGCCAGAUUGGUUACGUUGCCUUUGGGACUUUAUAGUAGCCCAGGAAUGAAAUUUACACCCAUAAUGGCAUACCAUUUGCAAUAGUAGACAACCCAAGGUAUUGCAAAUGGGGUAUGUCCAGUCUUUUUUAGUAGCCAUUUGGUCACAAACACUGGCCAAAGUUAGUGUUAGUAUUUGUUUGUGUGUGAAAAAUGCAAAAAACGCCAAUUUUGGCCAGUGUUUGUGACUAAGUGGCACUAAAAAAGACUGGACAUACCCUGUUUGCACCUUGGGUUGUCUACUAUUGCAAAUGGUAUGCCAUCAUCGGGGUAAUUUUCAUUCUUGGGCUACCAUAGGGUCUCAAAGGCAACGUAACCAAUCUGCCGAAUUUUAAUGUGAAAAAAAUGAAACGCAAGCCUUAUAUUUGACGCUGUAACUUUUGAAAACACCAUAAAACCUCUACAUGAGGGGUACUGUUGUACUCGGGAGACUUCGCUGAACACAAAUAUUUGUGUUUCAAAACAGUAAAAAGUAUCGCAGCAAUAAUAUCGUCCGUGUAAGUGCUGUUUGUGCGUGAAAAAUGCUAAAAAAGUCACUUUUACUGGCGAUAUCAUCGUUGUAAUACAUUUUACUGUUUUGAAACACUAAUAUUUGUGUUCAGCGAAGUCUCUCGAGUAGAACAAUACCCCACAUGUACAGGUUUUAUGGUGUCUUGGAAAGUUAUAGGGUUAAAUAUAGUGCUAGCAAAUUAAAUUCCCUUUACUCUCGGCAUGGGUUGUCAGGCAGGUCCCGCUAAUUGUAAUUAAUUAAGAUACCUAAUUAUGUAAAAAUAUUACAUAAAUAUAUAUGUAGAAUUAAUAUAUGUAUAUAUAUACGUAUGUGAAUCUAUAUGUGUAUAUAUAUAUAAUUUUUUAAAAAUAUUUUUAUUUAUAUAUAGGUAUAUAUAUAGUGAUAUAUACGUAUAUAUUUAUGUAUGUAGAUAUAUAUAUUUUCGUUCUACGUGUAUUUUGAUAUAAAUAUAUAUAUUAAUAUCACAAUACAGUUAGAACGAAAUAACACACAUCUCUAUAUUUUUUAAUUAUUUUUUAAUUAUCUUUUUAAUUUUAUUUUUUAACGUAUUUACAUAUUUAAUUUUUUAUAUUAUAUAUACAUAUAUAUAUAACAAUAAUUAUAUAUAUAUUUAAUCAGUAUCAGUCUACGUGUAAUUUGAUAUUAAUAUAUAUAUAUAUAUAAUUAUAUAUAUAUUAAUAGUAAAAUACACCUAGACACUAUAUGUGUGUGUAUGUAUAUCUGUAUAUAUAUACUUAGAUCAUAUAUAUAUAAUAUAUAUGAUCUAAGUAUAUAUUAUUUCUUUUUUUACACUUAUAAACUUUUAUUAAUUUUAUUCUCAGCCAGCAGGGGGACCACCUGUCAUUACAGGCAGCCCCCCUGCUGGCAAUGCAGGAGGCAGCCUACCCGGCCAUGUGAUUGUGAGGUCCUCGCAAGGACCUCACUCUCACAUGGCCGGGGGGCUUCCAGGGGGUCGGACUUCCGACGCCGGCGACUGGGUAAGUACAGAAAGACCGGAGGGCGUACUAUUACGCCCGGCGGCGUUUAGAGCCGCAUAUAAUAGAGCGUAAUAGUACGCUCUCCGGUCUUAAGGGGUUAAAUAACAUGUUAAUACAGAAACUGGCUGCCCAAUAUGACCACAUUUCCACCAGGUUAAAUUGUAGGGGUGUACCUAGACACCGCUACCCACCAUAUCGAUUGUAGGGGUGUACCAAGACACCGCUACCCACCAGUUCCAGUGUAGGGUGUACCAAGACACCACCACACCCCCAGGUUCGGAGCCACCGACGGGCUCGAAUCUACCAACCACAUGCAACACUGCCCAAUCCACACUAAACCUCAGGAUGCCCACUUUCUCCUCCAUCUACCCUCCGAUUUAACCAGGCCAUUCCCCGCCGCUGUGAAAAAACGGGAAAUCAACUAACCUAACCAAAUACAGGGAGGGUGGGAGGGACAACUGACAGGUAAGCUUAGGUUCAGUUAAAAUGGCCACUUCAUAUAAUGGCUGGUAUAAAUACUCCCCUAAUGGCUCCGCCCUACCCAGCAUACUAGCUGUCACUUCCUGUGGCUGCUAUGCCUCCUGGCUCUGUCAAGGCCUAUUUCUAUUAGCUGUGCUGAUCCAUGGGCUACAGUACAGUGUGCUGCAGUUAGUAUAAUGCCUGGAGUAUUCUUCUAAGAACACAAUGGCUGAAUUGAAAAAUAAAUGCCAACUUUUGCAAUUCAUUUGUCAAUUCUCCACCAUUUCACGUUCACUAAAUAACCCGAUGAGUAUCCUUAGGGCUUAAUUAAGAGUAACACAAAUACAUUGAUUGGUGGACAUGGAAUAAGGCUGUGAAUGCGCUUCAUGUGCAAAAAAAUAAAAUAUACCAACAAUUGAAUAAUAUAACACAAAUGUAAAUUACACAUUUAAAUCUGUUUUUUUGUGGCACUGCAGUAAAGAAAUCUACAGAAAUAAACUGGAAAAAAUGGAAAUAUAGAACUCCAACUGAUAUUACUUAAGGCACCAUAAGGAGAAGUAUUGUUCCAGGCUCAAAGAUUAAAUGACCUUUCAAACCACUUGAAAUUAAAAUAUUUAGUAAAUCUGUUGACUCUAGUCAAAUCUUUGUACUGGGGGUGGAGCCAACUGAACUGGAAGCAGUAGGCAUGUUAGUGGAUCUCCUCUGCAAUAUCACUUCAAUACUGUAUUUUUUUCCUGCUAAACAAGAAAUUGUCUUUAUUUUUCCAUAUACAUUGCCCCUGUUGAUAUAGUGGGCAAGAAAUCUAAAAGCAGCACCUGGCCAGACCUCCCUCACCUUAGCUCUGGAUUCCUAUGUGGUUUGUCAGCCAUGUGCAGAGCAGGCCAUCAUGGCAUCCUCGCGACCUACACCUAAACUUCCUCCAAGCCUGAGAGUAUCCCUUCUAUACUACCAAGUCCUUGAAUCGGAUGACGAAUCCAUACCUACAACUAAGAGAGAUAUUAAUGCCCUCUUUUGGGGCUUUAAACCAUUGUUCCUAAUGGACCUGGGGGACAUGAAGCCAGAACUCACCAUUCUCACAAAACAAGUGCCAGAGCUGGUGAUGGCGGUUCAGAUGUCAUCCACCUCUGUGGUGGCCACAGCCAAUACCACUCCAGUAAUUAGCCAACAGGACGAUCUUGAGUCUGCAGUGCAGGUCCUGCAGGUGCAAUGUUAGAAGUUGGGGGAUCCUAGAGGUAGUAGGCAUAAUGCCUUAAAAACCUACAAUGGACCACUAUGGUCAAACAUCCAAUAGUGGUACCAUGUGUCUUCAAGGUGAGGAUGGUAGUUUUGGCACCAGUGAACUCCCCUGAAAUGCCAUUGUUCAGAUGGCUACUAGGGCCAAUAAGAUAGUAGCACUUAAGCUGUCAGGGAAUUCGCAAGCCAUGGAUCAUGAUUGCUACACACUACAUAUUUAUCUGGACUUAUGCUUUCAUAUGUUUCAGUGUCGCAGAAAAUAUUCAGUGAUCACUUUUGUAUUCCAGGACAGAUGCAUUGAAUUAUAUAAAUGGGACCCUAUGGCAAGCCACAAUGGCUCACACAUUUACUCAGCCUCUCUAGCUAAUCCGGAGGUCUUUUUCAAAUUGCUAGGUCUCAGACGGUUGAGCUACUCUCUCUGUCUUCCCAGCAGCUCAUCAGCAGAAUGUAUGUGCCAUAUCUGAAGCACUAAACUCAAUUAUCAAGAGAAAAUUGCAGAGUCCCUUGCUUCAUUCACUCAUGGCUAAGCUGUGUACUGGCAUGUUCCCUCUACCUAAGAUCAAAGAAAAAAGGUGAUUAGCGCACACAUAAGAAAAUAACUUUGUUUUACCUUACGUAAAUUGUGUCUCAGGUAACCACAAAGCAAGUACUUUUUACACCUAUAUAUAAACAGACAAAACAUACAUAGUGUAAUCUGUAUAAGAAAUAACAAAGUGAGGACAUUUUUUUCUUCAAACUCACAAUUUUUUUAGCUAUUUAAAAGUUAGCUCUAGACUUAUAAUGCUCAUCAUCUCAUCCUUAAACGAUGCAGUGAUAAUCCAUCCAAAGUAUCCACAGGAACUUAUAGCUGAUAAAAUUCCAGUAAAAUUCAAAGUCCGCGGAGAGUUGAUAUAAAAAGUAUUUAUUCUCACAUAAAAUUUAAAAUAAAAAAUGUGUAUAUAUAUAUAUACAAAUAAGACAUAAAAAUAGCACAACGCGUUUCAACCUUUACAUAGGUCUUUCUCAAGUGCAUCUGACUUACAACUGGGCUUUAAAGCCCUUUUAUAGCAAAGAGUAAUUGGAACAAAGUACAUAAUUAUAGACAACUGUGUAUUCACUACCACCCACUUCCAUUUAUGGUCAUAGCCGGAAGUGCCGUGCCAUCCAAAAAAUGGCCGCACCUCCGGCUAUGAGUCCCAUUAAACUUGACCUCCCCAACAUGUCCGAUCGCAUUCUUCAUUAUAUGGAGUCCUGUUCGGUCUAAUCUCUUCCGAUGACAUCAACAUCCUGUCGUCUGUAUUCCGAUACGUCACUUCCGGUGACGUGUAUAUUCUAAUUUCUUUUGCAGUCACAUGACUCCUGGAGCUCGUUCUUUAUAGGGCUCGUCAGAAAUACAGAAAACGUCCUUUGUGCGGAUGUGAAUGUCCUCAGUUCAUGAUAUUUUGUAUCUCCACAAUUAAAAGGAGGGAAACAAUAAAAAAUAGUAUGAAAAAGAGGGAGACAAUAAAAAUAGUAUUAUUAAACACUUUUCUAUACAUACAGUUUUUUAAUAUAAAAUCAUUUAAAAAAUCCAUCAAAAUAUAUAUUUUUGUAAAUAGGAGAAAAAUUGAAGAGAUAAAACUCUAUUAAAAUAUAUUAACAAAUAAGUUUAAGAUUGAUAAUAAUAAUCUCUAUAAAAUACUAUUGAUUUCAAAAUCAAUAUUGAGACCCAAGGGAGAUAAAGUGCGUAUCUCAAAGAUCCACUUUACUUCUUGGGUACUCAAUUUUUUUGGAAGAUCUCCUCCUCUCCUCUUUUGUCCAUAGUGAUUUUAAAAAGAAAUCUAAUUUCUAUCCCGCAUUCCUUAAGUCCGACUCAAUGAAAGUUUUUGAGCGGUCAUGUUUGGAGGAUAUAUAUAAAAUCAAACCCCUUUCAAAAUACAGCUUGAAUGUAACAUUUGAGGAAAAAAGGAAUUUAGAAGAAUUAAGAAAAGAUCCAUCGAUAGUUAUUAAACCGGCUGAUAAAGGGGGGGGGAGUGGUAAUAAUGGAUAUGGAAAAUUAUUUACAGGAAAUUGAAAGACAGCUUCAAGAUUUUCAUACGUAUAAAAAAUUGAAAAAAGAUCCCACACAAGAAAUAAAGACAAUCUAUAAGACUUUUUUAGAGCAGGGAGAGAACGAUAAGAUUUUAAAUAAAAGUGAAUAAGCUUUUUUAUUUCCUGACCAUCCUCGUAUACCAGUAAUAUAUGUAUUACCAAAGUUACACAAAGAUCCCACUAAUCCACCGGGACAUCCUAUAAUAUCAGGCAUUAAUUCGAUUUUACCUCCGUUAUCCCAAUAUAUAGAUUUCCAUCUCCAACCUUUGGUCAAAAAUUGUCCCUCAUAUCUCCAGGAUUCAAUGAGUCUACUCAAGAUCCUUAAUAAUUUUAAAUGGGAAGAUGAUUAUCUCCUCAUUACAUGUAAUGUAACCAGUUUAUAUACCAUUAUUAAACAUGAGAAGGGAUGUGAAGCUACUGAGUUUUUUCUACAAGAAUCUAAGAAAUAUAAUAUCUCAGCUAAAUUUUAUUCUAAAUGGUAUUCAGAUUAUUCUUAAUAAUAACUACUUUUGGUUUGAAGGAGAUUUUUAUCUACAAGUUAGAGAUACGGCUAUGGGGACCAGGUUUGCACCAAGUUAUGCAAACCAUUUUUAUGGCAUAUUGGGAGCGCACUUUUAUUUAUCAAGGACAUGACUGUGGUGCAAACCUGGUCCUAUACAAAAGAUACAUAGAUGAUAUCUUUAUCAUAUGGAAAGGAUUUGAGGAUCUUUUUAACAGUUUUUUUAAUUCUCUUAACAUUAAUGAUUGGGGGAUUCGCCUAACUAAGUGUAUGAGCAAUACAAGUAUUGAUUUUUCAGACUUGAAUAUUCAGGUCUGUAAUAACAUUUUAACCACCCGUACUUUUUUUUAAAAUCAGUUGAUGUCAAUAGUUAUAUUAAAGUUAGUAGUUGCCAUCACAAACCAUGGUUGUCUAAUAUUCCUAGGGGACAAUUUUUAAGAUUACGUCGGAACUGUACGAAUGAUGAAGAUUUUUUUAAUCAAGCUGAAUUUUUAAAGACACAAUUUAUACAAAAGGGAUAUCAAAAGAAAGAUUUAGAUAUACAAGUUCAGGAAGUGUCAACCUUAAAAAGAUCUCCUUUAUUAAAAUAUAAAAAGAAAGAUGAUCUAUUGACAGGCAACGAUAAACAAAUCCCUCUUAUCUUCAAUUAUUCCAGUAAUAUAGGUAUUAUUAAAAAGAUUAUCAAUAAAAAUUGGAAUAUUUUAACUCAGGACGAAGAAAUACAGGAAUUUUUAGGUUCCAAACCUAAAUUUAUUUUUAGAGGUGCAAAAAAUGUUAAACAAAUUUUAACCAGUAGUUUUUUAGAAAAAACGUCCCAAGUUUAAUGGGACUCAUAGCCGGAGGUGCGGCCAUUUUUUGGAUGGCACGGCACUUCCGGCUAUGACCAUAAAUGGAAGUGGGUGGUAGUGAAUACACAGUUGUCUAUAAUUAUGUACUUUGUUCCAAUUACUCUUUGCUAUAAAAGGGCUUUAAAGCCCAGUUGUUAGUCAGAUGCACUUGAGAAAGACCUAUGUAAAGGUUGAAACGCGUUGUGCUAUUUUUUAUAUCUUAUUUGUAUACAUAUACAUUUUUUAUUUUAAAUUUUAUGUGAGAAUAAAUACUUUUUAUAUCAACUCUCCGCGGACUUUGAAUUUUACUGGAAUUUUACCAGCUAUAAGUUCCUGUGGAUACUUUGGAUGGAUUAUCAUUGCAUCGCUUAAGGAUGAGAUGAUGAGCAUUAUAAGUCUAGAGCUAACUUUUAAAUAGCUCAAAAAAUUGUGAGUUUGAAGAAAAAAAUGUCCUCACUUUAUUAUUUCUUAUACAGAUUACACUAUGUAUGUUUUGUCUGUUUAUAUAUAGGUGUAAAAAGUACUUGCUUUGUGGUUACCUGAGACACAAUUUACGUAAGGUAAAACAAAGUUAUUUUCUUAUGUGUGCGCUAAUCACCUUUUUUCUUUGAUCUUAUCACAAUUUAGAAGUGUAUUUUGGUGACACUACACUUGGGUAAUUUUGAGCUGCACCAUUCGUUUAAUAUUUAUAAGCGCCCUUCUUGUCCUUUUUUCUGUUGUUUAUAUGUUCCCUCUACCUAUCUGUGCAUAGUACACUGAGUGCCCUUUGCAGUUUUUUACACUUGGGAACAUUCUCCUGCAGCUGCCAGGUCAGGUGCUUACAGUAAAACUUUUCAAUAUCAGGUACUUACAGUGCAUCCGGAUGUGGAAUGUUACUCAGUAUUAGGGGAAAGAAAUAAUAGCACAUACAUCUCAUAAACCAUUCAAACAUUGCAUUGACCUGUUGUUCUUUACUACAGGACUGUAUUCUCAAUUAUAUUUUAGUAUAAAGAAACACAGCACUGGUUAGGAAUGGAACAAGUCCAUCCGCCAGGUUGUGAUGGUUGAGAGAUACAAUGGGGCCUAACCCCUAGAAGUGCAAAGAGAAAAUAGGACUAAUGGGUUGCAGAUUAUAAACAAUCUGCCUCCCAAAAAGACCUUGUAUCCUUAUGUGAAAAAAGCUACUCUGCAAUUAUAAAUAUAAAAGUGGAGCGCAGAGAGCAAAAAACGAAAAACUCUUUAUUAAUCCCUCUUGGGGGAGAAACACACAGAUACUAAACAAACAAGUAAUAAAAUUAGGAUCUAAUUGGAUAGAAUCGACUAGUCCAAAAUUAAUAGUAAUAUGGUCAGAAGAAAUGCUAUAAGUAUGUGUGUGGCAGAAUUACCAUAAAUAGUAGCAAAUAACUAUGACCAAAAGAGGGGAGAUACAUUAAAUGUAGCAAACUGAAGAUCUCUGAAUGCAAAAGUAAAUAAACUCUAUAAUUAGGACAAAGAGUAUAUCAAGUGCACAAAAAAUAUGUGCACAAAGAUCUACCAAAAUACGUUUGUAACAUUGCAGGAAAAAAGCCUGCAGUCUAAGUAGCCAGCAAUAUAAAUGUUAAGCAAACUGCCUAAACAGCUGUAGGAGAUUUGGGGGGAGGAGUCCUUAAUAUCAUGCUGGUAAUAGACUAGUAUCUAAUCCCACCAUAAAUAGAUAAAUGAUAGGACAGUCUGAAAACAAAAUAGAAUCCUAAAUUAAAAUCAUCAUCCGCUUUAGUAAAGUGCCCAACGCGCGUUUCGGCGAAGCAAGUCGCCCUUAUCAAGAGCAAUUUGCAGACUGAAGGGAGCCUCUUUUUAAAUGUGUUUAAAGCUCCACCCAUACGCAUGAUGUAACCACUGUUGUCCAAUCAGGAAAUAGGGGGCGGAGAAAAGUACCAAGCUCAACAGGAGUGAAGCUAAUUGUAGAUUUAACCCUCACAUAACCAAAAUAUGAAUGGAAGCUAGCACAUAUCUUCUAUCUUCAUAGAGUGAAGGCACAAAAUGUAAAAUGUAAAUGUAGCUAAACAGAAGAGCUGGCGAAAGUAGCGUAUAGAUGAACAUAACGCUACAGGAUAAAACAAAUGGAGCCCAUUUAGGGAACAAUUCGAUAGUAAUCAUGAUAAAUAUCACAACAGUGGCACUACAUGUAUGAGUAUGUCACACAGUGUAAAACUCAUCACAUAUAGUAAAGAUGUAAUAAUUGAGCACCAUGUGUGACUUUGUAUGUCUUAAUAAACUCUAUCAUGUAGUAAAUAUAAUGAGCCCAGAGAAAACAACAUUAGAGAGAUAUUCAAAAUUAUAUGAAUAGAAUAAUAAAUUAGGGCAUAGAAACAUAAGCCCCACAGUGUGGUUAAAAUAGAAAAAUAAAGUAAACUCAAAAAAUAAAGAGGGAGAAUACAUAUUGAUUCAAAGAGAAUUUGUUAAAGUAGAAAUCCUGUAUUGACUUAGAUAGCAAAUUGAAAAGUACUCCAUUAAUGGUAAAAUUAAAGGAGAGAUGGAGAUUGAAAAAAUGAAAAAAUUAAUGAAUAAAUAAAUGAAUGAAUAAAUGAAUGGAAAGUGAAGUAGUAUAAUAUAUCCAUAUUCACAUAUCAUGUAAUGUUGGUGAAAAUAACGAAUAAGUCGCAAAACUGAAAAGUAGUAGGUAAUGAUGGAAAUAGAUGAUAUUAAUGAUGAUGGACAGUUUAUCAAAACAUUACAGUUUUUAAAUAAAGGGGAAAAAAAAAAAAAGAAAAACCUUCAUUGAGACCUUUUGGGUAAAGUGUUCUAAGUUGAUAAAUCCAGAGGCUUUCCCGAUGUCUCAGAAAUCUGUCAUAGUUACCCCUACGUUUAUCCUUGCGCACCAAUUCCAAUCCACAGAACCGGAGUCCCUGCGGAUUGCCCGCAUGGAAGUCUCUCAGGUGACGACCUAUGGGAGUAUCAACAGGUAGUUUCGGAGAUCUAACAUGCUCCUUAAUGCGCUCCUUAAACGGUCUGAAAGUUUUUCCUACAUAUUGUAGCUUACAGGUGCAUGUAAGGAGAUAGACUAUACCAGCAGUAUUGCAAUUGAAAAAGGAUUUAAUCCCAAAAGCCUUUUUACCAUCGCUAUCCAUAAUAGACUUAGAGUCACGUUUGAUGUAUUUACACGCGACACAAUGGCCACAUUGGUAUGAUCCCACUGUAGGGGUGUGUAGCCAGGUGCGUGUGGGUGAACGAUGGAAAUGGCUUGGGACUAAAAGGUUCCUAAGGUUUUUGCCUCUACGUGCCGUCAUAUCCACAUUUGGCCCUAAGAGCAUUUUAAGGUGAACAUCAUCCAACAGACACGGCCAGAAUUUUUGGAUCUCAAACUUAACAGCCUCCCAGCCUGAAUCGUAAGUGGCUAUCAUCCGUGGGGCUUGAGGUUUGAUGGAGGUAUCCACUAUUUUUGGGGAUAGUAGAGUGCCUCUGUCUGCCUCUAAGGCCCUUCUAUAGGCUUUUUUAGGCAUUUAUUAGGAUAGCCCUUCAUUUUGAACUGUUGUCGCAAUAUGUUAGCUUGAAGCUUAAAAUCCUCAACAUCGCUGCAGUUCCUACGGGCUCUAAGAUAUUGCCCCGUCGGAAUGCCACGUUUAAGGGAUUGGGGAUGAAAACUCUCCCAACGAAAGAGACUGUUAGAAGAUGUGGGCUUUUUAUACAGCGUAGUGGUGAUGGAAUUACCACUGACCAUGAUCGUAAGGUCCAAAAAUUAAGUGUAUUGCCCCCGAACUCCGAAGUAAAAUAUAGGUUAAACUCAUUGAAAUUGAGUAGGGAUACAAAUUCAUCAAAAAAUUCCCUACUACCUGUCCACAAAAUCAAAAUAUCAUCAAUAUAACGGGCCCAAUGAUGAAUAAAGGGCCUGUAUGAUGAAAAAACAUCAGAUGCCACAACUACUUCCUCCCACCAACCUAGGUGGAGAUUGGCAUACGAUGGGGCACAAGCUGUCCCCAUCGCAUUGCCCUGUACCUGAUGGUAGAAUUUUUCAUUGAAGAGGAAGUAGUUGUGGCAGAGGAUAAACUCAAGAAGUUCCAAGUCAAAGUUAGAGUGAUCAUUAAGGUCAGCACCCCUUUUGUCCAGGUAAAAUUUAACAUGUUGAAUGCCCCCCUUGUGUGGUAUAGAUGAAUAUAAUGCUUCAACAUCAAGACUACAAAGUGCCAAUGUUUCGGGCACUGUUAGACUUGAUAGACGAACCAAAGUUUGCUUGGUGUCCUGAAUGAAGGAAGGUAACAAUUCCAGAAAUGGGCGGAGAACCUUAUCCAGAUAAAUACUACCAUUUUGGGUAAUGUUGUCAACACCCGAAACUAUGGGGCACCCAGGGGGAUUAAUCUGGCUUUUAUGGACUUUGGGCAGGCAGUAGAAGGUAGCUAUCCUGGGGAAUUUAUUCAGGAUGAAAUCAUAUUCAUCUCUGGAUAGCACCCCUCUACUGCGGCCCAUGUCCAAAAUUGCUUUGUAGUCCUGUAAGAAUGUAUUGGUGGGGUCUGUUCUGAGGAGAUGGUACGUAUCUCUAUCAUCAAGAAUCUUGAGAGUCAUUUUUAUAUAGUCUGCUGAAUUCAAAAUGACUAUAUUCCCUCCCUUGUCAGCCGGUUUGAUCGUAAUUGUGGUAUCCAGUUUUAAAGACUGGAGGGCUUUGUUCUCAGAUUUUGUAAGAUUCAUAUUGGGAAAGAAAUUCAAAUCCUUAUGAUUGAUGUUCUCUAUUGCAAAUUUGACUGACUCUAAAAAGAAUUCAAUAUUCUUAAAAUUCCCCAGAUUAGGUGUAAAGCGACUUUGAGGUUUUAAGUUUGUUUGUUGUAACGUGGUAUUUGUGUCGCUCUCAUCCAGGUCUUUUUGGGAGGCAGAUUGUUCAUAAUCUGCAACCCAUUAGUCCUAUUUUCUCUUUAUAUUUUAGUAUACUAAACAGGUCACCGGAACAGGUUAUCAUCACUGAGGGUAUGUAUAGUUAACUUUUUUUUGUGGGCAUGGGCUCUGUGUAAUGAAAUUGAAGUAGGAUUAAGGUGCUAAAGUAAGUGGUGAGAAUCGAUAGAGGUCUGUCAAAUACUGAAAGUAGGCAAAAAGACAUUAGAAAAAUAUGUUCAUUAAAUCAAGAUAUAUACAACAUAAAUAACAACUUGUAUUCUUGCCUUAGUUUUAAAAUAGGAUCAGGAAUAUAAGUGGCAAAAUAAAAAGAAUUUCAGCAACCAUGAUUUUUAUUAUGUGUGCUGGAAUGUUAUUUAGAAGCUGCAGGUGCAGAGCCAAUUUGAAAAAUGACCCAGAUAAGUAGAAAAAUGAAAGCCUGGUCAAUAGGACUCUGGUACAAUACAAUAAUUGCUAUGUGAUCAGUAUUGGAAUCUGAAUUUCUACCAACUAGAGUCGCUUGUAAAUCGUUAAAGGGACACUGUAGGCACCCAGGCCACUUUAGCUCAUUGAAAUGGUCUGGGUGCAAACUCCCAUCACCCUCAACCCUGAUUAUCUUUGUAGCAGAAGACCUCCAAAUACUGUUAUAUAUAUACUUUCCCCUUGUAUUCACCUGUUUCAUCCUUUUUCCGUUCGGGAGACUUCAUACAAACAGAAUUUUUUUGUCUCCCAAACUAGGACCACCCUUGUACCCCAUUAGAACGUUGACACCGACCACUUAAGUGCGAAACCACAAGGGAAGUAAUUAAUUAAUGCUUCCUCUGGGUGGCCGCCAUUUCGUGGCAGACAAAAGAGUGGUGGCUAUCUUGUCUCCCGAACAUUACUUGGUCGUCGAAUGCCUGGAACUCUCUUCGGCUAGGCACCGCUACCCGUUCUGUUUCCAGACGAACGACGUUCAGGAGAUAUGAACUACCUAACAGGGGGAGCAUACGUAUCCUGAAAUGAAGAAAUUCCCUUGCAUGGUGUUCGCACUGGAACCUCAUGAACGGAGACAGGCCAGGGUACCUAUUUCCCUGGAACUGUUUUGGGCUAGUGCCAUGUGCCUGCCGGUCAAAACUUUACCUCAAUGGCAUUUCCACAUCACCAAAUUGAGGAUAUGGGGAAUGUACUUUUUGUGGGGUUCCUAUGUAGGGUGGUGGUUCUUUUGGGGUACAGUAUAUUUUGUUGGAUUUUCAAGAUAUAAUUAAAUUAGAUGAUUUUUCUCACACAAUUAUCUCUCAGGCACAGAGGAUCCUGGGAUUGAAACCCCUGUAUUGGUGUGUUGAAAACCCCUUGUAUGGGACUGGUCAUAAAAGCCGUGUAUGCACCACUCACGCCUGCGAAGGAGAGCGAGGCUUAUGCAAAAGCGACGGAGUGCAGCCCUGCACAGCCCCACACAGGGGGAGGACUUGGCCCCAGGACGGCGGAGAGUCCGUGAGACAGUGGACAUGGCUCUAAGAAAGUCUCAGGGCAGGAGGGGCGCCUCAUCCAGACCGCGCUGGGAUACUUAUGAGGACACACAGGGUACCGAAGACGAGGAGCAGCUGGAGUGGCUCGUCAAUGCUACUUCCAGGCAUGUCACCACAGCCUCCAGCCUGGGAAUCGGCUGACCUUAUAUGGACUGACCCGCUAUACCACCUACAGUUCAUGCCUGAGUACAUAAUGUGAGAACUCUCUCUAUACAUUAUACUUUGUAAAUUAUACUCAUUACUUGUUUAUUUACACCUACUAAGCUACAUAAUCAGAUGACCUAACUGAUACCUUAUAUUUUUCCCUCUUUGUCCCUCCUCUGAUUAUAUUCCCUACUUAAGCACCCACACAUAUUUAGCCAGCAACAUUCAGGUUUUUCGCUCAUUUAAGCUACAGUAGUAUACACAUGAAUACCUAGCAUGACUUAUCGUGUUUUACAACAACCUGUUCAGAUGUAUAUAGCUGGAUAAAACGAACACCCUUACUGGCUGACUCGCUUAGGAGUUUCUCAUGAAUCAAGUUAAUGUACACGACUUUUGUCUCUCUGCUUUAACUGCUUUCACGCUGAUACCUUUCCCCAAUAGUACAAAAUUGUGCAUUAUGCAUUUAUGCGCUGAGAAAAAUUAAAACAAAUAAAAAAUACAUGGAAAAGCCGAGUGUGACUCAAUAAACUUCAGCUGUACUCCCAGAACUAUGUGUCGUCCAGUUGCUGGGGAGGAGGUGGAUAUAAGUGUGUGCUGGACUGGAUGCUGGUGCAGGAUGUGAUGAGAUAUAAAGAAUGCCCUUGGUGUAUGAUACAGAUGGUGAAGUUAAACCGGACCUGCAACCUCAAGCACUUUGGAGAGAAUUUAAAGAUUAAUCAUAUCAAUAAUUCUGGACAAGGGAUAAGAGCUUCUAAAGCUUAAGUGUAAAGUGAAAUGCUCAAGACUAUAAGAAAGGUACUAGGGUCAGCUGGUUUGUGAAUGCUUCAGGAGUAUUGAGAUUGGCACCUACCUACCAGAAUCUGGUUGCAAAGGUGCAUCAUGCAGGGGCCGGCUCUGGGGCUGCUAUGUUGAUCUGAGGUGCAGUGUGCAAAGAGGCUUUGUAUUUUGCAUACCUCUCUUUACUAACUCCAUACAGCAGUAAAGAAACACAUAGAAAAAAGAACCAAUCACAGGAGAGCAGGAUGUACAUAAGGCAAUGUGACCUCAUCAUUUCCUCUUUCUUUACUGCUCCAUCAAGCAGACAGGUCAGAGUAUUACUCUUCUCCAUUACUUUAUGUUUAUUGUGCCUCUUUGAGGUUGUUUCUGUAUUAUAUUUUUUUUAAAUACUUUACUGUAUGUUCUUGCUGUGCUUCUGUACUAUGUGCAGCUGUGUUUUUCUAUGUUAUUUCAUAGAUAUUAUGUAGAUUUAACGUAAUCCUUAUUUCAUAACCUUUAGUUGUGAUUAAUAUCACUUGUAAUUUAUCAGUUUUAUAGGCAUUUCAUCUUUUGUUUUGAUAAGUAUUAUAUGUACUUUAUAUGUAUUUAAUAGAUGUCAUAUGUGUUUUAUGCCAUGGAUUUAAUAGGUGUUAGGUGUAAAUUUUAUUAUUGACUUAAUAGGUUUUAUGUAUAGUUAUGGUAGAUGUACUUUAUACCAUAUGUAUCAUGACUUUUCUGGCGAUUUUCCUGGUCUUCUAUACCUGGGGCAUCUGGGGACCCUCUUUCCCCGUUUUCCUCCUUCUUCCCAGGGUCUCAUGGGGAUUCUGGGUCUGGUUGGGGCUUAAGCCCUUCCCUCCAGCGGUUCCCGUCGGCUCCCGCCGGCUCCAGGGCAUUAACCCCUUCUUCCGGCCUAUCCGUUCGACCCCUUCCUCCUACAACCCUCAGGGGGACGGCCAGACUCACUGCCCUUGCUCUCUCAGGCUGCCCCAUACCAUACACCCGGUAAUGUGCUGGAUGCUUUCCAACAUCCACUACCUUGGUGCAGGGCAGUCUGUGGGGCAACCAUGAGGUAGCCCGAGAAUGACGCGGUGGCCAUCUUUGAUCCCGCAUCUACCGAGACUCCAGGGACCAUGUUCCCCUUCCUUUACGGCCAUCUUUAAUCUUGCGUCUUGCGAGAUUAUGGGCGGCCGUUUUGCUACUCUCAUCCACCACGAUUUCGGCUCUCGAGAGUAACAUAUACCUUGGCUGUCGUGACUCAUGAUGCUCUGACACAGACGUUGGAGCCCAGGGUCCCAAGUUCGAAUCCAGGCAAAGGUAAGUAUUUUAACUGGCCUAUUAUUGUCAGAUUUGAGUCGUACUCAUGUAUAGUGGUUCGAGGUGCUGGAACCUUAAAGGGAUAUCACCCCCAAAAAUCCCUUAAAGGGAUAGCACCCUCAAAUUCCUUAAAGGGAUCCUUAAAAGGAUACCACCCUGGUGCUACUUAAAAGGGAUACCAAAUGCCAUUGUAUCAAGAUGGUACUGUAUAAGUACAUAUCAGUGAUGGAAGAUUUGAAGGGAUAUCAUCUGGAUCAGGGUUCAGGAAUCUACAGCAAGACUUUAUGUCUGGAUGCUCAAAGGGAUGACCCCUAUCACUUAGACUACCUGUCAGAACACGACAGAGUUUAGUGCUAUAUCCUAUUAUCCCUCAGAGGUCAGUCACUUUUGUCUCAUUACUGCCAUAUUAAGCACUAAAGGGCUUAUUACCCUGUGCCUGCCUGGGGUGCUGCCCCUAUUACCUGCUUUUUGGAGGUCGCACUGUGGCCACUUCUGUGAUUCUGGGUGAGGCUCAGUUAUACAAAUCCCAAUAUUGUGGUUUGCCCUGCUGGGACAAUUUGACAACACUUAGUGACAGAUACAGAAUACCAUGCCGGGGUUAUUACACCUUACUGUCAUUUAUACAGACCCUGCUGGGCAUUAUUUACACUACAACAGAUACCCUGCUGGGGUACCCCAUAUCACACACCCUGCUGGGGUUGUUUUGGUACUUUGAGACAAUAAAUUGCACACAAUAAGUGCACACUACUGCAUAUCACACACCCUGCUGGGGUCGUUUUGCUACUUUGAGACAAUGAAUUGCACACAAAAAAUUGCACACUACUACAGCCUGCUGGGGUCUGCAUGGUGCAUUGCACACAAUGAAAUGGAUUGUGCUCUCAUCCAGUAUGUUUUAUUUGGCCGUGACCCACGCUUGACGGGUACAUACUCCGCGCACCUGAGGUGAUCUCUGACUAGGUAUAAGCAAAUCUAUUCGGCUAAAAAGGGGACAGAGUUGCAAGCUUCAGUGCAGAAUAUCCCCCAUGGCGGUGCAUGGUAAUUAUUGGAAGAGCUGUAGGCCAGCACUGAUGGGUUCAUACCCUGUGCAACCGGGGUGAGCCCCCUACAGCACUGCUGCUUCUACUCCUACCCCUAUCAACAGCAAGCUCGAGGAUUGAAAACCAGAACUUCAGAUCUGGGACCAGCACUUACAGGUUCAGACCCGGUGCUCUCGGGGUGAGACCCCUACGAUGGGGGAGUCACACUACCCGACCGAAGGAAGUCUUAUGGCAACAGCCCCUACCUACACCUGAAGGAAUACCUCCAUUGAUAAUGAAUCAUGAUAUGGUACGGGUUUAUGCCCUGUACCUAUUCUGCGGCCUGCAGUUAAAGGCUCAUGCCCUAUGCACCGGGCCCGGCUAGGCGUGCACUGCACUAAAAUGCCGAACAAAGGCAUGUGGUUACAACCGCUGAACAGGAGUUCCGAGCUGCCUACUUAACAAUAUAUAUUCCCCUUGAGGUGAAUUUAAUAAUGAAAGAGGUGACUGACACUCAUACCCUGUGCACCUCGGGUGAGCCCCCACUAUAUGUGCGCUGCACAGUGCUGCUGAGCGGAGGCAAUGCUAUGGCAACCUCUAUGUACUGGGUGAGCCCCAGUCUGUUUUAUUUGGCCACGAUUCGGAAUAAGACCCGCAAGGUUUUCCAUGAACACUGCCUACUGUCAUAGUAGACUAAUCUGUUUGCCCUGCAUCCUGUGCCUGAAUACUGGUUUGUGCCUUACACAGGGGUAUCCCUUACUAGGAUAACCCUACUUGACAACGUUAUGCACUCAUGGCUUUGCAGCCUCUUGCUUAGAAUGUCCAUAUCCGCUAACGGUCGGACAACCCCAUGCCCUUCCAUGCCGGUCAGAACGGUUCAGACAACUAUAGUGACCAGCGGAGGAGGUCUUUCAGGAUUCACAACCUUACCAUGGGCGAUGCCGGACGCCGCCAAACAUCGUCCAGGAAUGGGCAUACAACUUGGGUAUAUGGACUCAAAAAACUGUUUCUGCUCCUCGCAGGAAACCCCAGUGUUGACCUCUCCCAUAGGAUGCCCAUAGCAGCACUCCUCCGCACUGACGGAUGGUUGGCGGUACUGGGCGCCAAGAUAGUCGGAACCCCAGACACAAGGCACAAAGUUCUGAAGGGAACUUAUUAGACACACAAGGGUCCCACGGCUUUCAUAAGGGCCCAAACCCCUAGGAGGGAGGAGUUAUGCGAUUACCUUUACAAGGGAUUCUUUGCACCGGUUGGCAACAGAGCCGGUCGUCAACCACUUCGGGACAUCUGACCCGAGAUCCGCUACCGCUAGCUCUAUUACCCAUAAAGAGCAAGAGUCAACCAAUGGUGCUCCAGAUAAGCGGACGGAGAACACGGUACGCACAGAUACCAUCAAUAUACCUCCUACUACAUCCACAGGGGAUUUCACCACAUCUAGGUGAAAGGCACUCAAAACUGGGGAAGACCACUUUCACGUAGUAAACCGACUUGUGUUCAGGACCUAAAGACACGUCAGGACGGUCUUCUUCCUUCCCGCUCGACCACCUUAUCCAGUUUUCAGGGGACAUCCUCUCCUUCCCGAUCCAGUAGCUCGGAGCCUGGUGGGCCCUGAUAAACUACCGAAAGAAGUCAUGUAUACAGGUGGGGAAAACAAGACACCCUCUUCCGGGAGAACCUCAUUCAGAUCACUCCAGGGAACUGAAAACCCGUCAACACCCAUGUUCAUCCGAGAACCGGCUGGAACCUCCAGACUUGUAGAAGACUAUUCGCUCAGAGGAUUCGUAGACUAUCCCACAACUUGGGAAUAUUCGCACGACUCUCCGCUGCACCACCGCAACCCUGUACAUUGUAUACCUAGACUUCUUGGUCCUAUACUUCACAAUACAUGGAUUGAUAAAGAAGUACUAGAUCGGCUGCACCCUACUGCACCCUACUGCAGGUAACCACAGAUUAGGCGGUCAGGUUUCACAUCCACCGGUAUGGACCAACUCACGUUUAUGAGACAACAUGUAAGCUCCUUCGAUCCCAGUCUUCUUCACAGAAGAUCAACCCGUCUCCUGGGGGAGACACAUCUCAUAGGGGCUGACUGAUUUGGAUAUUACCACUCGUCACAGUAUAAGUCGAGGCAUGAUGGUGAUCGCGCUCCGUCCGACCGGACCUCCCCGAAGGACUUCUCAUGCUUACAAGGUCUACAGAAAUUCUCGAGCAGGCGAGGAUCUUCUCCUGCUACAUUCAUGAUCGACAAUUCCUCACGGAGCCGUAGGGUACUCACAUCUUCUAUCCCAGGAGAGUCGGCUACCUGGGGUCCUGGACCCACUUUGGGGGUUUCUUGGCAGGUCAGCGGACGAUCGCAGACUGCCAGGGACUUCUUGGGAAUCUGGGAACCCAGGGAUGCGUUGACCCUACCCCUACAUCUGGACAUUCCCAGCCUGUCUGGUUCAGUCCUGCAUCUUGAUCCCUAAUGUGAGGAUGGACCCGUAUCACUACCGGAGAACGCCCAAGGGACUAGGAUCCUCUAGGAUACCAACUACCCAAUGUCAUACCUCUCAAGCUUAUGAGUUGUGGAGGUCGUUCUCCUUUCACUCUACGGGACUAAACAUCCUGCUGACAAACAGUCAGACUUGGUCUUGUAUAAUUUCCCGUUAGAUGGUGUAUACGUGGGCACUCAACGAGGAAGACUCCCCAUAACGCCGAAUACUGGGUCUCUCGGCACACCAUAGGACUCUUUUUUAGUUCUAUACUCUUUUCUCAGAGUUAAAAAUGCAAAAUACGAAGCCUGUCAUGAGGUAAAAUUGAAGAUUAUGCUAGCUUUAGUGUACUCUUCAUUUUAAUAAUGACAGGAGGCGAGUUAUUUCCCCCCCUGCUUCGCUGCCCACCCUUUCUAUUUAUUUGCUUUGCAGAUAUCAGGGGCUAAGGUAGGUUUGCCUCUCACAUUGAUGCUUAUAUGAUAUGGAAUCCUCAUUAGAGUUCUCAUUACAAUUACUCAGUUAUCAGAUUAUGUUAGGUGUUACCUUAAUUGGAGUUACAUGUUCGUGACUAUGUCUUAACCUGUCACACAUUAUCUUUUCAGUAUGAUUCGUCUCUGAAGAUAAUUGGCAGUUCACGUGAAACUAUUGGAGAUUUUAUCCUUUGGAUUUGUCUCAACCCUGAACUCUUUUUCGUUGUUCGUAUAGAAAUCUUUGGAAGUUUGCUCCUUCGCACAUGGGAACUUGGAGUUAUUAUUAGUUUUAUUGUUUGCUAUAUAUUUACUUCUGCUUGUUGUCGCUUUCUGAAAGAGGAAAUGAUGAGGUCACAUUGCCUUAUGUACAUCCUGCUCUCCUGUGAUUGGUUCUUUUUUCUAUGUGUUUCUUUACUGCCGGAUGGAGUUAGUAAAGAGAGAUAUGCAAAAUACUCGCCUGCUGUCAUUAUUAAAAUUAAGAUUAUUAGUACACUAAAGCUAGCAUAAUCUUCAAUUCUCUACACUGAUUUCUGAGCUUCCUUUGUGCACUCUGUAUGCUGUUGGAGCUGGGAUAUAAUGUCAUCCCAGCAACAGUACAGAGCUGCUGAAUAUGGAGGUUGGGUGCACCUCAUUGUGAAAAAGAAUACUAUUUAAUUAUGUAUUUAAUUGUAUUUAUUUAUUUAUUUGAAAUAAAACAUAAUAAUGCAUGUUGAAGUAAUUAUGAAUGUCUGUGUAUAAGCCAGUCUGUACAUUGAAACAUAGCAUGUGAUGGCAGAUAAGAACAAUUCGGACCAUCUACUCUGCCCAAUUUUUUUAAAUACUUUCAUUAGUCCCUGACCUUAUUUUAUAGCUAGGAUAGCCUUUUGCCUAUCCCAUGCAAGCUUAACCUCCUUCAGCUGGAAGACUAUUCCAUGCAUCCACUAUCCUCUCAGUAAAGUAAUACUUCCUGAUACUAUUUUUAAACCUGUGCCCCUCUUAUUUAAGACAAUGUCCUCUUGUUGUGGUAGCUUUUCUUCUUUUAAAUGUAGUCUCCUCCUUGAUUCCCUUUAUGUAUUUUUUUUUUUUAAUAGUUUAUUAUUUUUCUUUUUUUGUAACGUAUGUUGUACAUGCAUAUAAAACAUUUCACAGUCAAUAAAAUGCAUACAAAGACAAUUACAGGGAGACAAUUAUAAAGUGUUACCAUGCUUGUAGCUCUAACAUAUUAAUAAACAUUAUUCUUAUUCUCCGCGUAAAAUAUUUCCAGCCUUUAAACUUCAGUAAAGAAGGAAAGUAUCAAAAACCUAAGAUAGAAUAACCUUCUCAUUCCUCUCUACUGAUAGGCUAAUAUUACACACUUACACAGACAGAACAUAACUAACAAUAAAGUUGACAAUGUAUCCUUGAUAUUUAUUAUAUCCUUCCUAACACCUAUUUACUACCACCCUUUCAGGAGACUCCUUUUUAUCUUUAAAUAGACUAUCUUAUAUUGAAUUUUCAAGAAUCUUUAUCCAUUUAUCCCAUAUCUCAAAUAGACAAAUAUUGAUGUUCAGACUAGAUGCUAUACCCCUUUCCAUUUUACAUUGGGUUAUAAUAAUUGUCUUAAUAUGUGGCCAUGAAUCAAUUAGAGUUUUUUUCCAGUUUUUGGCUAUGGACAUCUUAAAGGCCAUCAGAGCAUGUAUCAAUAGACAUUUCUUAUCUAUAGUCAGUAGCGGUAAAUUUAAAUGUAAAAGCAGAGUAUCUGGGGUCCAAAUAUGGGUGAUGCUCAAAAGAGUAUUUAUAUGUCCCAUAAAAUGGUCCUAUGCUGCUUUAAUUGGAGGACACUCCCACCAUAUAUGCAGUUCAUUUGCCUCCUUGCUACCGCAUCUCCAACAUCUAGAAGACUCUUCCUUAGAGAAUUUCUGAAUCUUAUUUGGAGUCAUAUACCAGCGAUUUAAAAGCUUAUAAUGAGCCUCCCUGAUAUUUAAACAAUGUACCAGCGAGUAGACUGUAUGAAGGGCCCUAUUCCAAUCCUUUAUAUUAAUUUCUGUUGAGAAAUCUCUUUCCCAUUUACUUUUUGCUAAGGGCUGGACAAACCCUUUUAUGCUUUUCAUAAUCACUACGCAUCUAGUUAAUAUUUUUAUAUCCUUCUCUGAGUCUAUCAAUGCAUUCAAUUUGGCUACUGAAGGUGACUUUGAAAUACCGCCAAGGAAGCUUUGUAAAAAGCUCCUGAUCCUUAUAUAUUUAAAAGUCUGUGAAGAAGAAAGCCCAUAAAUUCUCUGUAACUCUGGAAAGGAAAUAAUCCUACUCCCCUCUAGUAUAUCCUCUAUUUUUUUAAUCCCCUUACCAAGCCAUUCUGUUAUAUUCAAAUUUUCUAUCCAGACCUCUAGACUUUUAAAGGGUAGAACUGGUAAUAUUUUAUUUUUUAAUUCUAAUUGAUUUUUAAAAUAAGACCAAAAUUUUACUAACGGUUUUGUUAUCAAAUUGUCCGUAGAACAUCCUAUAUUUCUAUUUGGACUUUUAUUUCUUAAAGGCCACAUUAAUUCUACAAUAUUAUAUGGGAUAGUAAUAUCUUCCCCCUCAAUUUCAAACCAAUUCGGUGAGAUUUUAUUUUGUUUGAUUAGGGGGAGGGUAUGCAUUAGUUGAGCUGCUUGAUGGUAUAAGAAAAUAUUUGGGAAACCAAUACCUCCAUGCUUAUAUUUCAUAUAGGAGAUCCUGACCUAAUCUGGGUUUCUUCUGAAGCCAUACAUAAUCUCUAAAGAUCUUAUUUAUAAGUUUUACUGUGUUGAUUCCCUUUAUGUAUUUAAAUGUUUUUUUAUCAUAUCCCCCCUGUCUCGUCUUUCCUCCAAGCUAUACAUGUUAAGAUCCUUUAACAUUCAUGAUAAGUUUUAUCCUGUAAUCCACGAACCAGUUUAAUAGCCCUUCUCUGAACUCUCUCCAAAGUAUUAAUAUCCUUCAGAAUAUACUGUCUCCAGUACUGCGUACAAUACUCCAAGUGAGGUCUCACCAGGGUUCUGUACAAUGGCAUGAGCAUUUCCCUAUUUAUACUGCUAAUACCUCUCCCUAUACAACCAAGUAUUCUGCUAGCCUUUCCAGUUUAUUGAUAAGCCUUCUAUGUGCAACAAAGUCAAAAGCCUUACUGAAAUCUAGGUAAGCAAUAUCUACUGCACCACCCUGAUCUAUUAUUUUCGUUAGCCAAUGAAAAAAAAUAAUAAGAUUAGUUUGGCAUGAUCUCCCUGACGUAAACCCAUGUUGUCUCUGAUCUUGAAAUCCGUGUGAUUUUAGAUGUUCAACAAUCCUAUCCUUUAACAUAGUUUCCAUUACUUUCCCCACUACUGAAGUUAGGCUUACUGGCCUAUAGUUGCCCGACUCCUCUCUACUACCGUUCUUGUAAUUGGGAACCACAUUAGCUAACUUCCAAUCUUCUGGGACUACUCCUGUUAACAAUGAUUGGUUAAAUAAAUCUGUUAAUGGUUUUGCUAGUACACCGCUAAGCUCUUUUAAUAGCUUUGGGUGUAUUCCAUCAGGUCCCAUUGACUUGUUUGUCCUUACUUUUGACAGUUGAAAUACAACCUUUUCCUCUGUAAACUCACAUGUAACAAAUUACUCAUUUGUCUUUUUUCCUAACUGAGGUCCCAGCCUUCCUCCUACAAUUCGACUCUUUUCUCUGCAAAAGUAAACUACUUCAACACCCUCAUAACCAAGCUCUUCUGCAAACCCAAAUGUCUAUUUUAACAUUCUUCUUCGCCUUCCUCCUAUCACCUUGUCCACCACACACUUUGCAAUCACUUUACUGAGAAGAUUUAUACAACCAGGGAAGAGAUCUCUCUUCUCUUUCCCUCCCCUACCAAUACUCCCUCAUCUCCACUCCCUUUACUGUUCUAUGCUAAUUCGCACCCGCUACAUCGGAAGAGAUUGCUGCUCUGCUCUGGUCCUCCCGCCCCACCACCUUUUCCCUUUAAUCUCAUCCACACUCCCCAUCCAAAUACCGCCCUCUCUCACUACUGCCGUUUGCCUCCAAGAAUCUUCAGAGAGUUGUGUAUGAUAAGACUCCUCGAAUCCAAUUAGUUGUAUCUAAAUUAUUUGGCUUGUAUCUUGACCAUUCUCCAUUCUUUUAUCCUUGAAAUUGAGCUUGUCUACUCAUUUACGUACUCUCUUUCUCAUUGAUAGGUCUUACUUGUACUAUUCUAUAUAGUGUUAAGUCUGGUAACUCUGCCAGGUAAUACAAUGUAGUAUUCUGAUUUAUGAUUGUUUAUAUUUGUUCUGCGUGUUGGGUGAUAGUCAAUCCUGACAUUAUGACUGGGCCAUUGACGCUGCAGCUUCAGUCAGCAAAAGACAACAUGUGAGGCUAAAGUUGAGAAACUUGAUCACCGUAUGAAUCCGUUCGCUCAGGCAUUUCAUACUUUAUUGAACCUCCAACCUUAGUCGCUUCCUGCUCUACAUGUAUACCAGCAGACUGCCAUUGCAAAAUCCUUUGCACACAGUGCCCCUUCGAUAAGUCUGUCUCCUCCUCCAUUUCUUGGCGAGCCACUUGAAUGUAGGGGUUUUCUUAACUGAUUAUGCUAUUAAAUUCCUUACACUUGCAGCAGAGGUCGAUUGGACCAACAGUUCCUCUUUUGAUUUCAUGAGUACCUUUCUGAUACACUUCUAGAUGAGACUGCAACUAGGGAAUGUUUGGAUAAAUAUAUAUCAUAUAUGUUACAUAUUGACAACAGACUCAAGGAGGGAGAGAAAACCAGGAAUAGAAUUAUAGGGACACUCCACUGACCAAAUACAAAACAAAUAAAAAUUACUAUUCAGUAGAUAUACUUUAAAUGAAAACAUGCAUACAUUUAAUUAUUAUUUUUUAUUAGGAGAAUAUCAUAAAACAUCUUGCAAAACUUGCAGUUGUUUCCCCUUUUAACUCUGCCCAGACUUUUUGUGGCUGUCCAAUCGUAGAUUUCCCAAUGUAGCUCAGUGAGAAAUCUUUACAAGACAGGUGCUCUGAGCAAUUAAUGUCUUUUGAGUUCAGCUCCACUGAGGUAAACAAACCAGUGAAUAACAGAACCAGUUGUCUAAAGUGCUUUCUGGAGUGUCCUUUUAAGCAUCCAUCUGUUCCAUAGACUCUUCGUUUAACUCUUUCUACUCCUGCAGUUGCACCUGAACCUGAACUUAUGCGAUUGGGAGUAAUGCAUUUAUUUGAAAUUGAGAAACAAUACUGUCAGACUUAGGGUCUAUGCCUUUAUUAGGGGGAAAAUCUACGUAGAUUUUGUCCAGUUCAUCCAGAAAACCCACGCACCUAAAAACCAUCAGUGGACCUGCCUUAGGUAUUUUGCAUAUGUUCCCUGCUAUGCCUCACAAUUGGAGUACUCACAACAUAAAUAGCAAAGCUCUCAUACAUUCUGGAGCUAUAGUAAAUGUUAUUGAUCAUGCUUUUGUCACUCAUCACCAUAUACUUCUUAGGGAGAUAUCCACACCUAUGGCCACUAAGGCCAUAGAUGGUAGAUCCCUCUAGAAACUAAUACUAACCCAUGAAACCUGUUCUUUGACUCUUUCUUUAGGGCCUCUAAACAAAAAAAACAUUGUUUUUAAACUAAUUACCUCUCCUUCUGUUGCCUUUAGAACAUCCCUAGUUGGUCAAGCAUAAUCCCGUCUUGGACUGGGUACAGGAGAACAUUUGCUAAUGGGGAACAGGUUGCAAGGAGUGCCUCCUUUCUAUUAAACAUUUCAGCAUCAUUAAUGUACCUACUAUGUUCCCUUAUCUAUUGCUGUUCCACCUCAAUAUGACUAUGUUAAAGAAGUAUUCAACAAGUUCCAUUACCACCAAACAAACUAUAUCUUUAGAACUAUUACGAUGCACUAUGCCAUCUAGAGUUAGAUGUACCCGUUGUUGACUCAUGAAAUCAAGAUAAUGGAGGAGUAUAUCCAAGAUGCUCUCACCAAGAGGUUUAUACGUAGAUCAUCCUCACUUGCAGGUGUAGGGAUAUUCUUUGUCUCAAAAAAGGAGGGUGAUCAAUGCUCUUGUAUAGAUUGUAGGGCCCUUAAUAAGAUAACCAACAGGAAUGUCUAUUCUAUACCUCUUAUCACAGAGUUAUUUGAUGGACUUAAUGGGUACACAGUGUUUACAAAACGUGAUCAAAACUUAAGAAUAUUUGAUAGAGUCCUAACCUCAACAUCUGAGGAAAGGGAUUUAGGGGUAGUUAUUUCAGAUGACUUAAAGGUAGGCAGACAGUGUAAUAGAGCAGCAGUAAAUGCUAGCAGAAUGCUUGGUUUUACAGUGAGCGGUAUUAGCUAUUGCACAGAACACUGGUGAGACCUCAAUUGGAGUAUUGUACACAGUAUUGGAGACCGUAUCUCCAGAAGGAUAUUGAUACUUUAGAGAGAGUUCGUAGAAGGGCUACUAAACUGGUUCAUGGAUCGCAGGAUAAAACUUACAAGGAAAGGUUAAAGGAUCUUAACAUGUAUAGCUUGGAGGAAAGACAAGAUGGGGGGAUAUGAUAGAAACAUUUAAAUACAUAAAGGGAAUCAACACAGUAAAAGAGGAGACUAUAUUUAACCCCUUAAGGACAGAGCUUCAAAAGCUUGUCUUUCACUUAAUGACAACGGCAUUUUUUUCAUUUUUUGCUGUUUGCGUUCAACUGCAAUUUGCAUUUUACUAAUUUGUUGCACCAACACAUAUUAUACAUCGUUUUUUAAAGGACAGAAAGGGCUUUAAUUUGAUGUAACACACAUAUAUAUAAAUGCUUAUUUAUUAUAAAAAAAUACAGAAAAAUGUAAAAAAAAUGAAAAUUUUGUGUUUUUUUUUACAGUUUUUGCAAUAAUAAUGUGUGCAUAAUUAGUGCAGGUUAAGAAAAGUAAUUAAAAAUAAAUUAAUUUAGUUGUUCUGAUUUACAGAAUAUACAAUGUGUCUGGGAUUUAAAGUUUUUUUUGGUAGUUACAGGUCACAAAGCACAAGGAGUAAAAUAGACUUUUAAUGUGGAGCGAUUUUAGAAUUUGGUAUGUUUGUCUUGUAAGCCUAAUAGCCAUAAAAGAAAACAAAAUUGCCACACAAAAGUAUAUAUUUAUAUAAAGUAGACAUCACGGGCUAUUUACCUAAGGUUGUUUUGACACUUUCUACGUAGCCAUUUCACCGCCAACCUCUGCUAAAUAUUGGAGUAAAAUUGUGUUUUUUUUGGUUUUUGGCACACAAACUUAUAACAAAGAAAUUCUCGUGUAUAUUUUGUAAAGUUGGUGUGUGCUAUUCCUGUACAAAGUUUUAUUUUGUGUUCAGUUACAUCUGCUGAGUAAAACGACACCCCCAUUGUAUGUCUUUGCCACUAUUUUGUGAAGUUACAGUGCCACACUGGAUACCUGUCCUUUUCAGUAUUCACAGUAGAAUUUUGAGAGAUGGAUUUAAUGAGCCUUAGCUUCCAUUUGGGGUAUUAUGACAGUUUGACUGUUCAAAAAACCCCCACAAAGGCCUACCAUUUGUAAAAGUAGACACUCCAGGGUAUCUCAUAAGGUGCAUAUUGUGCCUUAACAUGCCCCCAUUUUUUCACCAAUAUAUGCCAAAGUAUGUGGUAAAAAAUAAUUUUGUGCAUUUUUUACAUACGGAUUGCAUUUUUGCUGGGCGUUUUGUAUAUUUCAUAUGUGCCACUAAGUUCAAACCCCCCAAAUUAUGCUCAGCUAAGUCUUCUGAGUAAAAUGACACCCCAUAUGAAUGUCUUUGGCACUAUUUCGUGAAGCUACAGUGCCAUAUAGGAGACCUGUCUUAGCUUCCAUUUGGGGUAUUAUAACAGUUUGACUGUUCAAAAAAAACCCCACAAAGGCCUACCAUUUGUAAAAGGAGACACUCCAGGGUAUCUUAUAAGGUGCAUGUUGUGCCUUAACAUACCCCCAUUUUUUCACCAAUAUAUGCCAAAGUAUGUGGUAAAAAAUUAUUUUGUGCAUUUUUUACAUAUGGAUUGCAUUUUUGCUGGGCGUUUUGUAUAUUUCAUAUGUGCCACUAAGUUUAAACCUCCCAAAUUAUGCUCAGCUAAGUCUUCUGAGUAAAAAGACACCCCCAAUAAAUGUCUUUGGCACUAUUUCGUGAAGCUACAGUGCCAUAUAGGAGACCAAGCCAUAUCCGUUUUUACCAAACUUUGAAUUUUGACGCUGGGCCUAUGUGCAAUUUCCAAGCAUCUUCGCAGGUUUUAAAUUCAAACUACCCCACAAAGGCCUACCAUUUCUUAAAGUAGACACCCCAGGGUGUUUCAAAAGGUAUAUUUUGAACCUUAGCGUGGGAUCAUUUUUCCGCUAGCUUGUACCAGAUGUAGUGGUAAUAAGCGUUUUUUCUGCCUUUUUGACAUACAAAGUGAGUUUGCACAGUAUAUUUUGCAAACCUUAUGUGUGCUACGACUGUAUAAUACUUCAUAUGUUGCUCAGCUAUGUCGGCUGAGUACAGCAAUACCCCUGUAUGUACCUUUGCCAGGUAUGUGUGGACAUCGGAGGGGCACAUUUGGGACACAGCCAUUCCAGUUUUUUUCAAACUUUGAAUUUUUAUGCUGUGCCUAUGUCCCAUUUUAGAGUAUUUUACCAGGCUAUAUAAUCCAAAUACCCCAUAAAGCCAUACCAUUUCUUAAAGAAGACAUCCCAGGGUAUUUCAAAAGGCAUAUUUUGAACCUUAGCGUGGGAUCAUUUUUCCGCUAGCUUGUACCAAGUGUAGUGGUAAUAAGCAUUUUUUCUGCCUUUUUGACAUACAAAGUGAGUUUGCGCAGCAUAUUUUGCAAACCUUAUGUGUGCUAUGACUGUAUAAUACUUCAUAUGUUUCUCAGCUAUGUCAGCUGAGUACAGCAAUACCCCUGUAUGUACCUUUGCCAGGUAUAUGUGGAUGUUGAAGGGGCGCAUUUGAGACGCAGCCAUUCAGUUUUUUUCUAACUUUGAAGUUUUACGCUGUGUCCAUGUUCCAAUUUGGAGUAGUUUAGACGGUUGGUUAUUGAAACUUCCCCACAAACCCAUACUAUUUAUUAAAGAAUACACCCUGGGGUGAUUCAAAAGGCAUAUUUUGAACCUUGGCAUGGGAUAAUUUUUUUCUCUAGUUUGUUCCAGGUGUAGUGGUAAUGAGCGUUUUUAAAAUGUAUUUUUUUACUUUUUAUAACUUUUUUACUUUUAAAAACUAGUUUUUAAACUUUUGUUUUGCGUAUUCAUUUUUUUAAACUUUCCUAAACUUUCUUAAAACUUUUUUACAGAUUUAACAUUUUUCUAAGCUUUUUUUUUUACCGUUAACCCCUAACUAGCAGUACGCAGCACUAACAGUAAAUUCUCAAUUUUCCCAUAACUCCCACCCACCCCAGCUAGCAAAAUACAUAGUUAUAAAAUAUUUAAAUUAAUUAAUUAAAUAAAUUGAACCCCUGAGGGUUAAAAAAUAAAUUAAAAGUUAAUCCCCAGGGGUUAAAAAAAAAUUAGAUCACAGUAUAAUACUGUGAUCUCUAAUUGAUCGCUGUAGGCAGUGAUCGACUGGCAGGGAAUGGGGUUAAUUUUUAUUUGGACUAGGUAAAGGGUUUUUUUUUUGUUUUGGUUUUUUUACUUAAACGUUAUUAAAACAUUUUUUUAAGCUUAAUUUUUUACUUUUUAAAGUUUAUUUUAAAACUUUUUUUAACGUUAACCCCUAGUUAGCCUAACGCCAAAUCCCCCAAUUCCCCACUAACUUCCACCCACCCCAGCUAGCUAAAUAUAUAAUGUUAAAAUAUUUUAAUUAAUUAAUUAAAUAAAUUUAACCCCUGAGGGUUAAAAAAAAAAAGAAUUAACCCUCAGGGGUUAAAAAAUUAAUCAGAUCAUAGUAAAAUGUAAUCCCUGCCAAUUGAUCACUGUAGUCAGUGAUCAAUUGGUAGGGAAGGGGUUAAUUUUUUAUUAAAAUGGGUAAUUGGGGGGGGGGACUUUAAAUUAACUUUAUUUUUUUAACAGCAGGGGGCAAGAUCAUCACUGAUCCGGCUCCCUGCACUUCACACAGAACCCGGAAGUGCAGGGAGCCGGUAGGUGAGUAUACAGAGCACAUGUGCUGGGCAGCCUGACCGGGUGCUCCUGGUAUGCCUCUAAUGCAGAGGCAUACCGGAGCACCAUUAACCCCGCGAUCGACCGCGAUAGGGUCUCCCCUCUGUGACGGACCUCGUCCGUCACUCGUCCUUAAGGGGUUAAAAGAAGAAAACCACCACAACAAGAGGACAUAGUCUUAAAUUAGAGGGGCAAAGGUUUAAAAAUAAUGUCAGGAAGUAUUAUUUUACUGAGAGGGUAGCCUCCCAGCUGAAGUGGUAGAGGUUAACACAGUGAAGGAGUUUAAGUAUGUGUAAGAUAGGCAUAAGGUUAUCCUAGCUAUAAGAUAAGGCCAGGGACAAAUGAGAGUUUUUAAAAAAAAUUGGGCAGACUAGAUGGGCUGAAUGGUUCUUAUCUCCCGUCACAUUCUAUGUUUCUAUCUCAGAAGAAUAAAAGAGGGCCAUGUAUGGAAAACCAUAUUUAACGUAGUACCUAGUAAUGUUGUUUGGAUUGUGCAAUGCAGUAGCAGUGUUCCAAUACUUCAAAAUAGUCACUAUAGUCCUGUGAUAAAAAUAAUAAUAAAUGAACAAAUGUACAAAGUAAAAACCUUUCAAUGUAACAGGAGCUGGUAUUUAGGUAUACAAACAACAGGUCAAUAGAAUCUAUACAAAUUAAAAAUUGAUUCAAUAAUACAAUUAUGAUGUAUGUACUUAAAAUAUCAUUAAAAAAACAUACAGAUAUCAAAAAAAUGUCUGGUAAUCAAUCAUGUAAAGCAUGAGGUGCAAAAAACUGCCUUUAUCCAAAGGGCUAAUGAACAAUAUACAUGUGAUAAUCAUGAAAGUGAGGGUGGUGGGGGGGGAGAAUAUGUGUGUAUAUGCAAGUCUGUGUGUGUUCAUGUGUCUGUGUGUAUAGUAACAAUCAUACUAGAGUGUGCCAGGCUAUUUAACAGUUUAGGAAUACUCUUUGACCCAGGAGUGAUUCAAGUUGCAGAAUAGUAUUGGUCCUUCUUUAUUUAAUUUGAAAAAAGACCAAUACAGAUAAAUCCGAUAUUUCGUUCCAAUUCACAUAGUAAAUUUAUAUAUGUCUUGUAGAGAGAUUUGACGAAUUUAAGACAAUAUACUUGAAACAAACAAAUAUUAAAAUGAACAGUAUGAAUAGGGACGUACAUAAUUAAGGACUGCACCAUUACACCAUCCUUAUUUUAGAUUGGGUUUUCUUUUUUCCUUGAAAUUAGUGCCAUAGAUCCUGGUAUGAGAUCAAUUUAACCGAUGUAGUAAUAAAGUUACAUUCCAUUACAUAUUGAUAUUCUAUUUGGUUUAAAAUGUCUUGCCAUAGAAGAGGUUGAGUAGAUUUCCAGUGACGAACUAUAGAAAUCUUCAGAGCAUAAAGAAUGUGUAUAAUGAAAAAAAAAUUUUCAUUAAUGGAAAAUCUAAGUUAAAUAAAAAUAUCGAAAGUGUGUGACUAUUAUUGUCUCUUGAGUUAAGUCUAAUAUCAGAGAAGAUAUACGCAUCUUAAUAUAAUUUAGUAUCUCACAAGUAAACCAAAUAUGAAAUAUUAUACAAUUCUCUUUGUGGCAUCUCCAACAUAUAGGUGAAUAAACUUCAUACAGUUUAUGUAGUUUAGAAGUACUAUCUAUACAAGAUUUUUAGAUGCAAUUCUAACAAAGAUAUACAAUGGAUGUGUUUUUUUAAUUGGAUAGUGGUACGGUACCAUUCGUAUGGGGUAUGGUUUAUGAUAAGAUCCUUUUCCCAUUUCACUAUUGGUAGUAUUUUUUCUGCACCAUCUUGUAUAAGUUUGGAAGAUCGGGUUAUUAAGCCCUUUGUUCCUACUCUAUCCAAAUAACUAAAAAUAGGGUGUUAAAAUAUAACAUCUUUUGAGUUUAGAAAGUACUUAAUCCUUAGUUAGCGAAAAGUUUUGCUGUAGGGUAUAUUGUAUUUAUCUUGUAGACCCAGGAAGCUAAUCAAUAUUUUAUUAUUAGAGGUCUGCAAUUUUGUUUAUCCCUAGUUUAUCGAUCAUGUCAUAUUGGAGAUAUUCUAAUGGGGCUUGUAUUAGAAUGGAAUCUGAAAGGUUAAGUUUAGUUUUCAACAUUUUUAAAACUUCUAGAAUAUCCAUAAUCAAUUGAUUUGGAACAUUUCUUGGUUUGAUUACAUCUAGGUUAAGUGACCAAAAUACAGUAUUUAAAUUGACAUGUAGAUAGUUUUCUUGCUCUAUCUGGAACGAGGCAUUUUUUUGAAUAAUACACUUAUUCCAUACCAGUACAAUUAGACACGUUUGAUUCAACUUUGCGAUAUCCGGAAAUAAGAUACUACCUUUAUCAUAUUUAUUUUGUAGAAUUUUCUGAGAGAUUCUUGGGCGUUUAUUUGCCCAAAUAAAGUUUGAAAAUAAUCUUUGAAAUUGUAGAAUCCUAUCACUGCCUUGUCUUAAGGUAGAGAUCUAAAUAAAAAUAAAAAUUUCAGAAUAGAGUAAGUGUUUACUAUAUUCAGACUCCCCAGCCAAGAGAUCUCAAUUUUUCUCCACUUAAUCAGUUGCUUGUCAAUUAAAGUAUAAAUAUCCCCAUAAUUCCAGUGUAUUAUAUCCUGAAUAUUAAAAGAUAAUUUAAUUCCUAAAUAUUCAAUAUGCUCCAGGUUCCAAUUAAGUUGAAAUUUAGAUUUGAGUAUAGCUAGUUCGGCAAAAGGUAGGUUUAACACCAAAAGUUGCAUUUUCUUUAAGUUUAUUUUAUAAUUCAAACAUAUUUUCCAAUAUUUCCAAAUAUUUCAGAGAUGUCAACUUUUAAAAGCCAUGAGCCCCUACCCGGGUGAAGACUUAAUUGCAAAGUGUCAUACAUGGAAGCAUACUGCAGUUUAAAUUCUUAUGAGAGGAUUAAUGAAUUGAAGUUGGGUGCAGGUGAAGAAUGUGGAUCUGAGAGGUUGAUAAUGAAAACUAUAAGAUACUCAAAAUAACUAGUACAUGAGUAUCCACUGGAAUAAUGAAUAGUAAUGAUUCUAUACAAAGUGAGAUAUAGAGAUAUAUAUAAUGAGAAAAUACAAUAAUAGAAAAAUGGGUCAGGUGAAAGUAGAAAAUAACUGCCUAAUGGCAAAAAACUCCCUUCCUAAUGUCUCUAAAAGUAGAUACUGCAGUACACAGGUUUAGACUUUAAUAUAUAAUGCUUCAUAGGCCAAUAUCUGUGACUACAGGCUGGUAUCAAUACAUCCAAAGAAUAUAUGAGACAUUAAGAACUUGCUUUUACCUAGUAAGUCUCAAGCUGUGGCAUUAUAUAAGAUAUAAUAGAUUGCUAGCAUAUUGGAACAUUAGAGGCUGAAUAAGCAGAAAAGUAUAAAUAGAUACUAUAUGUGGGAUCUAUUGAAAAUAAUUCAAUCAGUAAAUUGUAUCAAAAAAGUAUCUAUAAUGUUAACUGCCAUGUACUCAAUUGCUAGCAUAUUGGGACAUAAGUAACUGAAUAAGCAGAAGAGUAUAAAUAGAUACUAUAUAUAUUGGAUAUAAAAUAAUCCAAAAAAUAAAAUGUAUUAAGAGUAGUAUCUAUCAUAAUAACUGCCACAUAUAAACUAAGUCCAAAAUUAUUGAAUAGACAGAAUAUAUCCACAAAUGGAUCUGUUAUAUAAUAUGCCACAUAUUAGGAGGUAUAAAGCAUAAGAGAGAUAAAGUGAAUAGUGAAAAAACAGUGUGCUAAAUGUGCAGAGCCAUGCUUAGAAUUCUGGCUGCCUGCACAUGGUGACAGAGUGCCCUAUAAGUGAAAAUGAUGAGGGGAAAGAAGACCCCCCCCCCCCAACCCCUCCAAAAUAACCUGAUGCGCGUUUCGGUGCUCUUGUGAUGCACCUUCGUCAGGUCUUCUUUCCCCUCUUAGUUUUGCCACCUGACUGGUAUUUAACAGUCGGUAUUUGAGGCUGCCAGGCUGGGCAGAUAUUGCAGUAAUACCGGCAAUUCAAAUGCAGGUAUUUUUCUUAGUAUAAAUGGUGAUUACUCUGCAAUACCAGCAUCGGCCAGUAUGGGGUCACUGUGUGUGGAGAAAGGCAGGGAUAGUAAGUUACAGCAUAACCCUGCCUCUCUCUACUACUCACUGAUGCUGGGGGAAGCAGCUACACAGCACAGAGAGUCCAGACAGCAGCUCAGGUAAGUGAGGGAUGGGGGGAAAGGCAGCAGGGAGACAUGGGGACACUGAGACACUAGGGGAUACAGACACUAGGGGACACUGGGAAACCUGGGGACACCGAGACACUUGUGGACACUGGAAAACAUAGGGACACUGAGACACAUGGGGACGCUGUGAGACAUAGGGACAUGGAGACACUAGGGACAUGUCUCCCAGUCUCCCUAUGUCCCCCAACCAGUGUCCCUAGUGGCUCAGCGUCCACAUGGCUCCCAGUUUCCCCUAGUCUCCCAGUGUCUGUGUCCCCAUGUCUCUCAGUGUUCCCAGUGACUCAGAGUCCCCAUGUCUCCUAGCCAGUGUCCUCAGUGUCCCCAAGUCUCCCAGUGUGUGUCCCCAUGUCUCCCAGUGUCCCCAAAUAUCUGUGUCCCCAUGUCUCCCAGUGUCCCCAUGUCUAUGUCCACAAGUGUCCCUAGUGUCUCAGUGUCCCCAUGUCUCCCAGUGUCUGUGUUCCCAUGUCUCUCAAUGUCCCUAGUGUCUUAGUGUCCCCAAAUGUUUCAGUGUCCCCAUGUGUCCCAGUGUCUGUGUCCCUAGUGUCUCAGUAUCCCCAUUUCUCCCAGGGUCCCCAAAUAUCUGUGUCUCUAUGUCUCCCAGUGUCCCCAUGUCUGUAUUCACAAGUGCCCCCAUGUCCCCCAGUGUCCCCAAGUGUCUCAGUGCCCCAAUGUCUCCCAGUGUCCCCAUGUCUCACUGUGUCCCCUAGUAUCCUAGUGACAUGGGGACACACUGAGACACAGGGAGAAAUGGGGACACUGGGAGACUAUGGGACUGGGUGACAUUGGGACACUGACACUGUGAUACAUAGGGACACUGAGACACUGGGUGACUUGUGAGUCUGAGACACUGGGAGACAGGGAGACACUGGGAGCAAUUCAUCUAUACAGCACAAUCAAACUGUGAGUAGUUUGUUGGUGAUUUUACAGAAUUUUCUCUUAUGUCACUCCUUGUGAUUUACAUCAUGUGAUGUCAUGCAUAACUAAUUAAUUAUACAAAUGGCUGGUAUUUUUUUUUCCAAGAAAGGUGGCAAACCAAACAGGAACACAAUAAUGUAUUUCUCACCCUAUUAUGCAAGACCACCAUCUAGCCCCCCUGACUCCCUCUUGCCUCCCCAAAUAUAGUAAAAUCUUACUUGUAUUCAAGUCUGCAGAUUCUGGCUCUGCCUCUGCACUGACAUCAUCAGAAGUGGUGGUCUGAGCAAAUUACAAUGCUUCCCCAUAAGAUUGGCUGAGACUGUCAACUAGGCAGAUCAGGGGCAGAGCAAGCACAAGUCAAACACAGCCCUUGCCAAUCAGCAUCUCCUCAUAAAGAUAAAUUGAAUCAAUGCAUCUCUAUGAGGAAAGUUCAGUGUCUGCAUGCAGAGGGUGGAGACACUGAAUGGCAGUGCUGCGCCAGGAAGCACCUCUAGCAGCCAUCUAAGGAGUGGCUAGUGGAGUUAUUUUCUCUGAAAAGACAGUGUAUAAUGCAAAAAGCCUGAAGGGAAUGAUUCUACUUACCAGAACAAAUACAAUAAGCUGUAGUUGUUCUGGUGACCAUAGUGUCCCUUUAAGUUUGGAAGCUUAAGAGGGAUGUAUGGCAACAAAACCUGUGUGGACUGGCUGACAAAAUUAGUUUAGGUAAUGCAGACUUUGGUUUCUCUAACACUGUGGCAUGUCCCCUUUCUUCUACACUCACUACAUACACCUUUUCUCUGUCCCAGACUAUAUACCAGGAACUUCUGCCUAGUAAGAAGAUAAAGAGACAAGUGGACAUAUGACUGCCAAGGGGCAGUCCUUAGAAAGCGUGGAGUAGGCGCAUCAUUUGAUGCAUUUAUGUCAAGCUCAGGGUGAUGCCUGCAUAGUAUGCCCUUAGUUGGACAGCCUGCAUGAUUGGCGGGCAGCCUGACAUGCAUUCAUGCCAGGCUGGCCUUCCAAUUCUUUGGACAGACAUGCCCCCUUUUUGGGCAUGUUCACUCCUUUUGGCAGGUCUUGUCACGUGAUUCGCGCCAGUGGCACACCCUUUUACCCCGCCCAUUGACUUCCUGCUUCACUGGACACUGCUGUUAGGGGUUAUGGAUUUACUUGAAAGAUGAAAGCAUAAAUUAGAGAGAAAUUAGCAUAGAGUAUGUGUUUUCUUAUAGCUGCAUCCUAUGAGUUUCCCUCCAGCACCAUCUCCAUCAGAUACAGGAUGCUUGGGAGGUAUGGUUGUUUUAGUGUUUUUGGUUGAUAAGAUUCUGUAAUUAGGCCCAUCAUAAUUGUCAGCACCAGGCCCACUGGGCUCUUAAUCUGGCCCUGCUUGUGGAAUGGAUAUUUUCCUUGUAAUUAGUUGGAAGCUGAAAUAUCAGUUAAACCAGGUACAUGUAGAAAGCAUGCUUUUGAAAAAUUACAUUUUUUUUAUAAUACUGCAAAAAAAUGAAUUACCAUGUAACAAUAUGUGAAUUAUAAUAUCGUAUUAUACUGUGUGGAUAUCAAACAAACAAACAACAACAAAAAACUGUGCUAGCAUGAAAAGCUUGCAAAUGAAUUGACACUGGUUGCUUAUUGGUGCUAAAUUGAUGAUUCAGAGGGAACAGCUAAUGUCUGUACAACAACAGAUCAUUUAAAAAGGCACCAGUGACGUGUUGCAAAAUGUAUACCACAUUAACAAUAGUAACCUGAAAUAAAUAGAGCCAUACAACAUACAAAAAAUGAGUCCUGCCAAACAUCAUUAACCACUAAUAUUUGUGAUUGUGUGUGACUGUGUAUGUGCUGGCACAUGUGAUUUAGUUGCAUAGAAACUGCACUUGUAAGCAUUGUGUUGUGCUAAAUAACUGCUGAGUGCCAGAACUUACAAAUUGACCUAAAUUAAAGUUUCCCUAACCAGAGAGUCUGCUUGAAAGUAGGAGGUGAACAGAAGCCCCCCCAAUGACAUCUGAAAAUUAUGUUCAUGUUGUUUAUGAUGUUCAGCAACCACAACAGUAAAUGUUGGGUAUUUGAGUAGUUCCCAGCAUCACAAAAUGUACAGAAUACCCCUGGUAAAAAAAAACACUUCAACUUUGGGAAUGCACCAUAAUUAGAUUAUUAUUAUUAUUAUUAUUAUUGCCAUUUAUAUAGCGCCAACAGGUUCUGUAGCACUUUACAAUAUAUUAGAUGGUCCCUUUUCUGUACGUACAGGAGCCAACCACAAUGGGUGGAGAUGAGCUAAUGGUGUCACAAACAGAAAGGUUGUGGCUGCUGACAAACCUGGAGAAGAAAGGAAGAGUAUUUAUAAUACAAUUACAGGCUUAUUAGCCUUACCAUGUAUUACUCUAAAAUUUGAAAUGGGCCAUCAGGCUAAUAUUACAUUUAAAGAAUUGAUCUCCCUGCUACCCAACCUUACAAUGUCGCUGAUUUACUCUAUGCCCUCACUAAACAUGGACCUGCGAGUCCAAGUGAAGUAGGACUGUCUUGAUUUGAAAAUGAAAAUAAAAAUCAUAUUUACAAAAAAAAAGAAUUGAUCUCCAAACUAAUGGCAAGUAUACAACUUGGAUCCCUAUUAAAAAAAAAGUGAAGAAACCAUGCUUAUAGGCUGUCUAUACAGUGAAAUAUUAUUAGGAAACCCAUUACACAAAUAUGUGCAUAAAGGGACUGCUAGCCAGUGCAAUAGUUUCUUUAAUCAUGAUGGUCGUUACCAGUUAAAGACUAUUAUCCAUUAUGUUAUGGUAUGGGUAUAAAAAACAACAACAACAAAAAACAAACAAACAGAUUUUUAAUUAAAGAUAAACUUUAAAAAAAAAAGCAUUUGCCUUUGAUUUGUAGAGCACCUUGAGCCCUGCUUUACAGCACAGAAUGUUCCUGCUCUUUUGUUGUCAUGACCUAGUUUUUCCAAUCUGAAUGAUGGUUUAUAUUGGGAUCGGUAAUCUGUAAGAAGAUUAGGGGUCUUUGCUGCCAGAAUCUUCACACGUUUGACACGUCAGAAUGGAAUUUCACCUAGGUAACAAGGCUGCUGCACUACUUUCUGAUACAAUUAUAGAUACGAAAAAUAAGUGUGAAUUAUGAAGAAUCACUUUUUUUUUGGAUAAUUCUAGAUCAUUUUAAAAAUAAUCUAAUUAAAAAUAAAGUAGCAAUUCUAAAGGAUGGUUUCUAUGCUGAUAUACAUUAAAGGAAAACUUGAAACACCAUAACCACUACAGUGCAGCACACUGUUUUUGGGGACAGGGACGCUUUAGUUCCACCAUAAUGUAAGUAGUCAAACCUUUUGAUAAUGAUUUGAUUUCUUACUUGGGGUCUGCUGGGCACCAAUCACAUCAAUUAUAAACAGCUGUAAGCUCAUACAUGGAUCUUCCAUUAGCUCUCCUGAGCUAAAUACUAAUGUGCAGGGCCAGCUCAUUGGCUGACAGCAUUAGCUUAGACAUGGUUGUCAUAGAGGCUGUGACCAGUGCUCGACAGACCCAAAAAUAAAACUGUUAGCUAUUGAUUUGGCUACACACAUGGGGGUCACCAGGAUUAGUUGUAGCGGUUAGGGUACUUGGUGUGUUCCUUUUAUGUUAGAGACUUGCAUGAAUGAAGAAAAAAGGUUCCACAAAAGUGACAAUUCCUUUUGAAGAACAGAUUCACAAGACAGCAUAGACUUUUACUCAUUGGAGAGCUAGCAAGUGUAGCAGAGGGGCAAUUGCUCCCAGGGACUAGCAUGAUGGAUGGCAUAGGGGCUGUAGCUUGCAGCCUCAAACCAUUCUUCUGAAAAUUAAGCAGGAGAUGUGUUGAGAAGGAGUUAGGCAGAAAUUGUGGAGUGCCUUUGCUUGGCUCUUUGUUGGUUUGUUCAUGAACUGGUGGCCUAUGUUGUUAAUGCUUUCCAUGCCUGGAGUAGCCCACUGUGAUGGUUCUUUGAUGGACUACAUUAUCUGAGGAUGUUAGACUACAAAUAGCACGUAUAAUGUCCAUAAAGGUGUUUGCAAAUGACCGCAGGUGAGAUGAGACAGUGAUCAUGACAUUCAUAACAUACACCAUUUGUCAUUGGUGGCAACAGAGUCAAUAGUAAAUGCAUUUCUUAAGCAUGGACAGAUCUCUGUGAAUGUUCUGUAAAUGAAUUUCAUUGGCAAAAUAAAGGCCAUUUCAUUUUUACUUGCCCACAAGGCCAUUACGGAAAUGGGAUAGGAGCGCUCAAGGGUUGGGAGAGAGCAAGGCUUCUGUCUCCCUCCAGUCUAUCACCAAAUCCUGCAGCUUUCAUCUCAAAAACAUUGAGUGCAACAGCACCCAAUUAACUCCAGAUGAGGCUAGAGGGCUGGUCCAUUCCACUAUUCACUCUUUUCUUGACUACUACAAUCUGCUUCUUAGUGGUCUUACAUGCUCCCAAUUUGCCCCAUUACAGUCUAUAAUGGAUGCGGCGGCAAGGCUCAUCUUCCUGUCUGCCUGCACCUCCCACGCCUCACCCCUCUGUCAGCCCCUGCGUUGGCUUCCCGUAAGAUAUAGGGUUCAAUUUAAAAUUCUGGUUCUUGCUUACAAAUCCCUACAUAACGCUGCUUCAACCUAUGUAUCCUCCCUAAUACACAAGUAUGUCCUGUUUAGGCGCCUACGUUCUGCCGAAGGCAUGUCUAUCAUCUGUUCGUACUCCCACCUCUGAUGCUCGCCUUCACGACUUCUCUAGGGCAGCACUGUUCCUGUGUGUAGUGGUUACCCCGGUGAGUAGAGGGGUUUCUACCGCCAGAAGGCGUCCUUCUCCGGAAAUUGUGAGGGGUAUUACAGCAUUCCAGGUAGUCAUCCAAGUAGAGAAACUCUUAAAAGAGCUAGUAGUGAUAGCUUUAUAGCAGUCUCCCCCUAAAAGAGACAAGACUCUAGAUUGAGGGUAGAGUAAGAUCUGAAUUUUAAUGGAGACACACUAGCCUUUUAUGCAGGUUUCCCAACAAGGGUGAUACCCAGGUGGACCUUGUUGGUCACAGGGACAUAAGGUAAACAAACCAAUAAAAAACGAGUUUUACAUUGAGAAAAAUACAGAAUACACAAUCCUUCCCCUCUGCUUAGGAGAUAAUUGAGUUAAUUACUGUAUCAACUCAAUUGUCUCCAAACGAAAAAGACAAGUUUUUCCACAUUUUUGGAAACACCCCAAAAACAUAUGAGAACCCCAUAAAACAUACAUCGCCUGAUAGCCCCGAUCUGGGGGAACAACAUACUUAAAAAUCACCUAGAUCGAUUCAGGGGUUCAAAAGUUAGCUGGAAGUCUCUUUUUGACCGACCGCACACAUGGUUGCAUGCCCAAACUAGUUCCAGAGAAUUACGCUGUGCGGCCAGUCUAUUUCGAACAGUCUAAGUAAUGUUCAAAUAGUCGAACUGAGCCGUUCGUGCACAUAGGUAGUGAGUGUAGUUGGUUCGGUAGAUUGUGUCUACCGACCAGUGCUCCAUUUGUGCAAUUCCCAUCGAACCUAACGGGGGAGUGGAAGUCCCAGCGAUGUUCGUGCCGUCGAGUGUUCCGAUUCUAGUUCCAUGCACUCGACGACAAAACAUCGCUGGCCGCAUUCGUAUUUCAAGAUGGCCGCCGCUACGUGUUCGUGCAUACAAACGUCGACCACUUAGAAAGUUUGGGUGUUUGUGGUUUUAGAGAUGUUAAGAAGGUCAAUGAGGUUAAUAAGUGCCACGCUCCCGGUUUGAGUGGUCGGUCGUUCGGUAGUUCUUUCGGUAUUCGAACGGCCAAGGAUAAAAUAAGGCAGACUGUGUUCCAUUCGAACGGGUAAACGAACAAAGUGUAUAAACUUUACAUUUUAAGGACAGAGGGUCUGUCACACUGUAAAGCUCCCUUCCUUUCUCCGUUAGAUCCUCACCCAGUCUCCACUCCUUCAAAAAAUCAUUAAAAACUUACUUCUUCAUGAAAGCGUAUCAAUUAAACUGUUACUAGCUCCCCCACCGCAUCCUGAUUACUCUCCUGCAACUGUCAUUAAAAAACACUCUAAGUCUUCAGUGAAUACUAUUCUACAAAUCUACUUUUCUACCCCUACCCCUACCUUUUCUAUCACUUUACCCCACUCACCCCUAGCAUGUUAGCUCAUUGAGCAGAGCUCUCAACCCCUCUGUUCCUGUGUGUCCCACUUGUCUGGUUACAAUUUUGUGUUUGUUAGCACCCAUUGUAUAGCGCUGCGGAAUUUGUUGGCGCUAUAUAAAUCAUAAUAACAGUCAUUCAACGCACAGCCAUAUUAUAUUUGUGCCAAUUGACACAGGUUCAGCAAAGAACUGACUGAGAAGAGGGGGAAAAGGUUCAGCAAAGAACUGACUGAGAAGAGGGGGAAAAGGCUGUUUUUAUAACCUCUGAUUUCACAGAAAUUUAGGCAUUGGCUAUCAAUUCUGCUAGCACUAUAUGUAGAUGAAAUUUUAUUCACUAUUUUUGUCACAAUUUGUAGAAGGGAACCCAUACAUACAGAACCUAAAAUACUGGUAUAGAAGCUGUAUUACUGUGUUUUAAAGGAACACUAUAGGGUCAGGAACACAAACAUAUAUUCCUGACUCUAUAGGGUUAAAACCACCAUCUAGCCCCCCUGCCCCCUCAUGCCUCCCUAAAUAUAAUACAGUCCUACUUGUAUUCAAGUAGCUGCUUGCUUUGAGCCUGUUUCCUUUAAACCUGCCCACUUCCUGCUGACAUCAGUAGAAUUGGUAGCCUGAUCUAAUCACAAUGCUUCCCCAUAGGAUUGACUGAGACUGACAAAGAGACAGAUCAGAGGCAGAGCCAGCACAAUUCAAACACAGCCCUGGCCAAUCAGCAUCUCCUCAUAGAGAUUAAUUGAAUCAAUUAAUCUCUAUGAGGAAAGUUCAGUGUCUGCAUGCAGAGGGAGGAGACACUGAAUGUUUGGAUGCAUUUUAGGCAGCCAUGACCCAGGAAGGAUCUCUAACAGUCAUCUAAGGAGUGGCCAGUGAAGUUAUCACUAGGCUGUAAUGUAAACACUGCAUUUUCUCUGAAAAGACAGUGUUUACAGCAAAAAGCCUGAAGGUAAUGAUUCUAUUCACCAGAACAAAUUCAAUAAGCUGUAAUUUUUCUGGUGACUAUAGUGUCCCUUUAAAGUCUAGAGUAGUCAAAGUAGAAAAAGCCGGGGUCAAGGAAAAGAGAAAUGAGGUAAACGGUAGACAAGCCAAACUUCAAGAACACGGAGAGUAGAAUAAACAAAUAACAAGCCCAGGUCAGUAACAAAAUUACUCAGAAAUAGAUAUGCACUAUUGGGCCAAACAAGAACCACAACAAAGCAAUUUUGACAAAAAAGGGAAAUAAAUAAGUCCCAUGCCCAACAUUAAUUGGUUGGCGUCAUUUAGGGCAGAAAGACUGCCGAAUUUGUUUCUUUGCUAAUUCGUUCGGUUCAGUCGAAUGGCCGCUAGGUGUCAUGCCAUUCAAACAUUGGAGCGAUCGAACAUAGAGAGGCGCCCACAAGCAGCAUCUCUCUCUCUAUUGGAGAGGUGAACUGGGGCUUUGGAGCAGGUAAGUAUUACAAUUAUUAAACUGGUUAAACUGUUUGUCAUGACAGGUGUCAUUACUUGUUUAAAGUGCUUAACCUUACACAGAGUUAUAAAGGACACAAUAUUAUCCAGUACCAUUGCUACUAAAUUGCAGGGACUCUUUAGUUCUUGCAAUCACUUUUUUACCAGAUGACACUGUAUGUCUAGUUCCACUUUAUUAAGAAAAUUUUGAAUAAAGAGAUUUUAUUUAUUUAUUUAUUUUACUGAAAACGAGCAGUGGUGAGAAUAUUUCAGGAAUGCAUAUUCUUAUGUUUCUUUUUUAUAGCUUGAGGGAAACAAAGGAUCCAUUUCCAUAGUGUCAUAAAAUACAUUUUUAUACUAGGAGUGCUUGAAAAUGUUUACGAGUUAACCCAGAACCCUGCUUUGAUGAUCUGCAGUCAAUUUAUCAAGAACAUCCAACCAAUAAUCUGAUAUGAGUUUAUGUGUUUUACAAAACAGACCAAAUUAAGUAAAAAUUGUUUAUUUUUAGUCAUUUCCAAUGAUUACCUGGCCUUUCUUUAUUGAAACAUCUGUUACUUAAUGUUUAAUAUUUUGUGUGUUUUAAGCACCGCAGCUAUUUCUAUUCAUUGCAGUGGCUAUAGUACAACAUUUCUUUGGAUGCUGUAUUCCAGUUUGCAUCAACACUUUUUUGAGUAGUUUAACAAAAAAUGUAGGGUCUUCUGACACGUAAAGUCCAUAGCCCAACCUUUCUGCUGCAGCUCAGCAAAUUUGGAUAUUAAUUACUAAUUGAAAGUGCAAUUAUGUAGUAGUUGUAGUGCUUAAAUCGUCUUUAAGGGAUUGUCCCAGUCUCCUCCUCAGAAAGUAUCAAUAAAAGCUGAAACAUUGCUAGUAAUUGAGGUCUGUUUCAAAACCAAUAACCCAAUAUAUAUUUCCCAUCACUUACCUGAGGACCUUGACCUCUUAUUAGUACAAUUUUAAAGUGUAUCUGUAAUCUACAAAAUAUGUUGACGAUAAGAUCAACUUCAGGUAUGGCUGCUUUUAACGUGUUGUCUUGGCAUAAUUGCUAAUAAAUAUAGCUUUCAAGAUACACUUAACCUGAAGAUCAGUUUUAUUUUCUACAAGAUAGGUCGGUUGCAAUAGGUGUCAUAGAUGAAUACACAUUUUCAUUCCCCCCACCCAAAAAAAUGCAGAAAAUAAAAUAAUGAAAAAAAGUAUUCUGUAGCCCCUAUUGCUUAGUAUGCACAUUCACAUACUUACGUAUGCCUCAUUUGGGACCAGUGGUGUCUUGUUUGUAUUUCUUGUAAUACCAUUAUGACAACAUAUAAAAACCUGAAGGGGUCAAACCCAUGCCAGGUCACCUAUAGGGUGACUUUAAUAAAACAAAAUUGAAGAGAAAAAAAAUAAUAACAUAAAUAAUGCAUUUGCUAGCAAUUUGCAAAUCACAAUGUUUACAUGAAAUGUACCUAUAUUUCAUGAAAAAUAAAUUUUAAAUGUUUGUUACUUUUUUUAUUCUGUUAAUUGUUUUAAGUAACAAGCUCUUUCUAAAUAAUAUGUUUUAGAAUUUCUUUCCUUUUCAUUGUGUAGUUUGGCUGAAGUUUUCUCUUUCGUUUCCAGGAUCUCUCAGUUUCAGCGAUCCCUUGCUGCAGUGGAUUGUGUGGGAAAUCCAAACGAAUUGCUACCGUGGACCUAUCGGAAUUUGCUGUAAGUCAUGACGUGGUUUUCAAUAGAAUAAACUCCCCAGGAGACUUGGACACGUUUUGCUCUCCCAAGAGGAAAGUUAAAUGAAUGUGAGAAAAAAACAUAGCAAAAAAAGAAUGGUAAGGAUCUUGUUUGCCAGAACUGAUUUUAACAGAGUCUGUUACUGGGAAAAAAAUUAUAUCAGAGCUGCUACAUGAAAGGAAAGAAAACCUAUUUAUAGCACCCGCGUCUUUAUUUUUAUUAGUCCGUUUACUAGUGUUAUGUUUGCAUACACUUUAGAACACUGUUACCCUGAGAUACAACUGGGGGUUAUUUAUAAAGCAAUUGAGGAGAAGAGUUCUAAAAGUGAAACUAUCACCAUGGAAACCAUGGAAACCAAUAGAACAUUCCUGCUGAUUACUCUGCUUUUAGAACUUUGCCCUAGAUUGGAUCGCUUUUUAUAAAUAAUCCCUAUUAUGCACAAACGCGGUUUUAAUUAUUUUCUUACAGAUUGGUUUUUUUUGUGGCAAGCCACUACAGUAUAAAAUACCAUACAGUCGUCGACAUCUCCCCCUGCACAUAUAGUUUAUUUAUCUUUUACAAGUAAAUGUGACAGCUGCAUUCAUUUUUUAUUUUUUUUAAAAGCACAUUUUCCAUGAACCCAGGUUUGAAUUGACCCUGACUAAGGCCCAACGGGAUGCUGAGCCUGUAUUCUUGUUGUAUGCAGUGUAUGCAUAUUCUGGUAGUGUUGAACUCCUAUAGCUCAAUUAGUUAAUUUGUUCUUUUUAUAUAGAUUUUUUUUUUUAAUUCUUUAUUUAUAUAGUGCAUCAACAUUAUUGUUGAAUGGGUAAGGCAGUGGCUGAGUGACAGGCAACAGCAGGUUGUAGUCAAUGGAGUAUAUUCGAAGCAUGGUCUUGUCACCAGUGGGGAACUUUAGGGAUCUCUACUUGGAUCCAUUUUCGUUAAUAUUUUUAUUAGUGAUAUUGCAGAAGGUCUCGACGAUAAGUAUGCCUUUUUGCUGAUGAUACUAAGAUAUGUAACAGGGUUGAUGUUCCAGGAGGAAUAAGCCAAAUGGCAAAUGAUUUAGGCAAACUAGAAAAAUGGUCAGAGUUGUGGCAGCUGACAUUUAAUGUAGAUAAGUGCAAGAUAAUGCAUUUUGGAUGUAAAAACCCAAGGGCAGAGUACAGAAUAUUUGAUAGAGUCCUAACCUCAACAUCCCAGAAAAUGGAUUUAGGGGUAGUUAUUUUGUUACCGGGUAACACUUAAAGAAGCCACUAUAUAUAGGAUGAGGUAGAGGGAAAAAAUGCCUAAAAAAAUCAUAAUAUAAACAAAUAACAAGUUAGACCUGUGCUGCAGAUACUCCACACUGAAAUCCCAACAGUGUAUAUACAACUAAAAAACAAACACGAGUCCUGCGCAUCCAGCAUAGGUGUGCACACCCAGGUGCUACCACAAUUUAUUUGAGGACAAAGUUAAAGCAAACGUUUCGAGCAACAGCCCUUUCUCAAUGCUAAUGUCUUGCUAAUGUACUUAAAGAAGCCAAGUACAAAGAGUUGGACGCAGGUCUGUUCAGGAAGUAAAGGUCUUUAUUCUAACCGAUUGGGUCUCAGCUGAACUCUUGUCCAAAAUGUCUGAGCAAUGAGCACAUGGUGUAGAGGCUUUUUAUAUGCUACACAUCCCCCAUCUGUACCCUUACACCAAUCAACAAACAGGAUCUACAGGAUCACCUUAUGCAGCAUGGAUACUUAGAAGAAUGGAAUGUGGUUUCAGUUCUUGCACAUGCUCAGUACAAUAAUGACAGUCUCUAGCAUGUAACUUGAUACAACAGAUACUUGUACUUGUAUAAGCCACAUGGAGAUUUUAGGCCUAUUAAAUUUUGGCAUAGCUGAAAUCCCAUCACAUUCCCCCCUUUGAUGCCUCUGAUAUACAAUUAUUCCAGAUGCAUCACUUAACAUAAUUUGCCAACACCACUCAAGUAACCACGAAACAGUAAAGACCAUGUGAGCAUGCUAGCUUAAUUUUACGAUCUCUCAACACUCAUCGACCUGAUUAUCAAUGACGGGCUAGAGGUUCAAAUCUCCAGAUGGCCAUUACAUGUGCUGCUGUCUUCCUUUCUAUGGUGCUCUCAAUAACACUACAUAUAGAUCGAAUUACUAAUGGAAUCAGGCAAGGCAGGAAGAUGCAUAAGAAAAUAAUAAAUACUACUCCUCCUACCAGUGCUUUAAUCCCUCCAAACUUAUUCAUACCAGCUCCCAAACCAACUACUUGGAUUAUACCCAUUCCAGAUCUGAGUAGGUACGUGCGUUAAUUUAACCAUGUGGCUGGUAAAGUCAACCAUAGCCUGUCCUUCAUCAUCUAUAUGCAGGCAGCAAUUACUAAGAUUAAACUUUCCGCACACACCUCCUUCUACUGCUAAUAAAUAGUCAAGAGCCAGCCUAUUUUGGUAAAUGGCUGACCUCAUGCCGGUAUUCUGUUUUGCCAGAAGAUUAAGUGCUUCAGCUGUCUCAUUGGUUAUAAUCUCAACCACUGCCUGUAAUCUUAUGAUGCGGUUGAGCAUGUAUAUGGGGGUUCGGUAACCAUAAGUACCAUCUUCAGCCCAGGUAGCAGGUCCAUAGUAAUUAAUAAUUCGCUGGGGUGGCCAUUCGUCAUCUUCCCAAUUACCUAUUUUUAACGAUUCUCGCCUCUUUCUAUGGUUUAUAUCAUAUACCUUAACUCCCAAGGUCUCUUCUGUUUCGAUUGGUAACAAGAAGAAGAAUGGUUUGAGCAUACCUAGCACACAUGCCCCCUCCCAAUCUGGUGGUAAUACUGAAUAUGCCUUCUUACCACAAAUCCAGUACAAAUUUUCUGGGGCUCUCCAGUUAGAUGUAGCCGAUAGAUCAAACCAUACCUCUCUUAAAUUAGUGUAAUUAGCAAAAGGAUUAUUAGGUUCUGAGACAUUUGAAGCUGACCACCAGGUGGUAUUAUGGGUACUAGCAUUAUAUGCCUUCUGCCCUAGACAAAUUAACCCGCCUACAGGUGUAUUAUACAUUGGACCUCCCCUUGCUACGCAUACAUGACCUAUUAUGGAUGUUUUUAACUGCCAUUCCGAUUUUUCCCGUAUGCUUACUUGAUGGCUAGAUUGGGAAGGCGUCUGUUGCUCAUUUGUCUCAGAACCUGGGUACCAUACUUCUCUUGCCUCCCAUGGCCAGAGGCGGCUCUAGACUUUAUGAGGCCUUAAGCGAAACUCAAACAUGAGGCCCCACUAACCAAAAAGUGAAGAAAAUAGUUGAUAGGCUUUUAAAUGAACCAAAUCAGCACCAUUUACAUUCCAGUUAGGAUCCGUAUUAGGAAAAUGGGCAGUAGCCGAAGCCGCUGGGUUUGCUUGGUUUUGGGUACAGGCAGUCUCCUCAAGAGCCUUACGGAUCCUUUCCUCAGAAUUAAAAAGAGUUAAUAAUAGCUGCUGACAAUCAGCCCAAGUUGUGAGUUUGUAUGAUUGAUGUGACCAAAUCAGUCAUAGCUUGCUGUUUUUUCCAUGUAUGAGGGGUUAUGGGUUUUCCAAUUAAACGGAUCGGUAUUUUUAAAGGCAACAUAUACACAUACAGGGUCUCAGUCUCCCAAUUGCAACUGGCCAUUGCCCUCAAUGUGUGUUGGGCCAGGUGUAAAUCAGAGAGGCAUCUGUAAAUGCCAGAUUGGUGGGUACCAGUAAUCCUACAUAUUAAAACCAGACUACGGACAUUUAUAGCAUUAGGUGGGUGGAGGAAGGUAAAUUAAGCAUCUCAGUUUGUAUUUUAGUAAAGGGGGAUAUCUUGGACAAGGCUGGGAGGGGCCCAUCCAGUAACUAAAAAAGGGUAAAAGUGUAUUGCAGCGUCUUAUAGCAUUGAUCAUUUCUUUCCAGUUGUAUUUUAGACUGUUACUGUUACUGAAGGCACACAGGGCUCAGUAGUUAUAGUGCUAUGUCAGUGAUUAUGGUACAAAGUCAUUGCUGAGAAUUAUCUGAUCUAAUGGACUCAGUUACUGUUAUUAAGAAUUCUCCUCACAAUUUUGACUGUUAAUAAAAUUCAAUAAUAAAAUAUGCUAAAAUACACUCCUACCAAAAAGGGAGUCAGUUUAGAAUACAAAGAACCAGUGGGGGUAGGUACAGAAAUAGGAGGGCUUAAAGCUAUAUAACUGGCAUCUAAGAUAGGUAUGUGGGUAGGCGGGGACAAUAGAGCUGGGGGAGUGCACACACCAGUUUUAGCUUGGGAGGAAGAGUAGGGGGUUGGUAAAGGGAGAUAUUCAGGGGGAGUGUCCAAACUAGGUGGCGUUAAGGCCUUAGUGGACAAACAAGUUCUGGCAACCAUGAGGUUGCAUUGUUCCUUGUGGCACAGCUUGAUCCAUUUAGGCAGUGUUUCAACAAUCUGUUUCCAACUGUCGAUACGGAAACUGAUCAUAAAAUUCCAGCCUAUUAGUUACAACUGUAUAAACCUGCUACACUAAAUCUGGGUCAAGACUACCACAGGACCACUGGUUACCAGAACAGGCUGUUCUCUGCUACACAAAGUAUUUUAAUCUUUUGGGGGACAGUGUUACUCCAUAAUCACAAACAGCAUAUCCCUUAGCAAAGUUCUUUACAAGACAAAGGACCAACAGUUUGUGAAUCAGAAGCAAAGAGAGUCUGAUUCAAAGCAGUACAAAUAUUACAAACACAAUUGACACACAAAUCUCCUUAUCACUUACACCACGUGGCGCAGUUACCAGGCCAAAACACACAUAUACACGCACGCACAGGAUCCUCACACGGUUCACAACAUUACGACAUCUCACACAUACAAAACAAAAUCAAAACCCACCAAAAACUAUACAAUUAUCAAUACAGUUAUAAAUCAAAUCAUACAAUUAUCUAUACAGUUAAUCAACAUAAACUAUCAGAACGCAUAACAUUGCAACAAUUUUGUAUCAACGGUCAGUGGUUAUGGUACUGUCAGUGGUUAUGGUACUAUAAAGUAGUUAUGGUACCAUUAAGUAGUUAUGGUUUUGUGAUUACAAUGUCAGUCAGUAUUUAUAAUAUCGUGAUUAUAAUGUCAGUAGUUGUGGUAUCAGUCAGUUGUUAUGGUGCAUAAUUAAACACUAUCUGCACUUUACAAGUCCGCUAAACAGCAAAGCUCAAACUUUAGCAAGACAUACAUAUUACAAACUAGAGCGUAUCUAUACAAUAUUUACAUCAGCCCAACUAAUAUUCUAAACUGGACAGCACCUCGAGAUCUAGCAAAAGGAAUUUACAACAGGGUCCGACUAGUCUACGCUGUCCAGGCACCACGAUCUAGUGAACGGAAUUUACACCAGAGUUCACUUAGUCUAAAUACUUUGAGAUCUAGCGAAAGGGAUUUACAAAAGAGUUCGCUUAGUCUCCACGUUCCAGUAUCCACGAUCUAGUGAAAGGAAUUUCACUUAGUCUAGAUACCGGAGUCCAAAUGAACAUAUAUACACCAGAAUUCAGCCAGACAAACAGACCCUAUGCUAAACGGGCUAGCUACAGAGCGUUUAGCGUCAGACGGUGUACCUUCGUCUCUUCCCCACAUGCGGGGAGGUCAGUCAGAUACAGAUUUUAUCCCUAGAGGGUUACUUUAAGUUCCUGGACCUGGGUUCACACUUCAUCGACGGGACACCCCGAUACUCACUGUGCAGAAACCGAUGUUCUCCUGGACAAAAAGGCCAGUGGUGCCGAGACGAAGGGAGGUCCACGCAGUAACAGUCCAGGGGUAUUGCCGUGGAAGAAUGGGUAAGAUUUCACCAUCUCGGGAAUCUCUGCCCUUGGCUUCUCAGACCAAUGCACCAGAUAUGUUACCGGGUAAUACUUAAAGAAGCCAAGUACAAAGAGUCGGACGCAGGUCUGUUCAGGAAGUAAAGGUCUUUAUUCUCACCGAUCGGGUCUCAGCUGAACUCUUGUCCAAAAUGUCUGAGCAAUGAGCACAUGGUGUAGAGGCUUUCUAUAUGCUACACAUCCCCCAUUUGUACCCUUAAGGCAUGUGCAUAGGGAAAAUUUUCGGUUUGGUUCGGCAUUCCAAAAUUCGGGACUUUCGCAAUUCGGGACUUCAGCAAUUCGGCACUUCAACACUUCAGAACUUUGGCAACUUCGGAACUUCAGCACUUCGGGACUUCGGAAAUUCUGCAACUUUGACACUUCGGAACUUCGGAAUUUCCGAACAUCAGCAUUUCGGAAUUUCGGGACUUCGGGACUUCUUUUGCAGCCGCUUAGUAGAUAACUCUCUAAUUCCCACGUUAUUAGGGAGUUAUCUACCAAAAGGCUGAAAGACCUAAAUUGGUCUUUCAGCCAAAUUUACUAAUAUUAAGUAUAGCCCCUACUCGCUAUACCAUAAGAAGGGGCAUGUCUAUUAAAAAGUGAGCAGCCUAUAGCUGCUCACUGUUAAAAAAAACAAACAAAACAUAGGGUCCCCCCUCCCGAGCCUAUUGCCCCCCUCCCGAGCCUGUGUGCGGCAGGUGGGGGCCCUACAGUAAAAUAAGAGGGGAGGAACCAAAUGUCCUCCCCCCUGGCCCCCACCCCUGAGCGGUGGGUGGGGGCCCUAAAUACUAAUAAGUAUAAUAAAUACUAAUAAGGGGGGACCUAAUGUCCUCCCCCCUGGCCCCCACCCGGCUUAGCCGGAAUAAGGGGGGGACCUAAUGUCCUGCCCCCUGGCCCCCACCCCUGAGCAGUGAGUGGGGGCCCUACAGUAAAAUAAGGGGGAACCUAACGUCCUCCCCCCUGUCCCCCACCGCUGAGCAGUGGGUGGGUGCCCUAAGUACUAAUAAGGGGGGGACCUAAUGUCCUGGCUCCCACCCUGAGUGGCAGGUGGGGGCCCUAAAUACCAAUGGGGGGACAUUUUGUCCUCCCCCCGGCCCCCAACCCCUGAGCGGCGGAUGGGGGCCCUAAAAAAAAGUUACCCCCAGGUGACUAGGGGUCCUCAAACCCCUAGUCGCCCCCUCCCCCCCAAAAAAAAUUAACCCCCUACCUACACCCCUCACCCUAAAAAUAAUGAGGGGGGACCUUUAACUCUUCUUAGUUCCCCCCUCUUAUUAGUAUUUAGGGCCCCCACCCACCGCUCGAGGGUGGGGGCCAGGGGGUAGGACAUUAGGCCCCCCCUUAUUAGUAUUUAGGGCCCCCACCCACCGCUCAGGGGUGGGGGCCAGGGGGAGGACAUUAGGUCCCCCCUUAUUCCAAUUUAGGGCCCCCACCCGCCGUUUAGGGGUGGGGCGAGGACAUUAGGUCCCCCCUUAUUAGUAUUUAGGGCCCCCACCCACCGCUCAGGGGUGGGGGCCAGGGGGAGGACGUUAGGUUCCCCCCUUAUUUUACUGUAGGGCCCCCACCCACCGCUCAGGGGUGGGGGCCAGGGGGGAGGACAUUAGGUCCCCCUCUUAUUAGUAUUUAGGGGCCCCACCCACCGCUCAGGGGUGGGUGUCAGGGGGGAGGACAUUAGUCCCCCCCCAGGCAAUUUUUUUUUUUAACAGUGAGCAGCUCACUGUUUACUAGACAUGCCCCUACUCAGGGGCGGGCUGGGCCGGGGGGCAGGGAGGCAAUUGCCCCCCAGGCCGCCCUAAAUUCCUGUAAGGCCGGCCGCGGCGGGCCGGCCCUUUAAAUACUGCAGCCGCCUGAGCGCUCUGUUAAGAGCCUCAGGCGGCUGCAGCUUCUCCCCUCCCCUCCCCUCCCUCCCCUGUAGCGUGGCCGAGCUGCACUCCGGUCCGCGGUGGCCGGCCAGCCGGCCGGAGUGAUAGGAGGGUGCACACUGAGUGUGCACUUCCUGUCAGUCCGGCCGGUUACAGGAAACAGAAACUCCUGUUCCGCGCGGAGUUUCUGUUUCCUGUUACCGACUGGACUGACAGGAAGUGCACACUGAGUGUGCACCUUCCUAUCACUCCGGCCGGCCGGCCACCGCGGACCGGAGUGCUGCUCGGCCACGCUACAGGGGAGGGGGUAAGAAGAGAGGGAGGAGGGGAGGGGGUAAGAAGAGGGGAGGGAGGGGAAUAAGAAGAGGGGGGAAUAAGAAGGGGGGAUAAGAAGAGGGGAGGGGGGAUAAAGAGGAGAGGGGAAUAAGAAGAGGGGAGGGGGUAAGAAGAGGAGGGGAAUAAGAAGGAAUAAGAAGGGGGGAUAAGAAGAGGGGAGGGGGGAUAAAGAGGAGAGGGGAAUAAGAAGAGGGGAGGGGAUAACAAAGAGGAGAGGAACAAGUAAGAAGAGGGGGGAGUAAGAAGAAGAAGGGGGUGUAAAAAGAAGAAGGGGGUGUAAAAAGAAGAAGAGGGGGUAAGAAGAAGAAAGGGGAGUAAGAAGGAGGGGAGAUAAGAAAAAGAGGGGGUAAGAAGAAGAAGGGGGAGUAAGAAAGAUGGGAGUAAGAAGAUGGGGGAGUAAGAAAGAGGGGAGUAAGAAGAAGAAGAGGGGAGUAAGAAGAAGAAGAGGGGGGAGUAAGAAGAAGAGGAGGGAGGAAGAAGAAGAGGAGGGAGGAAGAAGAAGAGGGGGGAGUAAGAAGAGGGAGAGGGGGAAUAAGAAAAGGGGGAGGGCGGAGUAAGAGGGAGAGGGGGAAUAAGAAAAGGGGGAGGGCAGAGUAAGAAGGAGGGGAGAUAAGAAAGAGGGGGGUAAGAAGAAGAAGAAGGGGUGAGUAAGAAAAAGAGUGGGGAGUAAGAAGAAGAAGAGUGGGGAGUAAGAAGAAGAAGGGGGGGUAAGAAGAAGGGUGAGUAUGAAGAAAUGGGGGGAGUAAGAAGAAGAAGGGGGAGGAAGAGGAAGAAGAAGGGGUAAGAAGAAGAAAGAAGAAGAAGGGGGGUUAAGAAGAACAGGUGGGGGAGUAAGACGACCAAGGGGGGAAGUAUGAAGAACACAGGGAGGAGGGGGGUAAGACGAACACAGGGGGUGUGAGGAGAACACAUAGAGGGAGGAGUGAGAAGAGCACAGGGAGGGUGGGUGAGUGUGAGAAGAGACCGCUAGGGGAGGGUGGGGGAGAGGAGAGACCACUAAGGUGCAGGGGAGAGCUCUACGGGACAGAAGGGGCAGCUCUAUAGGACAGGGGCCAAGACAGGGAGCUCUUUCACACUACGCGCGCGCGCACACACACACACACACAAUGCAUCCCUAUACAUACACAGAAACACAACAUGCUUCCCUUACACACAGAGAAACACACAAUGCAUCCAUUACACACACACACACAAUGCAACCCUUACACACAAAGACAAUGCAUCCUUUGCACACAUACACAGAAACAGACAAUGCAAACCCGUACACACAUAUGCAAACACACACACUUCUUUUCUUACAUACACACAGAAACACAAUGCAUCUCUUACACUCAAUGCACACACAUACAGACACACACCUUGCAUCCCUUAUGCAUACAAACACAGAUUCACACAAUGCAUCCCUUACACACAACCAGAAACACAUAAUACAUCCCUUAUACACAAAUACACACUGCUUCCACUACACACAAACACACUACAUCACCUGCACAAACUGGUAACCCUAUACACUACAUACCAUAAGCACACAUAUUAGAUCCUCUACAAUAACACAUAACACAUCCCCUACACACUCCACUCCCUGUGAGCGAACUCAUGGGUGAGUGGAACUUAUGAGUGGGCCUUAUGGGCAUACUCACCGUCAGGCCCUGGGGCCCAGACCUUGAGCUGUGUAAGGGGCCCCAAAAAAUGGAGCUGCUUCCAAUUCUCCCAGAACAUUGAAUUUUGUGACCACAGCUGCAAACAGCCUCCAGAGAUCCUGUUCUACACCAGACCAGUGGAGCCAAACUGCAGCCCAUCAUCAUCCUCAUCUGCUUGUAAGUAGGCAAUCUAGUAUAUUAUUAGUGACACUAAUCUAUAAUGUACCUCACAUUAAAGGGACACUAUAGCUUAAUGAAGUGGUUCUGGUGUCUAUAGCUGGUCCCUGCAGGCUUUUUAAUGUAAACACACACUGUGUGCAGCACUGGCGUUAGUUCAUAUGGGUGGGGCAUUGUGAUGUCACAUGGGGGGGCAGCAAAUUUUUAUUUUGUCUAGGGCGGCAAAAAUCCUUGCACCGGCACUGAUCCUGGGCAGGUGCACCAGUCUACUGGUGACCCACAGGAGGGGAGUGCACUGAUUGCACUGCACUCUCCUCCUGUCCAGCCCCAUCUUUACCGCAGUGCAAGUGCCCUCUGCCCCUAAUUUACAGUGGCUCACACUCACAACAAGCAGUGCCUGGAGCCGUGAAGGAGCGGGUAUGGCAAAGAGCUACUGAUUAGCAUAACAUCAAUAUCCGUUAUAAAACCAGGAAGAGGUGGGCAUGGAUGGUGAACUGAUUUGGUGGUGCAAUGGGCCACUUGACUGGUUUUGCCCCCCAGGCCUAAGGCUGCCAGCCCUCCCCUGCCCCUACUCGUGGUAUAGCGAGUAGGGGCAUAAUUUACUAAUACUAAGUAAUCUUUACUUAGGAUUAGUAAAUUUUAUUGAAAAAACAAUUUAAUUCUUUCAGCCUUUUAGUAGAUAGCUCCCUAAUACCGUGGGAAUUAGGGAGUUAUCUACAUAUUCAUUCCUGUCAUUACAUGACUGGCUAAAAAACUUACAUUUUAUAUGAAUGUAUGUUACUUGAUUGUUGUAAGUGUUGCAAAUGCUUACAGCCGAAUCCUGGCUAUGUUUGUAUACUUUUUAUUUAAAAUUGUAUACAAUAUAACAUUCUUCUUCUUUCACUGGGUAAGUAUAUGAGUACUUAGGCAAUACUGUGCUCUGGAAUUUCGGCACUUUGGAACUUCGGCAACUUCGGCACUUCAGCACUUCAGAAAUUCGGUAAUUUCAGAACUUCGGGACCUCGGCAGUUCGGACAUUCGAAAGUACCCGAAUGUCCGAAUUGUCCGAAAUUCGUACGAAUUCACAUUCGGACCGAAACUAAUUGCACAUGUCUAGUACCCUUACACCAAUCAACAAACAGGAUAUACAGGAUCAUCUUUUAUGGCUAGGCAGCAUGGAUACUUAGGAGAAUGGAAUGUGGUUUCAGUUCUUGCACAUGCUUAGUACAAUGAUGACAGUCUCUACCUACAUGUAACGUGUAACAACAGAUUCAACAGAUGCUUGUAGUUGUAUAAGCCACAUGGAGAUUUUAGGCCUAUUAAAUUUGGCGUAACUGAAAUCCCAUCACAAUUUCAGAUGACUUAAAGGUAGGCAGACAAUGUAAUAGAGCAGCAGAAAAUGCUAGCAGAAUGCUUGGCUAUUUAGGGAGAGGUACGAGCAGUAGAAAAAGGGAAGUGUCCAUGCCAUUGUACAGAACACUGGUGAGACCUCACUUGGAGUAUUGUACGCAGUACUGGAGACCAUAUCUCCACAAGGAUAUUGAUACUUUGUAGAGAGAUCAGAAAAUGGCUACUAAACUGGUUCAUGGAUUGCAGGAUAAAACUUACAAGGAAUGGUUAAAGAAUCUUAAAGGACCACUAUAUUGCCAGGAAAACAAACUCGUAUAAUGAAAAUCACAGUGAGAAGCGCGGAAGCGCCUUUAGCGGCUGUCAAUGAGAAAGCCACUAGAGGCUGGAUUAACCCUAAUGUAAACAUAGCAGUUUUUUUGUCUGAAAUUAUCAAUCUAUGUUUACAGCUGCAGGGUUAACCCUAGAUGGACCUGGCACCCAGACCACUUCAUUGAGCUAAAGUGGUCUGGGUGCCUAUAGUGGUCCUUUAACAUGUAUAGCUUGAAGGAAAGACGAGACAGGAGGGAUAUGAUAGAAACAUUUAAAUACAUAAAGGGAAUUGACACAGUAAAGGAGGAGACUACAUUUAAAAGAAGAAAAACUACCACUACAAGAGGACAUAGUCUUAAAUUAGAGGGGCAAAGGUUUAAAAAUAAUAUCAGGAAGUAUUACUUUACUGAGAGGGUAGUGGAUGCAUGGAAUAGUCUUCCAGCUGAAGUGGUAGAGGUUAACACAGUGAAGGAGUUUAUGCAUGCGUGAGAUAGGCAUAAAGCUGUCCUAGCUAUAAGAUAAGGCCAGGGACUAAUGAAAGAAUUUAGAAAAUUGGGCAGACUAGAUGGGCCAAAUGGUUCUUAUCUGCCGUCACAUUCUAUGUUUCCAGGGCCGGACUGGGAGAAAAAUUCAGCCCGGGCAUUUUUUUAGCACAGCGGCCCACUAAGAAGGGGGCAGGGCAGAGAGGGUGUGUUUCGUUAUCACCAAAGACAAACACGCCCCCUCUCAAAGUGAGCGUUGGGUCAAUGCUCUUCCAGGGCAGAGCUCUGCUAAAGAGCUCUAGCAUGAGAAAAACAACAACCUGUAUUUGUUCUGCACAGUGCAAGCAAAUUUAAUAACAUGCUUGCACUGUGUUUCCUUGAAACUUGUCUCUGGUGUCUCUAUAAAUGGAUACCAGGAGACAAAAGGACCAGGAAAGAGUAUUGUGCAUGUGUUUGGAGCCUGCUUGUGGGAUUGUGUGUGUGCAGAGUGAGCUGGUCGUGGUGUGGUAUUGUGUAAUAAGGUCGGUUUUAGUCGUGUUGUGUUUGUGGUGUAAUGUAAUGCAUAUGUGGCUAGGAGCUGAAGAGAAUGUGUGUAUAGGGGAUGUAGUAAAUGUGUGCACACAGGCUAUAGUGUGUGUGUGUAUAUAGGUGAUGUAGUGUUUGUAGGGGUUGUAGAGAGUGUGCGUUUAGGGGUGUAGCAUGUGUUUGUUUACAAGGAAUCUAGUGUGUGUAUAAGGGAUCCAGAGUGUGUAUGUUAGGAAUGUAGUGUGUGUAGGUGGUGCAGUGUGUGUGUGUGUAUACAGGAGUCUAGUGUGUGUUUGAAGGACCCAGAAUGUGUAUGAGAUCUAGUGAGUGUGUGUAUAUAACGGAAUCAGAGUGUAUAUAGGGAUUUAGUGUGUGUAUAUGAUCCAUAGUUGGGUAAGGGAUAUAGUGUGUGUCUGGAAUGUAAUAUGUUUAGGGGUGCAGUAUGUGUGUGAGGGGUUCAGUGUGUGUGAAGGGUGCUGUGGUGUGUGUGUAUAUAUAUAUAUAUAUAUAUAUGUUUGGAAGUAUUGUAUGUGUGUGUGUGUUUAGUGCAGUGUGUUGGGGUUCUGUGUGUAUGUGUGAGGGGUGCAGUGGGUGUCUGUGAGGGGUGUAGUGUGUAUGUGAAGGGUGCAGUAUGUGUGUGUGAUGGAUGCUGUGUUUGAGGGGUGCUGUGUGUGAUGAUGCUGUGUAUGAUGUGUUUAAGGGUGCUGUAUGUGGGUGCUGUGUGUGAGGGUGCUGAAUGGGAUGUGUGUGAGGGUGCUGAGUGUGAUGUGUGUGAGACUGCUGAGUGUGAUAGUGCUGAGUGUGAUAUGUGUGAGGGUGCUGAGUAUGAUGUGUGUGAGAGUGCUGUGUGAUGUGUGUGAGACUGCUGAGUGUUAUGUGUGUGAUAGUGCCGAGUGUGCCGUGUGUGAGAGUGCUGAGUGUGUGAGAGUGCUGAGUGUGUGAGAGUGCUGAGUGUGAGAGUGCUGAGAGUGUGUGAGAGUGCUGAGUGUGAGAGUGCUGAGUGUGAGAGUGUGUGAGAGUGCAGAGUGUGUGAGAGUGCUGAGUGUGAGAGUGCUGAGUGUAAGUGCUGAGUGUGAGAGUGUGUGAGAGUUCUGAGUGCUGAGAGUGUGUGAGAGUGCUGAGUGUGAGAGUGUGUGAGAGUGCUGAGUGUGAGAGUGUGUGAGAGUGCUGAGUGUGAGAGUGCUGAGUGUGAGAGUGCUGAGUGUGAUGUGUGUGAAUGUUAAAAGUGAUUGUGUGUUGGGAGGGUAAAAAAAACAACAACAAAAAUGCAUUAUAUCUUCCCCCCUUACCUUUAGCCUGGGAGGGGUCCGGCACGGUGGUAUCUGGGAGGGGGGGGCGGCACUCAUCAUCCCUGGUGGUCCAGUGGUUAGUGAACUCCAGCCUGCGGGCUAGAGUUCACUCUCGCGAGAUCCGGUCGUUGCCAUGGCAACGCUCCGGAUCUCGCGAGAGGAACCCGGCGGAGCUGCAAGAUAGAGCUCCUCUGGGUCCUCUCCCUCCCCAGCCGCAGGUCUGUUUAAAUGGGCCGGUGAGGGAGAUCUUUGAUCUCCCCACCGGCCCUCCAUGGCAAACAGCGGGGCCGGCGCUCGGAUAGUGCCGGCCCUGCAUAGACCAGCAGGGGAGAUCCUGAGACCUCCUCGGCCCAUGGCCACCACGGCCCACCGGGCAUUUGCCCGGUGUGCCCGAUGGCCAGUCCGGGCCUGUAUGUUUCUAUAUAAAUACAAUACUCAAAUGUAUAUCUUUGUCUGUUUUUCACAAAAACAAGUAUAAUUUCAUAGUAAUUAAAAAUUUCAGUGUUUUUUGCUACAUUUAUUGCAUAUUUCAAAGGCAGUUAUCAAUAAUUCUGUUUUGCAAUCUUUGUGCAGCUUUUUACAUUGAACUUAAAAACAAGUUAAUUUAAUGAAAUAGAACAAAAUGAAAAAGGAUGGGGAAGGAAGGGGGUGAAGGUCCACUGCAAUGAGAUGUUAAUGUCACAUGCACAGAAAGCGAGAUUAAGUUGAAGUUGUGUAUUUCCACCAAGGGUCCCAGGUCUUCUGGAAUGAAGGCAGUGAGUUAUACACCCUGUUCCAAAUUAUUAUGCAAAUGCUAUUUUUCUCAUUUACCUAAAUAAUUGAUGUAAGUAACAGUCAGCAUAAUUUCAAUCAACUAUUAAGAGUGCAAUUCAAAUUUUAUUGAACAAACCUCCUAAUGAGAACAUUAUUUUUUUUAAACAUAAAAAAACUUACAAUGCACUGUUCAAAAUUAUUACGCACAGUAAGUUUCAAGACACUUUAUAGGUUGUAAAGAACUGCAAAUUGUCAUUUGAUGUGUUUUCAGCAUAUUUACUGAAAUCAAAAGCUAUUUCAAUCAAACUUAUAACAACAUUUUAACUUUUUAAACAUUUUAACAGGUCACGUUACAUUUUAACAUAGGACCCCUUAUUUGAUAGCAGCUUCACAAGUCUUGCAUCCAUUGAACUUGUGAGUUUUUGACAGUUUCUGCUUGAAUUUGUUUGCAAGAUGUCAGAAUAGCCUCCCAGAGCUGCUGUUUGGAUGUAAACUGCCUCCCACCCUCAUAGAUCUUUUGCUUGAGGAUGCUCCAAAGGUUCUAAAUAGGAUUGAGGUCAGGGGAGGAUGGAGGCCACACCAUGACUUUCUCUCCUUUUAUCCCCAUAGCAGCCAUUGAUGCAGAGGUAUUCUUUGCAGCAUGAGAUGGUGCAUUGUCAUGCAUGAAGAUGAUUUUAGCAUAAAUUCUUCCUUCUGUACCAGGGAAGAAAGUGGUCAGUCAGAAACUCCACAUACUUUGCAGAGGUCAUCUUUACACCUUCAGGGACCCUAAAUGGGCCGACCAGCUCUCUUCCCAUGAUUCCGGCGCAAAACAUGACUCCACCACCGCCUUGCUGACGUCGCAGCCUUGUUGGAACAGGGUGGCCGUCCACCAACCAUCCACUACUCCAUCCAUCUGGACCAUCCAGGGUUGCACGGCACUCAUCAGUGAACAGGACUGUUUGAAAAUUAGUCUUCAUGUAUUUUUCUGCCCAAUGCAGCCAUUUCUGCUUGUGAGUAUUGGUUAGUGGUGGCCGAAUAGAAGGUUUAUGCACAGUUGCAAGACUCUCGAGGACUCUACACCUUGAUGUCCGUGGGACUCCAGAGGCACCAGCAGCUCCAAAUAACUGUUUGCUGCUAUGUAAUGGUAUUUUAGCAGUUGCUCUCUUGAUCCGAUGCAUGGAUCUGGCAGAAAUCUUCCUCAAUGUGCCUUUAUCUGCACGAACCCAUCUGUGCUCUGAAUCAGCCACAAAUCUCUUAAUAGUUCGCUGAUCACGCUUAAAGGACCACUCUAGGCACCCAGACCACUUCAGCUUAAUGAAGUGGUCUGGGUGCCAGGUCCAGCUAGGAUUAACCCUUUUUUUUAUAAACAUAGCAGUUUCAGAGAUCAUAGGCACUCUUAACUGUUGUCUCCAGCAGUGAUGUCCACUCUCCCUGGCAGCAUCUGGCUUCUGAAUUUUCUGAUUCAGGAAGUGUGGAGUACCACUGGGCAGGGGCACCUCUGAUAGACUUAGAGCAGUCAGUUCAUGCUCUCAGACAGUCAGAGACUUCCCAUUCACAAAACUGGCUUCUCUUCAGCACUGUAUGGCUCUGCUGCUGUUAAACUACUUUUAGUUUCUUCAAACAGGAAACCUUGGACUGUGGCAGAUAGGGGUGCCGCUCAUUGGUCAAUCAGCAGCUCCUAGCACCAUAACUUCCCUUUUAUGAAGCUAUCAUGGUUCCCAGAGUGUUCAUUUAAUGUCCUUUGUACAUCACAGAGGAUUCUCUUGUGACAUGUAACAGACCCUCUCAUACAUGCAUUUUACUGUCCCACAACAUGAGGGUCAAAGUAUACACCCAACGUCAGUAAACUUCUUCACGACUUUCCAAGUCCAUUCAUUCCACAUGUCAUUUACACCCAUUGCAUCCCCAUGUGAACUUAAAGAAGCACUAUAGUCACCAGAACAACUACAGCUUAUUGAAUUUGUUCUGGUGAGUAGAAUCAUUACCUUCAGGCAUUUUGCUGUAAAUACUGUCUUUUCAGAGAAGAUGCAGUGUUUACAUUACAGCCUAGUGAUAACUUCACUGGCCACUCCUCAGAUAGCUGUUAGAGAUCCUUCCUGGGUCAUGGCUGCCUAAAAUGCAUCCAAACAUUCAGUGUCUCCUCCCUCUGUAUGCAGACACUGAACUUUCCUCGUAGAGAUUCAUUGAUUCAAUUAAUCUCUAUGAGGAGAUGCUGAUUGGGGCUGUGUUUGAAUUGUGCUGGCUCUGCCCCUGAUCUGUCUCAGCCAAUUCUAUGGGGAAGCACUCUGAUUGGAUCAGGCUACCAUUUCUGAUGAUGUCAGCAGACUGCUUGUUUUUUUGAGGCAAACAGCAUGCAGAUCUACAGCUUCAGGAUUGAAUACAGUAAGAUUUUCCUAUAUUUAUGGAGGCAUGAGUGGCCCAGGGGGGCUAGAUGGUGGUUUUAACACUAUAGGGUCAGGAAUACAUGUUUGUGUUCCUGACCCUAUAGUGAUCCUUUAACCUUCUCAAUAGACCUAAUUUUGUGUCAUAUCAGAUUAGUAAUUGUGUAGAGGAAAACGGUUACCUCACUAACUCUCACUACUGUGUAAACUGAAACAGGUCUUGCAUGAAACAGAUGUUACACAUUUCUGUCACAGUGUUUUGAUCAUGCUACAUUCGGUUAGUUCUGCUUUGUCUGUUCACUUUGAUAACUUUUUCAAUUACUUUUCUAGGAGGGGAGGGUCGGACCUUGGCAUAGUAACUGAAUGUAAUAUGGUUGGCCUCUGUUUGCAGCAAGCUAUCCUCGAUGGAGAAUCUUUACAGAAACCCAGGU